rnacentral:lncRNA from 1 species
CAGAGGAACCUAAAAUUGUGAUCAUAGUGAAUUUCAAAUUUUAUCACUUUUCAAGAAUGUAAAAAUAACUUAUGUAUUAAUGCAAUUAAUCAAUUAACACUUAGGAAAUUUAUUAGACUUCUAUGAAAUGAAGGGAGGAAGUAGGAUAAAAUUUUAAAAAAUAAAAGAAUAGAAAUUAAAAAAGAGGAAAAAUGAAAAAUAUGUCUUUGUAAAUAAUUAGAAUAUAAUUAUUGGAGUGAUUUAGAUUUACCCAUUAAUGAUAUAAACAUGUCAAAAUAAGUGAUUCAAACAUGUCAAUUUAAUACCCAUUAAUUACUGGGUUUAAUUAGGUCACUUGUUUAUUUGUUGAUGGGCGAGUCAAGUAAAUAGGUUACCAUUUACAUUUAUAAAUAAAUAAAAAUAAUAGUAGCACAGGAGGCAAGUGCAUUGCAAAAUUGAGUACGAUAUAGGGUAAUUAGGUAGGAGCAGGAUAGAGCAAAUAGAAAAUAGAAUUUUGGGGAAUAUGAAGUAUUAGAGAGUUGUGACUUGUGAGAAAGUUGGCUAAUAAGAAAGGUGAGGAAAAGGAUAGUGGAGAGUAGAGGGAUAGGGUGGAGAAAAUGGUACUAAGAGGGAGAAUAUGGGAGAGAGAGGUAUUAAUGUUGUGUUUGGUGUGUGAUGCGACAGCCAAGAACGCAGUCCGAGCUGAGCUGCUGCAGACCGAGCUGGUUGGGGGCCGCCGAGCUGAGAGGGGGAAGGCCGAGCUGAAUAUCCUGCGAAGAAGAACGAAGACGGGACUAGAAUCCCCGGAAUAGCUCCGACGAUCAAGUCAGUAGAGUUUAAGAGUAGGACAACAAUAGAGACUGUGGAUGGCGUACCUUGUAUUGUCGUGUGGUGCCAUAUUUAUAGGCUUCAGGGUAGUGGUUUCCAUAUAGGAGUAGGAGUCCCCUUAGGGUUCGGAGUCCUUCUAGGGUUUCGUAUGACAAUCCCUAAAGGUUCGGAGGCAGCGGCCCACUAGGCCUACUCUAGGGAGAGGCGGCGGCAGUGGCCGAGCUGACCUCCCUCUAAAUCGAGCUGAGGUGUCUGAGCUGGGAGACCUCUAUUGCUGACCUCGUGUGUGCCAGAGUCGAGCUGACACCUGUCACAUGUGGAUUGACCCCACUACUCUAUCCCCCUUUGAGUCUAGAGUCACCGAGAGGUCGCGUGAGUCAGGACCAAAUUACGAGGCAUCGGGUCAGUUCGGCGUGGGGUCCACGAUCCCAUAACUAUGCCUCUUAUUCGAAUAACUGCCACGUCUACUGUCGUAACUGUCGCUUCAAAGGUCAUGUCCUCUUGCAAUGGCGGUUGUCAGCUCAACCGUCUUCCAAGGUGACAGUUUUUUAGCAAUAAAUUUAAAUUUUCAAUUCGGGACUCUUCGUCUUCCCGUCCAGAUAGCCUAUAAAUAGACCUCAUCAAACGUUACUUUCAAGCUUCAUUCCUCACUUUUUCUCCUUCUAAAUCUCCAUCAGCUCGCUCCGCGCUUAGUGAGUUCGUCAGAGAGUAGCAUCUCCUUCUAAGCACCUACCAGCUCUUCUCCCUUAUCCGCUAGUAAGUCUUCUUUCUCUUUUAUGUCUUCCUCUUCCACACACUCAGACUUCAAUAGCUCGACACCUAGGCGUAGAGUAGUCCGACCUGCCCCCAUAGAUAUAAUCUCUUCUUCUUCUAGCUCCUCAUCCUCUAGUUCAUCUGGGUUUGAGUACUACCUUUCCCAAUACAUUCUCCAACCCACAACAUGGACCAACUGGACCAACCUGCCCAACCUGACACUGGAGCUGCUGCCCCAGUAAUUCCACUGGAAGCAGUCCUAGGUCGCGCCAGGGCAGGUCUCUCUAGGGGGCCUGACAUCGACUUCGGGGAAGUCGAGAUCAUCCCCCCCUCUUGGACCAAGAGGACGCAAACGAGUUGGUGGGGAAGUAUGACAUUCCUUUCCAGUUCGAGACUAGGACUGCCCGGCCAGGGGAGUACGCGUGUCGACCUCCUCCUGAGUCUGUGGCCAUAUAUAGAGAUCAGCUCGUAGCCGGUGACAGGUGCCGAACCUGUGCAAUAAUAAUAAAUAAAUCCUAACUACCACCUGAACAGUCAGUAAUCAAUUCGAGUACUGGAGCAGGGACUCUAGGUGUGCAAUGGGUUACUUGAUUCACCCUGUUCCCGAAGAGUUUGCUUAAUCCGAUAUACCUGAAUUAAUUAUUUAACUGAAUUCCCUAACUAGUAAACAGUGAUAAGCAGGGUCGUCUCCUCAGGGACUGGAGAGAUAUUUGUUUCUUUUCAAAUCAAGAUUAAUGGGGGGGUUUUGGUAUCAAAAGCCAACUGAACAAAUUAAAUGCAGAAACUAAUUAAUUAAAAGAAAUAACUAAGAGAAACUCUAGCCAAGGGUAUACUUCAGAAAUGGUUCAUGCACUGAUCAUUGAUUCAAAGGUAAUUCCAACAUUUAUUAAUAGAGUGGUUAUAGUUGUCUCGCACGCGCUAAACAACCAACCCUUCCUUAAUUUAUCGAUAGCUAAGGUACGACCGUUAACUAUUUCCCUAACCCAAAAACAACCCUAGGUACGACCGUAGGAUUUAAUUUUCUGGUUUGCAUUAGUAAUUAGAAAGGCCCAAUCCUAAUUAACAAACACGCUACGAGGGUUUGUUUAAAUUAGAUCAUAUGUUCCCCUGACAUAAAUCCAAUUACGCCAGUUGCUACUGGGAUAGAGAUAACGAACAAUUACGGAUUCAAUUAUCCCUAUUUAGCAAAAUAGUCUAUGUGAACAAUUAAUUAUUGCGCAUUAAUCAAUCAUACACAAGAGCUAUAACAGUUAAAAGCAGGAAACAUAUGAAUACCAAUAAAUGGAGGAAACAAUUAAAAUAAAUUAGAUCUCACAGUAAUUGUUGAACCAAAUCUUCAGUUGUCCCCUUGACUAGCAGUAGGAGGUUAGUCCUCCAUUAAUGGAGAACAACCAUGCGAAAGAGCUAAGAAAAGAGAAUCUAAAACUAUGAUAAAAGCCUAAACUAAAAAUUGGAGAUGCCGAGAGAGAGAGAGCGAGCCCCCCCUGAAGCCAGCGAAGGGAUUGUAUUUAUAGAGUCCUCGUGCGGCUGUCUCCAAAAGAGACCCAGUAGUCUUCCUACUUUUGUGGGCCAGCACGUUUAGUCAAAGAAGGAACCCAAUCAAGUGAAAUCCAAUUGAAGUCUUGUUGCCAAAUGACUCUUCACGUGCAAAUUGGCUAAGUCAGCAUUGUUCCAGAAUUGUCACCCGCGAAGGAAUCUCCAAAUAUUUGGAAGUUUGCACGUGGCCAACAAUCCCGCAAAUCCGGCUUUGGACAUCAUACUUAGGCGUGCCCACGUCUAACUGACAGGAAGGCUUCAAAAGUUAAUUUUUCAGCUCCUUUUGCCCCUAAAUGCUGCAAUUCGCAUAGAACACAAAAUCUUAGUAAAAUCCACCGAUUAGUGCAGUAUUUAGUCCAAAUAAAUAGGAAAAGAACGUGAGAAGACCGACUAAAUUGCACUCUAUCAAUUACCCCCACACCUAGAUCAUGCUUGUCCUCAAGUAUGAGAACAACAAAUCAAAUAAUCAAAUUCAAAUAAUGGCUAUUGCUCAAAUCUUCUAUUGCCAAAAUACAAUUAAAAUACAUGUCAAGUAUUAGUGGCAAUUUGCAAGAAAUAUCUCUCCAAUUAGCUUUCAAGAUCAAGGACUCUUUCAAUUUAUGACUAACUAAUCUAAGAAUAUAAAAUAUUCAACCAACAUCUGUAAGCAAAUGGUUCGACUAUUAAGCAAAAUCUCAACAAUAAAAUUCAUGGGUCAGCGGGCUAGCAAGUCAUUCAUAUUUUCCACUAUUAGCACCUUUUUUUUAAUAUCUCCACUUGAUUGAUUUUUUUUCUCGGGGGAAUGCUUAGUUUUCAGCCAUUCAAGCGUUUUGACGCGAACUCCAACAUUGGCCACAUGAAGGAGCCCAGUUACUCAGCCAUCAUCGCUUAAAAACCACAUACUCAUAGUUAUCGUCGCUUUUUGACGCGAAAGUCGACACUUGUGGUGAAAACCUCCGGUUACUAGACAACGAUACCAGCGGAGUAUAGCUGAAUACUAUUCAGAAAUAAGCACCAAAAAUAAAAUUAAAUACCACACAAACCCGCUUCAUUUCUUAAACAUGGAGAACUAAGAUUAAUAGCUGAACCAAUUUGCACAAAAAAAAAUGCUAGACAAAUAUUUACAAUACUUAGAAAAGUUAACCAAAAAGUGCAAAAGUCACAAAAUCUCAAAUAUUCACCAAAGAGAUACCCUUAAACUCAACCAUGUCAUACUCAACACCUUAAAGUGUAAAAUCUUAGCAAUAGAAAAAUUUGAAACAUCUAACCAUCGUUUAUCAGGAAUAAUCACAAAUAAGCACAAAGAUAGGCAAAAAUCGGACAAAAUUCGACAAAGUCAAACAAAAAUUCCAACAAAAAUGCCUAUACCUGCACUUUUUCAAUAAAAUGCCAAUAUACUACUCCCCCCACACCUAAAUCUUGCAUUGCCCUCAAUGUAAGCAAAGAAAGAGCAAAACAGAGAUAUUGGGGCAACGACACUUCCCUGAAGUCAUCAAAACAAUGGCAGCUCAGGUGGAAAUUGUGGAUCAAGACCUGCAUAGUGACGUCAAUGCGGGUCAUCCGAGUCUCUAGUCUCUCAACUCGCAUCUGGAGCUGGUGCCAUUCGCGGCUUCACCAUGAACUCUAAUAUCACUCUAAGCAACAAGAGACUACAAUUGCCAACAAAUAAUGGAAACCGAAAAUUCAAAGCAAUAACAAUUUUUAAAGCCAUCCCAAUGAGCAAAAUGCACAAUUCAAUCUCCCACAGAUCAAACCAGACCCCAACACUUAUAGCAAAUACAAUCAAUAAAUACAUAUGGACCCCAUAUAGUCAAAUUCAGAAUUGAGGCUGUCCAAAGUGCAACAACUGCUCCAAAUACCCCAAGCAAGUCAAUUAGAGGCAACCGACUUCAACAAACAAAUGCAAACGGCUCAUUCAUAUCCCAAUUCAACAAAUAAACGCAGGAAAAUAGCCACAAUACUAGAGCACAGCUCCGAAUAAUGCAACAGAACAACAACUCGAACAAACUAGGAACUGUGCUAGUGUCUUAAUAAAUCAACAACUUUCAGCAAUUAGACACAAUCGGACCCAAUAUCGUAACAACUGUCUCUAAUUGGACAGUCAAUUACCCACUUCAACCUGCUAAAAUUAGCAAUUGACCCAAGAAAAUGGCAACUCCAGCAGCAGCAGUUCAGAAGUUGACAAAAACGACUCAAUACAGGUGCCCAGUAGUCAAUGAGACAACCAACAGCACAGGAGUAACAAAUAUGCAGGAAACCACCCACACCAGUACCACUGGUGGACGCGCAGUAAAAAAAAAAAACUAAAUCAAAUGCCCAACAAAUCAAUGAAUAUCAGAGAAUGUUCCCGCACAUAGCAGCAAUUGAACCCAAAUUUCAGAAAGUGAAACUAAUUGGGGAAGAAAUCACAAUACCUCCACCUGUCUUAAUUGGACAGGUGGCGACGUGCGGCAAUGGAGCUGGUGGUGCCAAUGGAGGUUGACAUGCCUGCGGCUGCGCGUGGCGCUUGACUGCUGGCUGCACGCGCGAAUGUCAGCUGUCUCCAAGCUGUGGAAGAGGAGCUAGCAGCUGAGAGGUGGAGAAAGAAGAGCUCGCGUGUGGCGGUGGAAGAGACGCGGGCAGGCGGGCCCGUGAGCUGGUGGUGGCGCGGCUGCGGUCGUUGGCGCGAGGUGAGGCGGAGCUGAUGCAGAGAGAGACGCGCGAGCUGGUGCCUCGCGCGUCGUGGGCUGGUGCCUCGCGCGUCGUGGGCUGGCGGAGUGGAUGGGUCAACACUGGUGGCGCCCGGCUGGAGAAGGAGAUCGGCGGGGAAGUGGAGCUGCGGGCUGGACGGCGCACGUCACUGUGGGCUGCAGGUGGCGGCGGCGUCUGGUGGAGGGACAGAGACGAGGCUCGCGGGCUUGGAGGAGGAGCUAGUUAGAGUUGUGGCGACCGUGGAGCCUGGCCAAGCGGCGGCGUGCUUUGGGUGAUGAAGAGGAGAAGGUGCUGCGGCAGACAAAGAGAAAAGAAGGAAGAAGAAGAAAGAAAAAGAAAAGAAGGAAAAAGAAAAGAAAAAAGAAAAAAAGAAAGAAAAGAAAAAAGAAGUAGGGCUAUGUUUUUUUUUUUUUUUGUUUUUUUUUUGGAGUCAAGUAACCUUUGGCUAAGGCGUGGGCACGCCUAACUGCUAUGGAGUUCGCAGAUCCUAACAAAAAUUGCUUUCCCUCAGGCGUGACCACUUGGCAUGGGCACGUCUAACUGCUAUAGAGUCCGCAGAAUUUGAACGAAAAUUUCUUUCCCUCAGGCGUGACCACCUGGCGUUGGCACGUCUAACUACUAAUUUCCUGCCACCAAACAUCAAAUUAUUAAUUGACACUAACACUUAACUAAAACUUCAAAAAUGCAUGAAAACUGAAACAAAUAGUCUUGGGUUGCCUCCCAAGUAGCGCCUUUCUUUAAUGUCUUUGGCUAGACAUUGCCAUAUUUAUUCAUGGAGGAUAAAAUCGUGUAGCUCGCUUCAGUGCUUCAUCUUCUAUGUAAUCCUGAUAGCCCUCGUAAAUAGAGUAAUUCUUGAGCACACGAGCUACGGUCUUCCAUGGGCUAGUAGAUGGCGCCAAACAAACAAGUGAUGAUCUUAAAUCUUCACUCACUCCUCCAUCACAAGCAUUUACUGGUUUGAGAUAUAUUGCCAUCAUGACUCUUAACUUAUUCCUGGCAUGAAAUUCAAAAUCGUCUGGUAUAAUAAAAUCAAUCUCACUAACAGGAAUUAAAAAAUAAGAGUCAGGAAAAUAUUGAUUAAAGAAUGGAGGAGAUGUCACCGCAUUUGGAGAUUGUUCACUGGAUUCAUUCACUUGAACCAUUUGAUGUUGGGGUCUCAAUUCUUGCGCUUCAACUUUCUUUUUAACUACAUCUUUAGAUUCUUCUUCUUGAGACUCUUGCAGUACCAUGUCAUUUGUCAGAAUAAUUGCAUUCUCAUCUUCCUCAUGGUCGAUAAUAGUCAGUGAGGGCAAUUCUUCAUAAACUGGAGAAAUCAAUUUGCUCAUUUUAGAUGCCCAUUCACGCCUUCCUUCUUUCAUCUCUUCACUCAUCUUUUGUGUCUCCUGUUGAAGUUGAUAUACCUCCUGUUGAAGUUGAUAUACCACCUGUUGAAUUUGAUAUGUGUUAGUAGCUAUUAAUUCAACUAUUUCUUCAAGAGACAUACCUGACAUGGAUGACGGUUCUUGAGACUCAUACUGCUGAAAAUUCAUUGGCCCCGUUGUAUAAUUAUAACUGGAGUUAUCCCACCAUCCUUGAUCAUACCCAUUUGGAUUAGGGUUAUACCACGUUUGAGACCAUGGUGAAAAUUCUCCAUAAUUAUCGAAUGGGACACUCAGAUCAUCUUGAUAUUCGGAGCACACACCAGUUGAAUGAUCCUUGGCAAAACAAAUUUUACAUGUUGCAGCAGCCAUUCUUUUUCUAAUAGAGUUUACUGCCUCUGCAUAUGCCAACUUAGCCCAAAAACUAGUCUCAUCGCCCUCCUCGGAAGCAAAAUCCAUUAUAUCACCAAAAUACGGAGUGUUAGAAGCCAUAAACUAUAUAAAAAAAAUAAGAGAAAAAUAAAUAAUAAAAAAAAUGAAAACAAGAUGAACUCAAAAGGAAACAAAUUAAUCUGGCACCAGUCCCCGGCAACGGCGCCAAAAAUUGACAGGUGCCGAACCUGUGCAAUAAUAAUAAAUAAAUCCUAACUACCACCUGAAACAGUCAGUAAUCAAUUCGAGUACUGGAGCAGGGACUCUAGGUGUGCAAUGGGUUACUUGAUUCACCCUGUUCCCGAAGAGUUUGCUUAAUCCGAUAUACCUGAAUUAAUUAUUUAACUGAAUUCCCUAACUAGUAGACAGUGAUAAGCAGGGUCGUCUCCUCAGGGACUGGAGAGAUAUUUGUUUCUUUUCAAAUCAAGAUUAAUGGGGGGGUUUUGGUAUCAAAAGCCAACUGAACAAAUUAAAUGCAGAAACUAAUUAAUUAAAAGAAAUAACUAAGAGAAACUCUAGCCAAGGGUAUACUUCAGAAAUGGUUCAUGCACUGAUCAUUGAUUCAAAGGUAAUUCCAACAUUUAUUAAUAGAGUGAUUAUAGUUGUCUCGCACGCGCUAAACAACCAACCCUUCCUUAAUUUAUCGAUAGCUAAGGUACGACCGUUAACUAUUUCCCUAACCCAAAAACAACCCUAGGUACGACCGUAGGAUUUAAUUUUCUGGUUUGCAUUAGUAAUUAGAAAGGCCCAAUCCUAAUUAACAAACACGCUACGAGGGUUUGUUUAAAUUAGAUCAUAUGUUCCCCUGACAUAAAUCCAAUUACGCCAGUUGCUACUGGGAUAGAGAUAACGAACAAUUACGGAUUCAAUUAUCCCUAUUUAGCAAAAUAGUCUAUGUGAACAAUUAAUUAUUGCGCAUUAAUCAAUCAUACACAAGAGCUAUAACAGUUAAAAGCAGGAAACAUAUGAAUACCAAUAAAUGGAGGAAACAAUUAAAAUAAAUUAGAUCUCACAGUAAUUGUUGAACCAAAUCUUCAGUUGUCCCCUUGACUAGCAGUAGGAGGUUAGUCCUCCAUUAAUGGAGAACAACCAUGCGAAAGAGCUAAGAAAAGAGAAUCUAAAACUAUGAUAAAAGCCUAAACUAAAAAUUGGAGAUGCCGAGAGAGAGAGAGCGAGCCCCCCCUGAAGCCAGCGAAGGGAUUGUAUUUAUAGAGUCCUCGUGCGGCUGUCUCCAAAAGAGACCCAGUAGUCUUCCUACUUUUGUGGGCCAGCACGUUUAGUCAAAGAAGGAACCCAAUCAAGUGAAAUCCAAUUGAAGUCUUGUUGCCAAAUGACUCUUCACGUGCAAAUUGGCUAAGUCAGCAUUGUUCCAGAAUUGUCACCCGCGAAGGAAUCUCCAAAUAUUUGGAAGUUUGCACGUGGCCAACAAUCCCGCAAAUCCGGCUUUGGACAUCAUACUUAGGCGUGCCCACGUCUAACUGACAGGAAGGCUUCAAAAGUUAAUUUUUCAGCUCCUUUUGCCCCUAAAUGCUGCAAUUCGCAUAGAACACAAAAUCUUAGUAAAAUCCACCGAUUAGUGCAGUAUUUAGUCCAAAUAAAUAGGAAAAGAACGUGAGAAGACCGACUAAAUUGCACUCUAUCAGCCGGCCUCCGUCUCUCAAUUCCUCACUUUCUCUACGAAAUCCUGACCUUUUGGGGAAUUCGAAUAAUCCAGCUCGUCCCCAAUGCAGUCAGAUCGAUACUAGGCUUCUUCAUCUUGUGCCGCCUUCUUGAGAUCCCCUACUCCCUGGACCUGUUUAGGUCAUUCUUUCAGAUGAAGGUCAGUGGACCAGUUCACGGUUGGUUCUACUUCGCUCGUAGGAGCGGGGGAGAGCUCCCGACCCGUGAGCUGUUCACGCAAGCCUCUUCCUCCAUUAAGGGCUGGAAGGCUCAGUUCUUCUACGUGAAGAACACAGGCUUUCCUCCUUGACCUGGAGGGAGGAGACCCAGGUAUCCGACCCUACUCCUUCACCUCUGCCAACGGUCGAGCUAGACCGCCUGGUUAGCUCGGGAGCUAGGUUGAAGGUGAAGGAAUUCAACAACGCCCGAACUCUGGUCUGCGGGGCUGAUUCAGGCAGAGGUGAACGACCCUGCCCCCGAUCUCCGACCUCUCACCUCCGAGGAGCUGGCAACUCGUAAAUUCUUGUUCUCAUCUCCUUUCUUCUUUUUCUGCGAGCUCGACUAUGUUAUUUGCACUGACUUUUUUUCUUCGUCUUGUAGUGAAUAGAUUCUCCCAACUACUGAAUAUAGGGGGAACAGGCAGCUCUAGCAUACCUGCCACCGUACCGCCUGCUGCACCGGACAGCUCGGGCCUUGCCGCUCCCCCUCCUGCUCCAGCCCCCCAGGCCCCUGCUCAGUCCUCUCUUACUGAGGGGGCCAAGAAGAAGAGGAAGAAAUCCACGGCCAAGAGAGCCUGAACCGAGAUCAUCUCUUCCCCUGCCCAAGCGCUGCAACCAACGUCCACUGAUGCCCCCUGGAGCACUAUGGGGUAAACUCAGUCGAGCAGCAGGCCUCGUCAGAGUCACCGCCUGCUAUGUGGCGCCAGAGGAACGUGAUUCCUUUGAAGCCUCCCUCCCAGCUGAGUGCCCAUCCGUGACCUCGUGUCAGCCCGAACGUGAUCAAGUCAGUAGAGUUUAAGAGUAGGACAACAAUAGAGAGUACUGUGGAUGGCGUACCUUGUAUUGUCGUGUGAUGCGGUAUUUAUAUGCUUCAGGGUAGUGGUUUCCAUAUAGGAGUAAGAGUCCCCUUAGGGUUCGGAGUCCUUCUAGGGUUUCGUAUGACAACCCCUAAAGGUUCGGAGGCGGCGGCCCACUAGACCCACUCUAGGGAGAGGCGGCGGUAGUGGCCGAGCUGACCUCCCUCUAAAUCGAGCUGAGGCGUCUGAGCUGGGAGACCUCUAUUGCUGACCUCAUGUGUGCUAGAGCCGAGUUGACACGUAUCACAUGUGGAUUGGCCCUACUACACUAUCCCCCUUUGAAUCUAGAGUCACCGAGAGGUCGAGUGAGUCUGGACCAAAUUACGAGGCGUCGGGUCGGUUCGGCGUAGGGUCCACGAUCCCAUAGCUAUGCCUCUUGUUCGAAUAACUGCCACGUCUACUGUCGUAACUGUCGCUUCAAAGGUCAUGUCCUCUUGCAAUGGCGGUUAUCAGCUCAACCGUCUUCCAAGGUGACAGUUUCUUAGCAAUAAAUUUGAAAUUUCAAUUCGGGACUCUUCGUCUUCCCGUCCAGAUAGCCUAUAAAUAGACCCCAUCAAACGUUACUUUCAAGCUUCAUUCCUCACUUUUUCUCCUUCUAAAUCUCCAUCAGCUCGCUCCGCGCUUAGUGAGUUCGUCAGAGAGUAGCAUCUCCUUCUAAGCACCUACCAGCUCUUCUCCCUUAUCCGCUAGUAAGUCUUCUUUCUCUUUUAUGUCUUCCUCUUCCACACACUCAGACUUCAAUAGCUCGACACCUAGGCGUAGAGUAGUCCGACCUGCCCCCAUAGAUAUAAUCUCUUCUUCUUCUAGCUCCUCAUCCUCUAGUUCAUCUGGGUUUGAGUACUACCUUUCCCAAUACAUUCUCCAACCCACAACAUGGACCAACUGGACCAACCUGCCCAACCUGACACUGGAGCUGCUGCCCCAGUAAUUCCACUGGAAGCAGUCCUAGGUCGCGCCAGGGCAGGUCUCUCUAGGGGGCCUGACAUCGACUUCGGGGAAGUCGAGAUCAUCCCCCCCUCUUGGACCAAGAGGACAAAAACGAGUUGGUGGGGAAGUAUGAUAUUCCUUCCCAGUUCUAGGCUAGGGCUGCCCGGCCAGGGGAGUACGCGUGUCGACCUCCUCCUGAGUCUGUGGCCAUAUAUAGAGAUCAGCUCGUAGCCGCCCUCCGUCUCUCAAUUCCUCACUUCCUCUACGAAAUCCUGACCUUCUGGGGAAUUCGAAUAAUCCAGCUCGUCCCCAAUGCAGUCAGAUCGAUACUAGGUUUCUUCAUCUUGUGCCGCCUUCUUGAGAUCCCCUACUCCCUGGACCUGUUUAGGUCAUUCUUUCAGAUGAAGGUCAGUGGACCAGUUCACGGUUGGUUCUACUUAACUCGUAGGAGCGGGGGAGAGCUCUCGACCCGUGAGCUGUUCACGCAAGCCCCUUCCUCCAUUAGGGGCUGGAAGGCUCAGUUCUUUUACGUGAAGAACACAGGCUUUCCUCCUUGACCUGGAGGGAGGAGACCCAAGUAUCCGACCAUAUUCCUUCACCUCUGCCAACGGUCGAGCUAGAUCGCCUGGUUAGCUCGGGAGCUAGGUUGAAGGUGAAGGAAUUUAACAACACCCGAACUCUGGUCUGCGGGGCUGAUUCAGGCAGAGGUGAACGACCCUACCCCGAUCUCCGACCUCUCACAUCCGAGGAGCUGGCAACUCGUAAAUUCUUGAUCUCAUCAUCCUUUCUUCUUUUUCUGCGAGCUCGACUAUGUUAUUUGUGCUGACUUUUUUUCUUCGUCUUGUAGUGAAUAGAUUCUCCCAACUACUGAAUAUAGGGGGAACAGGCAGCUCUAGUAUACCUGCCACCGUACCGCCUGCUGCGCCGGACAGCUCGGGCCUUGCCGCUCCCCCUCCUGCUCCAGCCCCCCAGGCCCCUGCUCAGUCCUCUCUUACUGAGGGGGCCAAGAAGAAGAGGAAGAAAUCCACGGCCAAGAGAGCUCGAAUCGAGAUCAUCUCUUCCCCUGCCCAAGCGUUGCAACCAACGUCCACUGAUGCCUCCUGGAGCACUAUGGGGUAAACUCAGUCGAGCAGCAGGCCUCGUCAGAGUCACCGCCUGCUAUGUGGCGCCAGGGGAACGUGAUUCUUUUGAAGCCUCCCUCCCAGCUGAGUGCCCAUCCGCACCCCCUACAUUUUUGCCCUAAAUGGGGGUUAUCGGUGAAUGACCGAACUCAAUUUUCGGAAGCAGCUCGAGAGCUCCUCAGGGGCACAAUGCUCCCGCGCGAUCAUCACUACAUUCGACUUGCGUCCAACUCCGAACUGCUGGAGCACUACUACCUUAGCGCGGCUCAGGUAACUCCUCAACUAGCGGCAUUUUAUUGGUAUUUCCUUGACCUAUUGAUCCUCACCUUGAGUUUAACUGGCAUCUUAACGUGGCUGGUGCUGAGCUGUCACAGAGGUAUGAAAACAUGGGAGAGAAUCUCUCCCAAGCUGAUGCGGCCAAGGACAGGCUGUCCAGUCAGCUUUAGGCAGCUGAAACAGAGCUGGAAUCCUUGAAGAAGCAGCUCGCCGAAACCUAGUCUGCCUGCGAGUUGGAGAAGAAAAGGGCAGCGAAACUGACCUCGCAGCUAGAUACUGAGUAGAGGAAAUUUGCUGAGCUACCUGGUCAGAUCGAAGCUGCUCGUGAGGAAGGUCGCCAACUCGGCAUCAAGGACUUCAAAAAAUCUGAGGGCUUCCUGAAAGACCUGGCCCUCCUCAACGGGCCAAUCCUGCAAGUGGGGUAUGCUCAGGCAAUGCACGACGUGCAGUCCCUGAACCUGCUUGAGUUUGACUUGGGCAGGUAGCCUGAAUACAACUCUCAAGCCAUCCACCAAAUCGAUAGGCUCGUGGAGGGCUAUGUGCAUGGGUGCGACCUGACCAUCCUGAUCGCCGACCCUACUUUGGCCGCGACCUCUCCUGAGCUCGAGUAGGAGCAGCAGGGGGAAAAUUAGGGAGCGCUUAGCAUAGGCGUAGAUAGGGAUUAGAGCAGGGUAGGAACUGAACUGGCCAACUCGUUUUUGUAUGGCCCCCCUUAUGUACAUAUCUUUUUGAAAUGGAAUAGAUGGUCUUUUCAUCAAACACUUAGUAAAAAUUAUUUAUUUCUUCAUAGGAUUUUGAAUACAUUCUUACGACUCCAAGUAUCGAGCUAUCAAAAUGCCGAGCUGACCUCUUCAGCUGUUACUAAGUAAAAGACUACCUAGUUCACACUCUCCAGCUCGGGCAGAGCUCUAACGAAAGAGCCUUAAAUUUGAAUUGUGCCAGGUGCGCGGGACUUCAUCCCCAUUGAGAUGAGCUAGCUUACAGUACCUCGCACGAUCAGUUUCUUUCACCACGUAGGGACCCCUCCCAAUUUGGAUCUAACUUGCCCGUGCCCCCAACUCGACUUACGGAGUUUCUGCGUAAUACAGAUCCCUCGGUCUGAAGGAGAGGUGCCUGACUCUAGCGUUGUAGUACCGCGCGACCUGACCCUUGUAUUUAGCCAUUCUUAUGCACGUUUCUUCCUUACGGUGCUUGAGCAGGUCUAAGUUGAACCGCAUCUCCUUCUCAUUAUUCUGGGCCACAAAAUGUUGCACCCUGCUUGAGGGUACUCCGAUUGCUGCCGGGAUUACUGCUUCAAUCUCAUAUGUCAGGACGAACGGGGUUUCCAGGGUGGCUGUCCGAGGUGUAGUCCGGUAAGCCCACAGUAUGGUGGGCAGCCCAUCCAACCACCCUGUUCGAACAGAUUCUAUUCGUGUCUUCAACCCGUGCAGGUUGGUUCUAUUAGCAUUCUCGACCUGUCCAUUAGAUUGUGGGUGCCCCACGGAAGUGAAGUGCUGCUAGAUGCCGAGCUCAGAGCACCACUUCUGGAAGAAACUGUCCACGAACUGUCGGUCAUUAUCUGAGACUAGGAUCCGGGGUAUGCCAAAUCGACAGAUUAUGUUCUUCCAAAGGAAUUUCUGAAUCAACCUGCUAUUGAUUGUGCUAAGUGGUUCGGCCUCUAUCCUUUUAGUAAAGUAGUCAACAGCUACCACAAGAUGCUCAUAACCUCUUGGAGCUCGGGAAAAUGGGCCUAGCAGGUCAAUCCCCCGUUGGAAGAACGGCCACGGGAUAUGGAGAGGAAUCAUCUCGAGUUGGGCAUGGUGAAUUGGUGCGUGCAACUGACAAGACUUACAUCUGGCAUUCUGGCCACCAGCUUAGCUGAGUCUCGGAAGAUGGUGGGUCAAUAGUAUCCAGAUAACAUUUCCUUCUUGGCCAAUACCCUUGGUUCGACGUGAUUACCACAGAUGCCCUCAUGCAACUCGCGCAAGACAUGCUCCCCUCCUCUGGCGUUACUUACUUUAGCCAUGGCUGCAAGUAGGAUUUUAUAUAUAGUACUCCCUGCGUGAGCAUGUACUUCUGUGACUUGAGAAAGAUUUUGCGGGCCUCUGUCCUGCUCGGGGGAGCUCUCUAUGAUCUAGGUAUUGGACAAUGGGGUCCAUCCAAGAGCUCAUCACCUGAAUGACUGUGGCGUUUAACUGCUCAUACGCCCGACUUUUAACGACCUCCACCCAUAUCUCUCGAUUUAGAGUGCUAAACGAGGUAGAUGCCAGCUUGGACAGGGCAUCAGCUCUCUUGUUUUGGUUUCGUGGGAUCUGCUCGAGAAUGAACUGCUUGAACUGGUCCCUUAAUUCAUGUGUUUUGGCAACGUACUUCCUCAGUGGCCCCUCUAUAACCUCGUAGCUCCCCCAUACUUGGUUCACUAUCAGCUGCGAAUCGCUGUAGACUUUUAUUGAUUCAGCCCCUAAUUUUCGAGCUAUCUCCAUCCCCGCAAUCAGGGCCUUAUACUCAGAUUCAUUAUUAGAGGUUCUAAAAUCGAAUCUCAAGGCGUAGGCCAGUUCUUCUCCUGUUGGGCUGAUUAGAAGAAGACCUGCUCCACAUCCUUCCUUGCUUGAUGCACCGUCAACGUACAGCGUCCAGACUGGACCUGUUCGUCCUGCAGCCUCUAUAGCCUUUCUGGUUUGAGCAGUCCAUCUGGCCAGCUCGGCCUUGACUGCUCCUCCAGAAUGCGCGAUCUCGGCAGCUUCUCUGGCCUGUCCGACCUUAGUAGCCUCUCUGACCUGCUUGGCCUCAGCAGCUUCUUGGGUCUGCCUGGUCUCAGUUACUUCUCUGGCCUGUUCGACCUCAGCAGUCUUUCUGGUCUGUCCGACUUUAGUUGCCUCUCUGGCCUGCUCGGCCUCAGUAGCUUCUCGGGUCUGCCUGGCCUUAGCUACUUCUCUGGCCUGUUCUGUUUGGCCUCAACUGCUUUUCCGACCUGUUCGACCUCUGCUAUCUUAUUGGCCUGGGCGACCCUGGCAGUGUCUUUAACCUGCAAGAUCUCAACUGCCUUUUGGGUCUGUGUGGUCUUGGUAGUUUCUUGGACCUGUAAGGCUUUGGCUGCUCGUCUGGUGCGUGCGUUCUCAGCAGUUUCUUUGACUUUCCCGGCCUUACUUGCUUCCUUGGUUUGGUCAACCUUAGUCCCGGGAAAUCCAAAGAAAACGCAUUCUACUAUGAAGUCUGCCAAGACUUGGGAUUUGAUGGCCGUCCUCGGCUGGUAUCCGAGAUCGUACUCUGACAGCUCUACGUCCCAUUUCACCAUUCAUUCCGAGACAUCGGGUUUAGAGAGGAUCUGUUUCAGGGGUUGGUCCGUCACCACUAUUAUGGGAUGAGCUUGGAAGCACGACCUGAGCUUCCGAACUGCAUGAACUAAUGUCAAGACAUAUCAUUCUACCGUCGAAUACCUCACUUCGGCCCCCUGUAGGGCGCGACUAACAUAGUAUACAGGUUUUUGGACUUUGUUUUCCUCUUGUACCAGCACCGCGCUAACGGCCUCCUCCCCCACAGUUAAAUAGAUGAACAGGGUUUCACCAUGCUCUGGAGAAGUUAGGGCCGGCAACCGAGUAAGGUGGGUUUUUAGCUCAUCGAACGCUUUUUGGCACUCCGAUCUCCACUCGAAUUGCGAACCUCCUCUUAGAGCUUUAAAGAAAUGGGAGUCCCAAACUGCUGAUUUAGACAAGAACCUGUCCAAAACCGCCAUCCUUCCAGUCAGGCGCUGUACCUUCUUAACAUUUCGAUGAGGAGCCAUGUCUAUGAUGGCCUUGAUUUUGUCCAGGUUAGCUCUUACCACUUCUUUGGAAAUCAUGUAACCUAAAAAUUUUCUCGACCUAACCCCAAAGGUACAUUUCUUAGGGUUUAGCCGCAUCCAUGAGCUCCGAAGGACAUCGAAGAUUUCCCUAAGAUUAGCAAUGAACUGUUCUUGAGUCCGACUCUUCACCAACAUGUCAUCCACGUAGACCUCCAUAUUUCGACCGAUCUGAUCCUUAAACAAUCUAUUGACCAGCGUCUGGUAGGUCGCGCCUGCAUUCUUUAGCCCAAACGGCAUGGUGACAUAACAGUCAGUUUCGUUCUCAGUCAUAAACGAGGUCUUUUCCUGAUUCUCCUCAUCCAGUGUUAUUUGAUGAUACCCUUUGAAGGCGUCCAAAAAAUAAAAAAUCUCAUAUUCCGAGGUUGAAUCCACAAGCUGAUCAAUUUGCCGGAGGGGGUAGCAGUCCUUUGGGCAGACCUUAUUUAAGUUAGUGAAGUCCACGCACAUCCUCCAAACUCUUUCUUCCUUCUUGACCAGCACCGGAUUGGCCAGCCAUGUCGGGUAAUAGACAUCUUUCACGAUCUUGGUUUCUAACAGCUUGCCUACCUCACUUUUGACGGCCUCGUUUCGUUCAGGCGCAAAGUUCCUCUAUUUCUGUUUUACUGGUCGGACGUUGGGGUCCACGUAUAGCUUGUGAACCGCUAGCUCGGUGGGGAUUCCAAGCAUGUCAUCAGCACUUCAAGCAAAUAUUUUCGCAUAUUCUUCUAAAAGGGAUUCUAUAGAGUUCUGGGUCAACUCGCUGAGGCAGGUGCCGACCUUAACCGUACACUCAGGUCGGUUUGGGCGGACGGGCAGCUCAACCAGCCCCUUAUCCGUCUCCAGUCUCUCUCUUUUCUCCAUGGGCUCCCAGGGCUCCAAACAAGUUGUUUGAACUACCAAUUUUUCCUUGCCAUUGAGAGUUGCAAUAUAACAGGCUCUAGCCACCUCCGGAUCUUCGAGCACUUCAACUACCCCAAUAGGGGUAGGAAAUUUCAUGCUGAGGUGCAAGGUGGAGCAGACAGCCCAGAGGACGUUCAGGGUGGGUGGUCCCAGAAUCAUAUUGUACGAUGAGGGCCCUCUUACCACCGUGAAAUUCACUGGCACAGUUCGACACUUUGGUGACACCCCCACCAUGACCAUGAGAGUUAUCAUUCCCUUCGGCCUCACCGGAGGACCAACAAAUCUGAUCAAUGGAGUUCAGACUGAGAUGAGCUGUCUGUCCUCCAGCUACAGCUCUUUAAAGGUCUUGUAGUACAGCACAUCGAUGGCACUGCCAUUAUCAAUGUAUACCUUCUUCACUUUGUAGUUGCAGGUUGUGAGAACCCAUAAAUUUCUCUUAAUAAUUUUCUUAGGGUUUAUCCCCUUUAAUGGCAUGUUUUCUGCAUUUUCUGGUUUAGGAAAAAUUUUUCUGGUGAAUUUUAUGAGUAAUUAUGUUUUUAGAUGAUUUUUUAGUAUUGGAGAGUUUUUGAAAAACUAAGGAUAUAUAACGGAUGUGGGAUCCACUAGUGCGAAAAGUUCGGAAAAAUUCGGUCAAUUAGGUUAAGUUUCGGAUACUGGUUGAAAUUUAUCGGGUGUUAAGAGAUAAGUAGAGGUUGAGAUGUGAUUGAUGUGAGAGAGACUUAAAGGAUAGAAAUGCUUUAAAUAUAGUGACAAGUGUCACUUGGUGAAUGGUGGCACUUGUAGGACAACUAUUCAUUUUCUUGACUUUUUGACCAAUUGCUUAAAUAUCUCAAAAAUCACACAAAAUUCAUUCUUGUCUUCAACUUCUUGGCCGGCUCUCUCUCUAGGAAAAGAAAGAAAACUUCUCCAAUUUUCAAGCUUCCAACUAACUCAAAUCCUCCAAAACAAUUGCUUAAAUUUGUUUCUACUCCAUAAAAUCCCUCCAUUUGGUGCUAGUAAGUGAUUUUGUGGAAGUGUUCAAGGAAGCUAAGGUGUCCUACAACUCUCCCUCUCUUGUGUUCUAGGUAAGUGGUGUUUGAACUUCCUCCUACACUUAAUGAAGCUUGAGUUGUGCUUAGUGGAAGCUAAAGUGAUGACCUUUGUGAUUUAUUUCUUGCUUUUGGAUGAAAUGAUGAAGUUUUCAAUUUAAUGGUGAUUUUUCUGGUUUAAUUUGAUCAUGAGGUUGUGGCUGUCCAUGAUGGUUGGAAAUGAUGUUUUAUGACUCUAUUAGAUGUAAAUGAUUGGUAAUUGUAACCAAUUUUGGAUUUGGAAGGAAACGUGAGAAGUUAGGGUUUCAUAACCCCAUUUUCUGUCCGAUUUUGUAUCAUAUGGUUAGAGGUGAAUUGGCCUUUGCUUAAAACAUAAAAGUUAUAGGUAUUGAUGUGUUUGAGGUGCCUGUAAAAUUUCAGGUCAUUUGGAGUAGUGUAGAGUGAGAAAUGUCGAAAUUACUAUUGCUGUUCUGGGUUCAUCAGGAUGGCAGAACUGCGCCUGUAAUUGGCUGUGUUGACUGGAAUUGCUUUGGAUUUGGUUGUUGAGGCCUUCUGAUGAAAUGUAGCUUGAUGUCUUAGCUACCGCAUGCCUUUGGAAUCAAUGAAUUUGGACUUGUAUAGACUGAGUUGGACUAAUUACAGCAUAGUGUAAUUUGUAAACCUGCAAUUAAGGUUCUGGUUUGGUAUCUUGCAUAUUUGACCUGGUUGUGAUAGGAAUUGGACUGAGUGACCUUCUACAUUGUUGUAGCCCUGGUUCUUAGCUUCAAAACGGUGGAUCUUACACCCUCAUCUGAUAAUCGUAGUGAAAUUGGUACCAUUACCGCAAAAUGAGGAUAAAAACUAUUUUUUUUUCAGGACCAAAGUUAAUUGCAUUUCCGGAUUUUCUGGUUACCUAUGAUACUUGUAUAUGCAUAUGAAACCCUAUUGGGGUUGUGAUUGGCAUUGCUUUAUGACUCGUUAUCGAGUCUCAUUGUACUUGUUUACGUGUUCUAGGGCGUGACGGUGGUUCACGACAUUCUCUUGACGGAAGUGCAUGAAACAACACUUAAUUGAUAAGUGAGUAUACUACUCACUUGAAUGUUACAAUGUGGCUUUGCUAUAUGUGAUUUUGAUGCCUUGAAAGCUUAUUUGGCUAUUGGAAUUGAUUGAGGUGAGGGUGUACUUGACCGUCCUCAUCCCUUGUGAUACCGUUAAUGACUGUUUACCGCUUCACUGAUAUACUGCACUUGCUAUAUGAGAUAUUGAAUUCACUUCAUGAAAAACUGAUUUGAUGUCGUUUGGACGAGUAUCCAACGGCCUUACUGUACUACUGACCUCAACCUCGUUGGUAGUCAAUUGAAUCGAGCCGGCGAGGGCUUGGUCGUGAAAAUUGACAUGCCACGGGGACUGUAUUGGGGAAUCUUGUAGUAUUGAAACUCUUGAUUUCGGUAAACUCGAGUAUUACCAAAAGCUACUGAUUGGAGUGCGGGCCUGGUUGGGGUAUGUUUGGUGGAAGGGAUGGGAGUGAAGUGGGUUCUACGGUUGGUACUCUUAAACGUUGACGGAGAAUCAAUGAGAUUGGAUCAAGAAUGUAAGCGUGGAAAUGGGCUCUUGAGAGCCGUCCGUAUCCUUUUACCGACUUGUUUUACUCUGUAAUUGUGUACUUGAAAUGAAAGGUUAUGCUAUAUGCUCUUUGUUGCUUAUGUGGUAGUAACUCACUGAAUUUAAGCUCAUUCCGUUCCAUUUGUUUUUCUUAUAGGAAAUGACCACUUUUGGAAAAGGUUGUGUUAGUUGGUUGUCAAGUUGAGCUUAUGUAAAUGUCUUUUGAAUAGCUCUUUGAAUGAAACCCUAAUGUGCAUUGGGUUCAUUCUCUUUUGAUUGGCAAACCGAACAUGUAUAUCCAUGAUGAAUCGUUUUGAUAUGCCGCUUUGGUUUGUAAAUGUUACAUUUCAAUGUAUGUAUGUUUGGUUGAUAUUUGGUUGGAUUUCGGAUCAACUCGUAUUUCAAACGGCAAAAGAAAAAUUUGGCUACUCUCGGCCUAGUAUCCGGAGUCGGACGUGGCCGGUACAGUUCAUCAUCGGUUUCGAUUUUUUUCAUUUUUUUUAUUUUGUGAUUUUGACUUGGUUGCGCGCAUUGGUAAGUUCCGGAACGUAUUAGAUCGACGUAAACUGAUCCGUUAGUCCUGGCGAGAGUUGGGCAGGCAGUCCGCUAACCCCUUUGGUUCGCCUUAGGGGAAGGUGGGGCUGUUACACAGGUAAUGACCUCUAUCACGAUGGUUUCGUGGUUAUUAGAGGCCAGAGGGACUGCAUCUUCAGGUCCAUAAAUGAUUUUCUCGUACAUCUUUAAUCGUUUGCUUGAACUCUCCCCAUUGGGAGGAGGGCGGUUGUGACGCUGAGCUGUAUGGCUAUCCCCUCCAACCGGUUCUCCCGCAAUAGUAUUGAUCACCCCGGCCAGAUUCUGACCCUCCUGCUCGAGAGUUCGGCCACGGGGCCCCUGAGAUCCGUCACGGGAGUAGCUCAGGUGCUCUGGUUUGGGCCUUCCCCGUCGCUGGUCAGUUCGCUCAUUACGUAUGAACUACCCGAGGUGGCCCAGUCUGAUCAACUUUUUAAUGUCUUUUUUGAGGUGGCGACAAUCCUCCGUAUCGUGUCCCACAUCUCGGUGAUACGCACAAUACAAACCCUGAUCCCGCCUGCUCUUGUCCCCGAUCAAGGGUCGGGGAGGUCGAGAGAGUUCUUCUUGUUUCAUCACAGCGAGUACCCGAGUUCGAGGUGCAGUAAGGGCAGUCCAGAACUUAUCUCCUCCCAUGGGGCGACUCCUGGGCAGGCGAUCGUAGGCGUUCUUCCGUUCCUGGCUGUGUCGCGCGUCCAUCUGGUCAGUGUUCCUUCUGCGCUUAUCAUCCCUUAACUUUUCCUGCGCGCUUUUCAGGCGAUUGGCCUCCUCCGUGUUGGCUUUUUCAUGAGCUCGGUCCAGCAUCUCGCGCACUGACUUGGGAGGUCUUUCCACGAGCUUGGUGUAGAGCUUCUGUUUUCGCAGCCCGUUGAUGAAUGCGGCCAUGACCACCUUGUCAUCCUGAUCGCGGAUCUGGAGGGACUCAUUAUUGAAACGUACCAUGAACUCGCGCAAGGAUUCUUCAGGUUUCUGCUGGAUGGUCAUCAGGUGAGCAGUGCUUUUGGAGAAGGCUCGCGACGAAACGAACUGUGCUGAGAAUAAUCGUGCGAGUUGGGCGAAGGAUCGGAUAGACCUGGGGGGAAGCCCCUGGAACCAUUGACGUGCCUUUCCCUCCAGGAACAUUGGAAAAGUCUUGCACCUGACCGCAUCCGCGGCCAUUUGCAAGCGCAUUUGCCUCAUGAAGGCGAACAGGUAAUCCUCCGGAUCCGUGGUUGCAUCAUAAGAUUUCGUGCUCGGUAUUUUGAAUUUCGCGGGCAACGGGUAGUCCUCAAUAUCAGGUACAAAGGAGGAAGCAAUAUACCUAUCUGCCUCAGGAUCCAACAGCAAGUCCAACUUGUUCUGCACCUGGUGCUGCUCUCUUCGCGGGGAGAGCUCUCCCCUGGAGUACCUCCGGAAGGGCUUCGGAUGCUUGGUUCGGUAGUGCUUGUGGGAUGACUCCAUAACUUCGAUCUAUUCACACGUGAGCUCCUGGCGCAUCCGCUUGGGCCGGGGGUUGGGUUCCCUGUUCGGGAUUCUGUCAGGCCAACUCCUUCCACCCCUUGGACCUUAGGCUCCUGGUCAUGAUGACCUCCCGUCCGCCCUUUGAGGUAGUCCAUGAUUGCCUCGAAAGUAGGUAGAUUUUUCGCCACCGUUUGAACUAACUGUUCAGGUAGGAUUUGUGACGGUCCCGUUCCCUCAUCUCUAGGAGUCGAACCCCGAGUGGGGUUUUAGGGGCCACUUUUCUGGUUCUCCUUAGAUCCGUCAGCGUUCAUCUGAAAUCUAGUUCUUGGCAUGAUUCGCAAGAAAAGAACUACGUGUUUCCCAAGAACACAGUCUGAGCUGAGUUGCUGCAGAUCGAGCUGGUUGGGAGCUGCCUAGCUGAGAGGGGAAUGCCGAGCUGAAUAUUAUGCGAAGAAAGAACGAAGGCGGGACUAGAGUCUCCGGAAUAGCUCCGACGAUCAAAUCAGUAGAGUUUAAAAGUAGGACAACAGUAAAGAGUACUGUGGAUGGCGUACCUUGUAUUGUCGUGUGGUGCCAUAUUUAUAGGUUUCAGGGUAGUAGUUUCCUAUAGGAGUAGGAGUCCCCUUAGGGUUCGGAGUCCUUUUAGGGUUUCGUAUGACAAUCCCUAAAGGUUCGGAGGCGGCGGCCCACUAGACCCACUCUAGGGAGAGGCGGCAGCAGUGGCCGGGCUGACCUCUCUCUAAACCGAACUGAGGCGUCCGAGAUGGGAGACCUCUAUUGCCGACCUCGCGUGUGCCAGAGUGUCACAUGUGGAUUGCACCCACUACAGUGUGCUUUUUUUUUUUUUUUUAUCUUUUUUCAUAUUUUUUUUAUAUGCUUUAAGGUCUAGAUAAGAUAUAAAUUAGAUAAUAGUGCUCUUUUGAGUUUCUAAUCUUUUUUAAAUGUAACUAUUAUAAAUAAUUCAUUUAUUAUUAUCAUCAUCAUCAUCGUCAUCUUAGAUAUAAACUGUGCAUAACACGGGUCAGAUUACUAGUUUUAUAUGUACUCUAGAAGGAUAUUUCGAUACCUAAUUCAUUGAAAAAAAUAUUUUACUUACGUUAUAAAUAUAUCUCUUAAUUAUAUUUUAAAAUUUAAAUUAUCUUUUUAUUUCACAUAAUUACAUACAUCUAUAAUGUUGUAAUAAUUUUUUUUUUCUAAGUGAUGAGCUAUACAAACACCUUAUGCUAAUAGAAGUUGGCAACGACGAGCCACUUUCCUAUAAAAAAGUCACGUGUCAUUGAUGGACGAUUUGUAACCGUUGCCUAUGUCAAAAACGUGUUGGUGAGUGAUGUGUGUCCUAGCUGGAUAAUUUGUAACUACUGUUACUGAUGUCAAAUUUUGUAUCCUCACUGGAUGAUCUGUAAUUGCUGGUGCCGAUGUUAGAAUUUUGUUGAUGAGCGAUCUGUAUCCUUACUGAACAAUUCUGUAACUGCUGGUACUGAUGUCAGAGUUACGUCGGUGAGUAAUCUGUAUAAAUUCACCUAUAGUCCAAGAGGUAUGUUUGACUAGUAAGAGUAACCGAAAUCGAAUCCGAAUCCGUCUAAAACAUUUUUUUACCAAAAAAUAAAUAAAUAAAACAAAAACCAUCAUGUUUUAAACGAUGUCAGAGCUGCUGUGUUGAUGACUAUAAAUCUAUAUAUGAUCCUAGAGGUAUGCCCCGAAAUCGAAUCCGAAUCCCUCUAAAUUUUUUUUUUUUUUAACAAAUAAAAAACACGAACACCUAUGUUUGAAAGGAAAUGUGUGGAACUUGGGAGUGGAAAUUAAAGAGAGAUUGGAAAAGCCUCUGGGCUUUGACUCAUAGAGACUCCUCGUCACCGUGCACAGCAGUAAAGUUCCUUUCUUUCCCUCCAAGCAUCCGGCGUCUCUCAAUUCUCCAGACCGACGCGAGAGAUGGGCGGCCAGGAUAAACCCCCAGGACCCGGACUCGAACCCGACAUACAGCCAUUACUGAACGCCUCCAAAUACUUCCUCUGUCACCGGAGCUUUUCCCAGAGCUUGAAAUACGCGGACAAAGCCCAACAAUCCAAUCCAAACCACCCUGGUCCGCCCCAAAUCCUCGCUAUAUCCACUGUUCUCUCGGCCACUCCGUCCUCGACCCGACCCGAACAGCCAGAAUGGUACUUAAUCAUCAACCUCCCUCGUUUUACUCAAGACCAGAAUCUGAUUCGGACCCGUUGUGCUUCGCUCGUCAACCUCUUAAACCCUGACACAAACCCUUACCCAUUUGCAGCCGAAGCCCGUGAUUGGGUUGUCAAAGCAGAAUCUGUUUUGUUUGACCCGGACGCGAAAGCCCAGUAUGAUAACGGAUUGAAAAUGACGCAAAAAAAUAGUGGAAAUGGCGGCGGAACUUUUUGGACUUUGUGUCCGUACUGUUACUUUAUGUAUGAGUACGAGAAAAUGUAUGUGGAUUGUGUCCUGAGGUGUCAGAAUUCCAAAUGCAGGAGGGCUUUCACGGCGGUGGCGGUUGCUGCUUCAGCCGCGCCGCCACCGGAGUUGGUGGAGGAAGGAAAGUACACCUGUUAUGGGUUUUCGCCGCUGGGUCCUAACAAUGGAAGUGGUGGUGACUCUGGUGAAGAGAGAGGGAAAAGUUGGUGGGCUCCAUUUGUAUCCAUGGGUCAAUAUCCGGGUCCAGUUCGGGCCAAUGAGGAAAAGGUGGAUGUGAGGACUAAUGUGGACUCAAAGAGUGAAAAGAGUAAUGGGUUUAUUGAAAUUUCCGAUGAUGAAACUGCAGGUAGAGAGAAAAUUGAAAGAGGGGGACAGGGAAACGGUGUUAAUAAUGGGAAGGUGGUGAUGAAGAGGAAAAAAAUGGCUGCUAUAGGGAAGAAGAAAUUGAUGGGAAAAGGGAUUAGAGUUGUUGGGAACCAUAGUUUAUCAGCGGAGGGUGGUGAAGGAAUAGGAUUUAAAGCUGGAGGGAACGAAGCAAAUGCGAAUACAAGUCCAGGGAAUGAAGCAAAUGCAAAUACAAGUGGAGGGGUAACGGAAGGCUGUAAUGAGGAGGAAUUGGAGUUUUGUGCUGGAGAUGAUGAUAUUUUUGUUGCUGUGAAUCCUUGGGCUGAUUUAGGAUGUGAAAAGCUUAGGAAUUGAUGAGAGAUGAGUUGGGGAUUUUGAACUCUGUUUAUAUGCACUGUUUUGCUAGCUGGGAGCCUUGGACAUGAUGGUGUACUAAAUGGCCAGUAAAGUUUUGUAACUGGUAGAAUCAUGUUGAUAAUCAUUAGAACUGGUAGAAGUGAAGAAGUAAUCCUGAAUAUGGUUCUUGAUAUCUUUGUGUGGCUGUCAUGUGGAUUCUUUUGCCGGUAGUAUUUGAUGUUUUGAAACAGUUAUAUGGCCAAUAGUAUGCUUGGUUUUAUCCAAAAGUAAGUUGGAAAAAAAAACAGAGAAAUGGAUCAUAUGAUUGGUUAUCUUUUUGUUUAUAGUUUGUUAUUGGCAUACGAGUAUUAAGUCAUAAGCAAGGAAACAAGAUUAAAAUAUUCUAGGUGCUUUAAUUUGAUUGCUGGGUUUUGGAUCUGCUCUGCUUUGCCGUCCAACUUCCCUAACAUUUCCCGCCAAUAUUUCUUCAGCAAUCAAAUUGGAUCUGAAUCUGCUCUGUUUUAAAGUCCAAUUUUUCUUAUAUUUCCUGUCAAUUUUUAUACUAUUCUAGCUGCUUUAGUUAGAUUGCUGGGUUUUGAUCUGCUCUGCUUUAGUGUCUAAUUUUCUUACGUUUCCUGUCAAUAUUUUAGAUUUUCUUUACCUUUGCCUUUUUCUUUGCUGAAUUGCAUUGUUUAUGUUUCUGGUCAUCCUUUUAGUGCUGAUGCUGAGGAUCUUUAAUGUCUGAAAAUCUUAGCCUAAAUUUCUCUAAAUUGGACAAGUCUGAAUGUUGGUGUAGCUGUAUAUCUAGGAUGCUAAAUUGAUGGGGAUUUGACUUGUCAAGUUGAGAAAAGAGGACAUGAACUCUUAAAACUGUCGAGUAUUUACAUUAUACUUGAAUUUUGGUUCUGUCCUGAGGUUUGGUGCAUUCUCCUUGAUUCUAAUAAAUUGGUGGUGGCUUAUCUAUCUUCUUCUACUUCUUGUUGGAAGGUCCAUUGUAACUUUUUGGUUAUUUAGGUUUGGAUUGCAUCAAGGGAUAUCCUGCAAUAUGGGGUUAUCUUUUAAUGAGAUACUGGGAUAGUAUAAUGGACUAGUUCAGCUCUGACAAACUAGUUUUUGAAGACUCAGGUCAACAAUGGGAAAUUAUGUGUUAUGUUUAUUUGAUUAGGGUGACACACUAGUACUAGGAAGCAAUAAAGAAGUUAUUGCAUCUUUGAAAAUGUUUUGUGUGUAUAAAUCAAGAAGCGACUGCGUUAAUUUGAACCACUAAAAGUAUGCAGAAAUCUAGUAAUCAAGCAUCGUUAGUCCUGUCCUGUGGCCCCUUUCUUUUCUGUCUCUUUAGCAUUAAGUAGAAUAAGAGAAUUGGAAUGAUAUAUAAGUGGCAGAACAGGGGCAGACAUCCCUACAAGGGCCUGUCCGGACUAAUCUAGCAUGUCUACCUAAUUUUAUCUUCCAGUUUAGCCCCCUGUGACUGGAUGGUCUUUUACCUAUAUUGACUGCUAUUAACAAGUCUGAAGAGAGAUUGUGUUAUAUCAUGUGUGUGCGUUUGCAUAUUGAGCAUUUAGCUUCCCUGCGAAUGCUUUUUCUUUUUCUUUUAAUUGUGUUUUCAACGAGAAUAGAUUUUGCCUCUUCUUGAUUUGCUUGUGUCUUGCGUGUUCUGCUUUAUUCUGCUUAGAUGUCACAGUUGAACUGCAUACCUUCUGAUGCAUGUAGAUAGAGAUUCCUCCCUUUCAAGUCGUCAUGUCAUUCUUCGCCUAAAUUGUGCUGAGAAUAGGAAUGAGAAGAAAAAAAAUCUCUAAACUACCUAGGUGCAGAGAAACAGCUUCAUAGGCUUAAAGCCGCUCCCACAGGUUCUGGUUCUGCAUUUUCUUGCCUCACCAACUCUCUCCCUCUCUCUUGCUUAGUUGCUUUUGAUUUUUCUUAUGUUUCUUCCAUUUGAUAAUGUAUGAUCAGAUAGAGCGUGAUCUCUUUUAGGCCGCGUACGAGUUCAUACUUUGAGAUGGAUGAGGAACUAGCUUGUUGCAGGUUGAUUGAGUUUAUAUAUUAGAUUAAUUAAGACUGCUUAAGAAAAAGAUUGAUGUUAACUUCGAUCAGGCUCAACUAAAAACAGUUUUUCAGUGUGAAGAAAGAUGCUUCUUUCUUUAAGGUGUCAUCCAAUGGCUAUACUAACAACUUUUUGGAAGCAGAUUUUAACUUGAAAGUCGAGACCCCUAACUUUUAUCCAUCUGGGAUUCCUGAUGGGCCAAUUUUGCACAUGUUCGAUUGCUCUGUGCAUGUAUUAUUGUUUCCUAAGCUACAAGGAAGAAAACAGAACUUUUUGUUACAAGCAGCUUCAUGGGAUAUCUUUAACAGCAAAAGAAUUAGUCUUUUGGAAUGGUUUAUUCUGUCAUCUCCCUCUUUUUGUAGUGGGGAAAAUGUGGGGUUUUCUUUCUGGUUGCAUUAUUUAACAAAUCAAGUCAAGCUUGCGAAGUGGAGGGAAGAAGAUUUAAGUUGAUUUUUUGCACAAUUCGUUGAAGCAAAGAUGCAAAAUAGAACAUGGAGGAGACAUUUAAAUUUGGCCGAGAGCGGAAAAUCAAGAUAACAAAAAGAAACUUGAACGUGCCAGGGGAAAAAAAAAUCACACUACUGCCUUUUGUUCUGCUCUUUGGCUUACUUUUGAAUCAAAGUGAUCAUUUUUGUCAAAGCUGAGGACUAAAGAACUUCAAUUCUCUCAAGUUGGGUUUUCUUUUCACACCCACGUGGGCAAAGACACUCAAUUCCUUGCCUCUCCUCAGUCCUCCCCCAAUCCCACACGAAUACAAAAGAAUUUCACACCAAAUAUGCAUACAAGGAUAACUUCCAAAACCCAAAAAAAAAAAAAAAAAAAAACACACGCACACACACACACAAGGAUAGUUGCCUAUACAGGGGAUUUUUCACAUUUUGUCACUAAGUUGUUGGGCAUAGAAAUCCCUCCUUGGAAGUUUAUCCAUGGCAACCGACCAUCUCUGAGAGUUUACGGGCCUAUUUGGUAAAUAAGUUUUUGAUCAAGUUCGUCUGCCACAAGUUUUUUAACAACUUUAGCUAUAGUAAUCUCAAGAAAUUUCUUAAAAAUUUUAAACUAUAUAUUUCAAAAUAUCUAAAAAUUUAUACAUUUCAAAAAUUUUACAAAUAACUCCUAUCGUAAAUUACAGUAAAAUUUUAGACAAACACCCAAAAAAUUUAUUUGACAAACGGCUUGGUUUCAAAGUUGUUGCCAACCUUUGCAUCUUUUAAGUCGAAAAGUGAAAAAGGCAAAGCAAAGCAAAGAUCCAAACUGUAGAUGCUGGAUAAAGAGGACACCCUAUGUUUCUUCAUACCGUGAACUUAGUGAGGUGACCGUCCCAGCUGUAUUUGAUUGAAUUCAACUUUUCAUCCAUUGUGAAUGGGAUCUUUUUCCAUUCCAUUUCAAUCUGUCUGAAACCCAAAUGAUUUUGCAUUGUUUUGCUAAUACACGUAUUUCUUGGUCCUGUUUAUCCUAGGACUAUUUUGCAUAUGCUGAUUUUCACGGACACCUAUUUGACAUAGAAAAAGCAGUUUAAACUGGAGCAAUCUUGAUUUUCAUGCUUGCUUAAUUUAAGCCUUAAAGCUUCAAACGUCAUCAAUGAUAUAAAUGUGAUUGGAAUCUUUUAAGAGAAAGGGUAACUAUUUUUUUGUCUGUAACGAUACAUAUGUAUAACCUACUCUAUCCUAAUAUAGGAUAACUUGAUAUUGUGUUCUUUGUUACAAGGUACAAAAGCAUCCUACCACCAACCUCCAUACUUUUAGCACAAAGGGAACUGAUUAAAGCACAACUAAAAGAAAAGAAAUUAGAAACUUUUUUUAUCAAGAACAGAACAGUUUGCUGAUUGGUCUGUGUUAGAGGCUAACGGUUACAGGAAAAACAAGCCAGCGGUCCUUGUUGCGGAGAACAAGUUUGAGGUCAAAGAGGGGACUGUGGGGCUCUGAAGUUGCAGGUGUGUGGGAACAAAUGGACAAACAGCAAGGCUGCCUCUGCCUUUUCUUUCUUGGGACCCCAAAAAUAAAAUUCUUCUGCUGCAUGCCAAUGCCGUAAUCAACUGCGCCGGAAAAUCAUUGCUCUUUUGAACUUCUCCAUUAGAAUUCACUGGCCAAACCAAAAGCACAUCUUGUGAUAAAUAUUCUCCCUGCGCUUCUCACCUUUUUGUUCCUGUGUUUUGUUCAUAUCCCAAUAAUGUCAAACGCAGCGUUAUACGUUAUGAAUUCUAUACUUCAUGUAGGGGAAAAAAAAAUUGUACUAGUAUCACUUGGUUAUCAUACAUGCACCUUUUGAUUCUCUAUUGCUAGAACUCGUGCAGAAGCAGAUCUCCUCCAUUCGAUUUGUCAAUUUUGAUAAACGUAUUUUAAUUGAAAUAUAUUUUUGAUAAUUUUUCUAUCUAGUCUAGAAGUUUGCUAUUACAAUUUUCAAAGUUUCUUUGCAUGUAUUCCUGUCUGCCAUAAGAUCUAACAAGAAGUCAAGAACUCAAUGACGGGUGAAUGUUGUAAUGAUUAUUCCUUUUGUAUGACAAGCACACUACUGUAAUUUUUAGAGUUGUAGACAUUUAUAAAAUAUUAAUGGUGUUCUAACAUAAAUGAAUAUCUCAAUAAUAUUAUCCUAUUCUUAUUCCAAAAUUUUAGAUACAUUCACUCCUAAAAAGAGAAUACUCUCAUGAUUUUUCGUUUAUGUUGUGUAAGUGAAAUUGAAAUUCACAGCGCUGUGACUGUUUGUCCAAAUUAAGGGCAUAGCUACAACCAUUAAGAGGUCAAGGGAUCUUUUCAAAGAGGGAUCAUAGUUUGGGGGCUUAAGUGAAUAUACCGAAAAGUGAAAAGUACAAAUAGCUUGAUUUUAUUAGUGAACCUUUGCCUUAUAGUCACACCGCAUCCUUACUAACAAGUCCAACUAGACAUACUAAAAGCAUCACUCAUUUUCACUUCAAAUUGGCUGAUGUCCUGAUGAAGAUAGAGCAAUCUUGGCAUCCAACUCUUACGAAAACAAUCCUUUUGUCUUGGUAACAGGAGAAAUCAUCUCUGGGAUUUUUGUGCGAUAUUUCAGAUUUACAGAAUCUUCAAACUCAGAGGCGUACCAGAAGAAGCAGGUUGGAUUCUAACUAUAAAUGCUUCACCUUGAGUACGUUGCAAUUUUCCUCAAUCAUUUUCACUUCUACUAGUUCCCGUUGAAACAUAUGCCUUAAACGCCAAGAUUCUUCUUUUUUCUUGUGCUUCUUUGUUGUUUUUACCGAGAUGGAUUAUUCAUUUGUCUACUUUUGAUGCCUCACUUCUACUUGCUUUUGUCGACUCUUUUUAUAUCAAGUGAGAGGAGCAAAUGCAUACUUUGCCAAGUUUCUAUGAAGUUGGAAGCUGUUCAGAGUCUUACAACUUCCUUCACGAAAUUUUGAACUCAAGAGAGCAACUGCACCUUGACAAUUCAACCGUUAAUGCCAUUUCAAUGGCUGAGGCAAAAGCAGUUGCAGCAAACAAGAGCCACAGUGAAGCUGAAAGGAGAAGAAGAAAGCGUAUCAAUGGUCAUCUUGCUACACUUCGCAACCUUCUUCCCAAAACCAUCAAAGUAAGUUUUGUUCAUUCAUCUAGUUGCUCUUUUUAUUGCCCUAUUCAACUUUUCCAUGUUCAAAAGACGACCCUCCAUUCUUCUUUUCUUGGUUAAUAAGUUUGAAAUGUAAUGAACAUAGGCAGACAAGGCAUCAUUGUUAGCUGAGGUUGUCCGGUGCAUAAGAGAGCUAAAGAAGUCAACAGAAGAACUCUCAGCUACAGAAGGUGAUGAUCAGUCCAACACAGCAAUGAAACUCAUGUUUCCUAGUGAAACUGAUGAACUCAAGUUAUGUUAUGAUGAUGGAGAUUCAAGGACUAUAAAGGCAACAUUAUGCUGCGAGGACCGACCGGAGAUGAUGAUAGAGUUAAAGAGGGCAUUAAACGCAGUAAAAGCUAAGGUGGUGAAGGCAGAAAUGGCAACAGUUGGGGGAAGAACAAAAACUGUGCUUUGGCUGCAAGCUUCAGCAGCUGGAGAAGAAGGGCUGGCGACAAUAAGGAGAGCACUGAAAGUGGUUGUAGACAGGUCUAUCAUGUUGCCUACUCCUGGCCAGGCUUUGCCGGGUAACAAGCGGCCUCGUCUCUAUCACUGCUGAAUAUAUGAGUUUAGGGUUUUGUAUUUUUUGAAUCUUGACGGUGCCACCUGUUUAAAAUGGUCCAUACUAAUGUUGGGGAUGGGGACCAAUGACCCCAUGGAAAUUGAAAAGUGAGCUAAGGUGAUCAUGGAUGAGGUAGGAGAAUUUGAAGUGUCAAUUUGGUAGAAGAUUUAUCCUAGUUAUGUAUGAAUGUCAAACUCCCAGCUGGUGCUAUGAAUCUAAAAAGUAGUACUGCCUGCGCUGCGAGAUCUUCAUUCGUGUUUCCUUUUAAUUUUAAUUGAGAAGCAAAAUUGCGAGCUCUGAGUGAAUUAUGAAAGGGGUAAAAGUUUAAAUUAUUUUGGUAGAAUUCUUCGUUUUGCAGGUUGUUUCUAAUGAUUCCUUGAGUUACUAACAUGUUCCUUUUUUUGAAGGGAAAAAAAAAAUUGUAACAGGGUUGAGCUAGUAAUGAUUUUCCUUUUUCUAAUCAAAAGUUUGACUUCGACUUAGAGUAAGAGAAAAGUGGGGUUGGGGGAGCCUAAUCACUGAUUUCUUGUUUUUGGACUUUAGAAUCCAAGGUAAUCAUUAACAUUUGCUCCUAUCAGACUAGACUAUACUGUUUCAGGCACAUGUUUUUAGCCUUUAGUAGUUUAAUCAUAUGAAACACUAGCUUAUCUUUUUCUCAAUUUUGGAGCAAAUGUAUUACCAAUUUCUAACUCUUAUUUGACCCGCGACUGCAGUCACUCCCUCUCAUUUGUUUGUUUAAAUUACGUAAGACCCACUCCAUGUUUUUUCUCAACCAAGCCAUACACAUACCUUCAUCAAGAAUGUUGUCCUAUGUUUGAAAUCAAUUGAGAAGUUGAACUAACAAUAGAAAUCCUCCAUUUCUUCACAACUACAUUUUAUCCAACUCUUUGAACUUUCCAAACACGCAAAAUCUAUAAUUCACUAUAAAUAGCCAAUGCAGUUCCAAUCAAUUCAUUCAACUCAAAACAAAAGAAAGUACAAACCCUUUUAGCCGCACUCUUUUUGUGCUUUUGAUCAAACAAUGGCUGCCUUGAACCAUUGUCUCCUUUUCUCCUUCACGGUAGCAUUCUGCUUCUCAAGCUUCCAAAUGAGUUUCGCAGCCCGCCACCUGCUGCAGGCACCAUUGAUUCCAACAAUGCCUACGAUCCCAUCGCUGCCUAAACCCGCUGGGUUGCCUCCAUUGCCUUCAAUUCCAAGCAUUCCUAAGGCAACAUUGCCACCUUUGCCAAGCAUCACAUUGCCUAAAAUCCCAGCCGCUGCUGCACCACUGCCAAAGCCCACUUUGCCAAGCACACCUCCGCUCCCAUCCUUGCCAAAACCCACUCUACCAUCUUUCCCAUCUGUUCCCAAGUUCACUCUACCUCCACUGCCAUCCAUUCCAAAAAUCCCCGUCCAAGCACCACCACCAUCUCACUAGUGCUGGAGACUCGAGUUCUUGCAUUUGGUUUCAUUACGCCAUAUUGGUAGAUUCAUGAGCUGUUCGGUUUGAUCUUAUGUUCAUGGCUUGGUGUAGUAUUUCUGUCGUUUUUACGCAUUGGUUACAUGUAUUUGUCCUUUGGCGAUUUGUAAACCAUUUCCAUUUCUGUAUUCAUCCAUUGUAUUCUUGGAGCGUUCGUGUGUUGUAGAUCUAUUUUAGGGUAUUAGUAAAAAUAACUUUUAUCUUCGUUUAUAUCAUCUUCAUUCUGUGGUUAUAAACCUGUUUAUUUUUUUUUUCAAAUGAAUUGUGAAUGUAGAUUAAAGAAUUAGUCUAAAUAAAAUUUGGAGGGCAUAUUCUAGCCUGACACUCUUCAUCAAUCAUCAAUCAGAGGGUUGUAACAUACGUUGGAAAUCGCCUCCACAAUAGGGUGAAAAAGGAAUGUUGAAUAAAUUUGAAUGCAAAAUGGGGCAAAUGCCAAGCGUUACUUGGGUACCUUAGUUGGAUUUGGUGCUUGACAAUUCCAUGUAAAACCUGCCAAAAACCAUGACCGCAUGCAGUAAACGGAAUCCCUAAUGUAUUACAAUUCAAUAAUAAUAAAAAUGAAAACAUAUGAAUUAUUGCAUAAUAAGUACAUGAUAAUUGUACAAUAAUUCAUAUGAAUUAUUAUAAACUCAUAUAUAGUGAAAUUUGAAUUUAAGAAUUUAAAGUCUUGAACCCUAAACCUUAGGUUGAAGACUCAUUUUCAUGUUAAUGGACGUCCCUCAACAUGAAUUAUCUUUAGCGUUGUUUGUAAUUUCUAAUGAAAAUCAAAUUUACGAAUCAAUAUUUUUUGAUAAACAAUAAGCUUGCUUGUUCUAUGCUGACCAGCUGUGCAUGUACUUGUAAACAUCAUAGCUAGCACUCUUAUAAACUUAAAAGAGCUUACCUUGUUUCUUCCGGUGAUUUACAGUUCUUUAAAACCUUUAAAAAAAAAAAGUGAAGUAAAUUUAACUUUUUUUUUUUUUUUUUUGGUGGGGUUGCAUGUCAACCGAAAUCCAAAUUCAGAUGACCUUUAGGUUGCAAACUUUUUCAUUGAAGGGGGGGAAGAAAGGGACCAAAUCCGUCAAUUGUUCUUCCAAUUGGGUCCCUUAAUAAUUUUGGAGGCCCAAAACCAAAAUGCUACGAAUUUUCUCUUUCGUAACACCAUGUUGUUUCAAAGCCGAUGUUCUUCCCAUUCCAUCUUGUCUUCCACUUUCAAGACCAAUUUGGCCUGAUUACAAGAACAAUAGCUGAAGAUUUGCUAAGAUAGGAACAAAAAUAGAUUGACAUUAUAAUUGCGAUUACGAAACUGUUGAAACUGGUUAAGAACAACUACUGAAGCGUUUUGAUUUGCAAUGAUAGGAGCAGAAAAAGAUUGACACUGAAUUUCUAUCGGCUAUUGAAAUGAUAGCUUUUCUAGGAAUAGGUUUAUUAUUGCUUCUCGAUUUACUUAUUUAUCAGCAUGAGAUCAUUGGAGACUAUUUAAUAAAUGAUAAUCAUCAUAAAAUCUCACAUUAAAUGUGUACGAUGAUGAUGGGUCCUGGCUAAUUUUCUUUACAAUUAAUUCGUGGUUUUUUAAGGGAUACAAAAACUAAGUUAUUAUAAGGAAAUAUAUAUAUAUUUACAUUAGUAUUGAGGAAAGAGAAUCACCCAUGACACAAAAAGAUGGGUUUAAAAUGGUUCCAUGCAUGCUAUUACUGGAAAGAGGUGUUAUGACACUAGAAUCAGCUUGUCAAAGACAAGUUGGUCGUUAAUAGAGAUUCAAAAUUUUAAUUUGGGGUAUAAGUUUGUAGUUUUAAUCUCAAACCUUGCAAUUAAAGAGGAUUUAGCGUAUGCUCUUUCCUUUCCUUCUUCUUCCUUAUAAGGUCAGAGUCUCCUUUGAAUCAAAGUAAAAAAACCAAUAAUCCAAUAACAGUAGUCUAAUAAUAUCCGAAAUGGACUAAGAAUCUGAAAUAAGCUCAAUUAUGAAUGAUGUAACCGUCCUUUCGAACAAGAAUUUUAAAUGAUUUUAGAAGGGCAAUGUAAAAAUGCUUUUUGAUUUUUUUUAAUGCCUUGGGAAAACCCCCCACUGUUCUCAUGGACAAAAUGUCCACUUCUUUUUUAUCUUGUUCUCCCCACUUUUCCAGUCGAAACAAUCAGACCCUAAUUCAGUACCUUUUUCAGUCCCCAAAUUCCCGGGGAAGUUUCUAAUCUACGGAGUUCUUCUUAGUCAGGAGACUCAUUAGAAUGGCGACACAUACAUUCAAAUCUAAGCAUCCUCUGCAUUUUAGUACAAGUACGAUGAAUGUAACAUGAUUCUUCGUUAAUUAUUCUCCAUCUAAGCAUAAGCCAAAUACCGACUCCCAGUGGCGGAUUUAAGGUACCUCCACUGCUCCCUUAAAUUUCCUAUAGUAUCCAUAAAAUUUUGAUAUAAUUUCAAAUGUACGUCGAGAGUUUUCUUAUGAAAGAAUUAUAUGGUCUUCUAAGUUGAUUUAUAAACUACUAUUUUAAAAAGAUAUGUGGGUCACAAAGUUUCAUUUGAAAUAAGGUGAAUAAAGGCUUUUCAUUUCAAUUUGUUGGUGAAUUUUUUUACUUAAAAAAUUAGAAAAAGAGUAGGUAAAAAAAAUUUUAGUGUUGCUUUUACCCUCACUGAGAAUUUUUUCUGGCUUCGUCAUUGCCGACUCUACCAUUGUUGGAGACUUGGAGUAUACAGGUGCCAGAGAGAAGUGAUGUUUAGUUGUUAACCUUUGUGAUCUCAUCAUAAGUCGAGAGGUAGUUGAUCAAAAUUCCCCUGUAGUAGCUUUGUCCAUGCGACUAAAGAUCCAAAUUGUUUGUUCAUUUGCCAGUUGCCACUUUGAUGUUUAUGUCAUUCCGCUGCAACAUCUGUUCUUCAGUUGGUGGAUGCUGUUAGGAACUUAGGAUUUAAUUAUCUCAGUCAAAAUUUUUGCAACUAAAAUCUAGUUGAGAAGGCAUACCAACCUAUACAUCUUCAAACUGGUCCAGCUACAUUUGAACUUAACCUUGUAGUGCUUCCUUUAGAAAGCAUAGUCUUCCCCUUUAAGCUGAUCAAAAUACACAAAAAAAUCGUACUACCUUGGAAACUCAAAGCGGAGCUUCAAUCUUCUGCAUCAAUCAAUCAGCAUGGCUUCUUCUUCUUUUUCUAACCUUUGCAUCUUUCUAUCUCUGAUCAUUGCUUUGUCAUUUCCAAGCAUUCAAGUAACAGACGCGGCUCGCCAGCUUUUACAAACCUCACAACCAACAAUACCGACGUUGCCCACCCUGCCAAACUUGCCCACCGGAGCAGCAGCAUUGCCACCAUUGCCAACCACUCCUCUGCCAACAUUACCCACAAAUGUUCCAUCCUUGCCAAAGCCCGCGUUGCCAACAGUUCCCACAAUUCCUCAGGGGGCCCUCCCUCCCAUACCAGCUGCAACUUCAUUGCCAAACAUCCCAUUCACAAUCCCUUCAAUCCCAACUAAUCUCCCAACGUCAAUUCCUUCAAUUCCUUUCUUCUCACCUCCACCAUCCAACUAGACCAUUUUCUACCUGAACUUGUUUCAAUCAUUGAAUAUGCCGUAUCUGUUGCUUCGUUGUGAUAGCCUAAUGAUUUCCAUAUAAUUGGGAAAUUUUCACAGUUACAAUGGUCCUUGUAGGGAUCCUAUGAAACAGAUGGAGUUUGGAUUAUAUUGUGAGUCCCUGUAUUGCACACUGCAGGUUGUAUUCCCAUUUCUAAUGUUAUGAAUCCUUUUAUAUUUAUACUAUCUAAGAGCAACAUCUUAAAUUUUUCUCUUUUUUUUUUGUAUUUGAUUUUUCUGGAAUUACGUGCUCUGUUAUUCUGCUAAUUCCAUUCCAUUUGAUGAUAUGUCUCUUGAAUUAUGAGUUGUGUUUCAAUGAUGGGAACAACAUUCGCGCCGAGUUGGUCCCCAUGUGGUAUUUGCCAAAAAUGACACGGAAACUUUAACAAAAAAAAAGUCAGAUCUACCAUGUAAUUUUAAGAAGGAACAAUUUUGCAUCUGCUAUAAUCUUAAUAUUUGUUGCUUCACUUCUGAGUUUCUGAGGAAAAAUAAUAACAAUGAUGGCCAAAUUGAACAGCCACGACCUUUUUCAAGUUGCAUUGCUUGCGAUUGGGAAAGCAACAGUUUGUAUUUACUUUCAGUUUUAAGAAUAUGGUGUAAUGAAGUCACUUCGAACUCAAUUAGUGAACAAUUCGAGCUCGGCGUGAAUUAAAGCACUUGAACUCAAAUUUGACAAACUCUCAGGUUGGGUUUCAUCACAUACAAAUGUUCAAGUUUGAACUCGUCCAUUUUUUUUUUUUCUCGAAUUCAUGAAAUUGUUCAAGCUCCAUCGGAACAACAUCGAAUUCGAGUUUUAAUUGAACAACCUUAUGAGUAGUUCAAUUGUGACGUUUGCAACCCUACUUUAAUAUAUAGGAAUACUUGUUAAUUGAUACCAGGGUUUCCUUCAGUUAGUAUCGUUUUGGUGCUACGUACGUACUAUUUAGAUUCAGUUUUAAGAGUUAUUAAUGAAUAGCAGCCAAUAAUAUAAAAGCAGCAUAAAUUACAACAGUUAUAAUAGCCUCUCAAAUGAUCAUGAAAUCAAAACAAAACCGCAUGAAUGAAAUCAAUACUGAUGGGGUUUAUGUUCUUGAAUUUUCUGUUCAUUUAAUUCCCUUCGCAUGAUAAUACAAAUAUGAUGAUUCUUGGGGAUAAAGUUCCCUAAUGUUUGAGAGGUUGGUCCGCUCAAAUAAAUAUUCCACGUGUCUGACUUUCGGAGAAGAGAACACUUGGCGAAGCCUGGAUUAAACCUUAUUUGUCCAAGUCAUUCCCAUUUCCAUUUCAUCCCCUAUAAAUUCACCCCGCCAUACAGAUCAGUUUCAUGCAAUCAAAACGUAAUUUCUGCUGAUCAGUUUCAAAACUGUGGAUUGCCAGAUGAUGGAGAAGGCUUCAAUCAAGUCCACUCUCUCAGUUGCUCUCUUCAUUCUUCUUCCAAUUUGUUAGUCUCUCUCUCUUGAUCUCUCAUUUACACUUGCACAGGACUAGAAUGUGUAUUGGUGAAGGGAUUCUUGCUUCAUAACUUGAAUUCACCGGUUGAAAAUCAUCACUUUAUUUCUUCUAUUAAAAGAUUGUUUCUUGUUCACAAAAAAGGAAAAAAAAAAAGAUAAACAGGCCCUUUGAUUGCAGUAUUAUCAUUCCCAAUGAUGGAAGUGAAAAUGGCAACGAGCAUCUCAAGAAAAUUUCAGAUAUUUGAAUGUGGAAAUCCUUGUAGCUCUGAUGCGGAUUGCAAAUGCACUGAUUUCUAUUGUGCUCCGAUCCCGGAUGUGAUGAUAAUGGUUAUUAUAUUCAAAUCAAUUUUGGCAAUCUUAAUUAACCAAGGUGGCCAACAAUAAUGGUAUCCCACUUUAUAUUUUACAUAUAUAUAUAUAUAUAUAUUUUUCUUAAUUAACUUUUUACUUUUAAAAAAUAUGAACUCCUAAAUUCUAUCUUAAUGACAAUCCAUUCGGUACUAGUUAAAUAUACCCUAUAUUAUUUUACAAGCCCAAAACCCAAAGCGCUAAUUUUCUACCUUUUUAAAAAAAAAAAAAGCCCCCCAUCCACUCGUCCAGGUCUUUUCCCAACGAGUACUCAGGCUGCUGGCCCUAAAUUACUAACUUCAAACUCACAACAAACGUUGGCAAAUGAUGAGUUAGUUGUAUUUAAAAAUGCAUGUUUUCUUAGCUACGUAAUUAUGGUAAUAUGCGUACAACGACUAUAUAUUUUGUUGUAACAUAUUUUUAAGAUUAUGAGAUGGUUGCGUUCCUUGUUGAAAGUGGCUUUCGAAGUUAUUUUAUAAUCAAUCAUGUUACCAAUUUUAAAAAUUUUGAAGUUUUUUUAAAAAUUUUUUUUUUUAGUGUAAAUAGAAGGAUUCACGUCAUCAUCCUAGUCUGGAGUUAGUUCAUCGACAUUUUUCUAUGCUGGCUUCUCACAACCACGUCCUGUCCAUCAAAAUCCUCUCAUCUAUUUCAGUUGUCAAAAAUGAGCAACUGGCAGGUCAUUCCAUAUCAUCAUAUAUACACAUUAUUUAUUUAUUCGGUGGACUUUUGUUGAUGAGAAUUCUGAACUUCGAAAAAGUGAAAUUGGUUGAGGUAGCAAACCAACCUGCAGUAAUUCUUCCAACUUGUCCAACUGCAUCUAGCCAACCAUUGCUCCCUAUAAAAAGCAUUACCUCCCCCUUCAACUCAGACAACAUACUAACACAUAUAUUUGGGAAUUCCCCUACAAAUUCAGUUUCGAGCUUCUUCCUUCUGCGGUAUUCAAUCCAAUGGCUACUUCUUCCAAUGUCUGCUUCUUUCUGUCUUUGCUCAUUGCUUUAUCAUUUUCGAGCAUCCAAGAAAGCCAGGCCGCUCGCCGACUAUUGCAAACUUCCCCACCAGUGAUACCAGCAAUACCAACAUUGCCUGGUACAACCAUGCCAAAUUUGCCUACCACAUUGCCACCAUUGUCAAGUACUCCUUUCCCAACAUUACCAACAAAUCUUCCAUCUUUGCCAACUAUGCCCACAGUUCCGAAGGUGGCCCUCCCUCCCAUUCCAGCUGCAACUUCGUUGCCAAAUAUUCCAUCCACAAUUCCUCCAAUCCCAACUAAUAUCCCAACUUCAUUUCCUUCAAUUCCUUUCUUCUCACCACCGCCAUCCAACUAGACCAUUUUAGAUAUUUGAAUGUUUGAGUUUGUCAUAUCUGUUGUUCCUUCAGAUCGCUUAUCAUACGAUUUCAUGUACAAGUAAUUUUUACAGUUUCAUUAGUCCGUCUGUAUAGCUAGGGAUCUUAUGAAGUAGACGGAGUUUGGUUUGUUUUUGAGAUUGUAUUGCGAUUGUUUAUGUUAUAACUAGUUCUUAAUUGAUACCAUGUAGGAGUUUCUUGUUUGUUGUUUCUUGAUACUUUCGUUUAUUUAUCUAUCUUUCGUUGGCUUGAGGCCUUAUAUUACACCUCUCGUUACACUUUAUUAUUCAACUUUUUAAAAUGACAUGCAUCCCCACAACACAUUAAUCAAAAGAACUUGGAUUCUUAUCCAUGAUUAUAUGCAACACAUCUCAAUCUAACUGUUUGUCUAAUAAGAAUAUAACAUAAAUCAGACGAUCUUUUUUAUUUUGUAAAUUACAUUCUCACCACUCAGCUAUCAUUCAUCAAAUGUAAAAUUUUAAUUUAAGGUCAAUUUUAGAAACCUUCCUUAAAUUUUUUAACGAUUUCAGGCAGUACUCUCUUGUAAUUUGGAUAAUUAAACCCACCUACAUUGCUAACUUCAAUUGAGUAUCAUAACCCUUUUCUAAGAUACAGGCUGUUUACAGAAGAAAAAACCAGAAAAUUAUUCACCCAAAUUCCCCAACACUCCCCGUCUUCUUGUCAGCACUAUUGUACUUUUAUCCAUUUUUACCACCAUCACUACCAUCAUUGCCAGAAGCAUGGCAAACAGAUGCUUCUCAAAUUACCUGCCCAAAAAAAAAAAAAUUUCGAAUGAGAUGCUGCAACACCACCCAAGCCAUAAUCUACCAGCCCAAAAACCUAAAAAAAAAAAACACACACACACACACACGAUAUGCUCCCUCUUUGCCAUCAAGCAUGUCUGCCCAAAUCCUUUGCUACUUUGGUUUCCUCAACCAAUAUACCUCAAUCCCUCCCCUCUCUCAAAUAACAUCUGAAAAGUAAUGGAGUCAGCUCCAGUCCCAAAGGGGUAUACUUCUUUCUUUAGUUAUUCAUGGUGGAAAUAUGCUGCUAAUCAAUGUCCACAAUAGUUAUAGACGACAGACAACCAAGCUAUGCUGGUUUCAGCAAUUUGAUACAGACGUCCAAAAAAUAAAACCAAAAAGUAUUAACAUGGAUAUAAUAAUUGCAAACUCCAAAUAACUAAAAUGUCAGCGUUUAGCCAAAUGUAUGAUCCCACACUUGGAUUCAAUAUAUAUAUAUAUAAAUAUUUAUUUAUUUAUUAGGUCGCUUGGUUUCAAUUUCUUCAAGCUUAUAUGAUCAUACACUUUGUUUGAGUUUCUUUAAGCUCUAUCUGACUUUGUUAUACGGUUAAAGGCUUAAUGCUUUGUCAGGAGCCUUAAGUUUGCCUGUUUAGGUACGUGGUUAUUGGAACUUUAGUUACUGUAGCCUAAAUUCCUUUUAGUAAAGAUUAAAUUAAUGGUGGGAUCGUAGUAGAAGUAAAAAAAAAAAAAAAAAAAAAAAAAGUCGCUGGACCAGGAGUAUAUUUUGUGGUAAGCACUUUUUGAUAUGUUUGUGUAUCAUAAAGUAUCAUCAAAUGUGGAAAUCUUAAUUACUCAUAUUCUGAGACCGAACAAACAAAAAAGAUAAUCUGAAUCAGAAACUUGUGCUUGUGAUUCGUGAACAUCCGUCAUCUUACUCUAUUAUUUUGGUCUCUAGCGGUUGUAUUACUCUUUGGUUUUGAUUUUAUCUGGUUGUACUUUUGUUCAAGCAGUGACUUGUUGAAACUGGCCAAUGAAUUGGGAAAAAAAAAAAAAUCAAAAGCGAAGCGGUUUGUUCAAUUUUCGUGUGUUUUCUUUACAUUAAAUUUAUUGACAUAUUAACAUUAUAUGGUUUCUUGUGGAUUAAGUUCCUAACGGGAGAUUCUGCCCGCUAUGGAAACUUUUAUAUUGUACCGAAUUUGAAAGACCUAUUUGGCAUAUUCUCGAUCAAACCUCAUUUGUCGAAUCCAUUUCCAGUUUGAGUUUAUCCCCUAUAAAUUCACCUGAAAUAGACUAGUUUCAUGCAUACAAAAAUUAGUUUCUACUGCUCAUCAACAACAGUGGAUACUAGAUGGAGAAGGCUUCAAUCAAGCCCGCUCUCUUAUUUGCUCUCUUCAUUCUUCCAAUUUGUGAGUUUCUCUAGGAUUCUUACCUCAGAACUUGAAGUCACGGGUUAAAAAUCCACACUUUUAUUUCCCCUACUAAAACAUUGUUCCUUUUCCAUUUAAAGAAAAAAGUACAGGUAAAAAGACCCUUUUUCAUCUAACAAAACCUUUUUUCCCCUAAUGUGAUUUAAUUGUAGUAUUAUCUUUUCCAGUGAUGAAAGCCAUGGAAGUGAAAGUCACUGGCAACAAGCAUCUCAAGAAAACUUCAGCAGGAUUGUGCAAUUCCUUGUGGCUCUGAUGCGGAUUGCACAUGCAUAGGUUUUAGUUGUGCUCUGACUCCCAUAGAGGGAUGUGACGAUAAUGGUAAUUGUAUUCAAGUUAGUCGUUGCCUGGACGAAAUUCAAGCAUUGUGGCAAACAAUAAGAGGCGUGUAAUACAAUUAUUUUAAAGGUUUUGUCUACUGGUUAUUGGUUUCUUUGGUAGUAAGAGUUUGUUUGUAAUAAAGAUAGUAGGAUGAGAUUUUUUUUUUAACGUAAAAAGAGAUUUUAUUGAAUAGAACAUGAAUGUACACAAGUGCAGAGGUAUUUGCUACACAAAAGUACGACUAAAACCAAUUAAGCUAUACAAUAGUACUGCUACAAUGAACUAAACUCCGAUUAUGCUAUCAACAUUUAAGAAAAAUCUCUUGGGGAAAUCCCAACUAAAACAAAAUAACUAGUUGUCUCUUGUACUCAAUACAUUCCUCCAUUAUGCCACAUAAUAGCGAAUCUCCUUCCAUAUAUAAUAUACAACUGCCUCUAGUGCCAACUUUUUUACUGUGUUUAUAAAACAUUCUUUCUUCCAAUGACAACUGAGCCAUUUAACUUCAGUAUUCCAUUCAUAAGUUCCGCGUAUUGCAAGCAGCAUUGCUGUAUUCUUGACCAAAUAUAAGUUGCAUACUCACAUUAAAAAAAGAGAUGAUUACAAGAUUCAUUUCCAGUAUAGCAUAAUACAUAUCUCAUUUCAGACAUAAUGCCCCACUUAACCAACCUGUCCUUUGUGCUUAAUUUGUUCUUACACAACAACUACAAGAUAAAUGAAUGUUUCGGAUAUAUUUUUUGAAGCACACAAGAUGAUGCCAAUAGACCUCAGUAGCGAAAUGGUUCAACACUUCAUUUGCAGAUUUGACAGAGAACAAAUCUAAUUUACUGGGCAGCUAUUUCACUAUAUUUGACAUUCCCUCGCUUAGUAACUAUCCAGAAGGAAAAAAUUGUGCAAAAUCAUCAACUUCAACAGGUCUCCUCCUACCAGCAGGGAUCUUCCACUCUCUAUUUUCAAUGAUAGAAAAAACCUUAGCUUGUGGCGUACUUCCAAACUAUCGCACCAUAUUGGGUCCAUAAGCUGUGAAGCAUGGCCCUCUAUGGUGCCAAUUAUCAUACCAAAGAAGUAUUUUCUCCACUUUUGAUCACUGAGACAAUAAAAGGCUGUAUAAUAGAUCUGAUUUGAAGGAGUUUAUGCCAAACCCAAGAACAAAAUUGAGGCAAUGAAAUAGACCAGAAACAUUUAUUUUUGAGUUUCACAAUGUGAACCCAAGCAAUCCAAAGAGAAUCCUUUUCAAGUGUUAUGUGCCAGAUACAUUUAAACAAUAAAGCCUUAUUCCAAUUAGUCAAAUUAGGUAAUCCAUGUUCUCCUUGUUUGAUAGUAGGAUGAGAUUGUUGGUGUGUUAGUUACUCAUUGUCAAUGUUUGGAUUUACUUCUGGUCUAGAUUGAACCAGAAGAUGUUCUCUUUCUAUUUAAUCAGUAUAGGCCAAAUCUUGGUAAUUUCUAUAUUUCUUGGUUCACAUAAAUGUUGUAUUGAGUUCGAUACCCAUGAUACGAGACUGACCUGCUGGAGUAAUGAUGGAUUGUAGAUUAUUUGUGAUCCAAGAUCAUCCAAAAAGCAAACUGAAACAACCUUAGUGGCCCAAAAUUUUUUUAAAAAAUAAUAAAACGAGGUUGCAAAUUUUCAGAUAAUAAAACAGAAAUGCUGAAAUUUGCUACUUCUCAGUCGAACAAGAUUGUUAAUUAACCUUAGAAGCCCAUAAUGCAAAUUGCCAAUUUUUUGAAACCCAUUCUUUCUAUGAACUUUUCCUAACUUGUACUCGCUCUUCCAAACUUGGAUUACCAAUUCAAAUUUGCGGUCUAAAUUCCAUCCCAGGUAGAACACAUGUACUUAUUAUUUACUUGGUAGAUUUUUUGUUGAGGAAUCUGAGUUUCUAAGAAGUGAAUUUAGUUGAGAAGGCAAACCAACCAAUGCUUCUUCAAACUUGUCCAACUACAUCUGACGAUUCUGACCAACCAUUGCUUCCUAUAAAAAGCAUCAUCUACCCGCUCAUCCCCUACGGAAUCAAUACAAAACAAAUUAAUCCCCUACGGAUUCAAUUUGAAGCUUCUACCUUCUGCAUUAAUCAAACAAGUGCUCAAAAUGACUACUUCUUCCAAUGUCUGCUUCUUUCUGUCUUUGCUCAUUGCUUUAUCAUUUUCGAGCAUCCAAGAAAGCCAGGCGGCUCGCCAACUAUUGCAAACUUCCCCACCAGUGAUACCAGCAAUACCAACAUUGCCUCGUACAACCCUGCCAAAUUUGCCUACCACAUUGCCACCAUUAUCAAGUAUUCCUUUGCCAACAUUACCGACAAAUCUUCCACCUUUGCCAAAGCCCACAUUGCCAACUAUGCCCACAGUUCCUAAGGUGGCCCUCCCUCCCAUUCCAGCUGCAACUUCAUUGCCAAACAUUCCAUCCACAAUUCCUUCUAUCCCAACUAAUAUCCCAACGUCAUUUCCUUCAAUUCCUUUCUUCUCUCCACCGCCAUCCAACUAGACCAUUUUAGACAUGAACACGAUUCAGUGUUUGAAUUUGCAUAUUUGUCGUUCCUUCAGAUUGCUUAUCGAUACGAUUUCUUGUACUUGAAAUUUUUACAGUUUCAUUAGUCCGUCUAGCUAGGGAUCUUAUGAAGUAGACGGAGUUUGGAUUUCAUGUAUUGUGCCUUGGAGAUUGUAUUCGGAUUGUUUAUGUUAUGAAUUAUGAUGAGCUCUCUGACACUAUGAACGAGCACUUUUUUACGUAUGUUUGUUUCUUUUGCCAACUCUAAACAUAACUUUAAGUCAUAGAUAUGAAUGUGGGAGACAAAAGUUUUUAGUUUUGAGUUUUGGGAUCUAUAGCAACCGUUAUACCAGAAUACAUCUACGCUUAAAAUGGUGUACUCCCAAAAAAAAAAAAAAGAAAGAAGUUUUGGGAUGGGCAUAAUGAAGAGUUUCAAUAUGUAAGUUCUAUCAUCUGCACAAAUAAAUUGGAAGCUCAUGAUGUGUUAAUGUACAGACAUUUGGGAAAAUGUUGCGGAAUUUGUGUUUUUUUUUAUUUGAAAGAAUGAAAAUUCUAUCCAAUAAAGACUACAUUCACUUCACAAAAAAAAAAAAAAAAAAAAAAAAGAUUAGAUUCACCAGCUGUCUAAACUUUCAACUUAAAAAAAAAAUUAAAAGUCUUUGAUGAUUAAUUACCUUAUUAAGUCUCUCUUGCCAAUAAAAUCUUGAUUUAGUAGUGAAACAACACUACUAAACCACUUGCAUUAAGAGCUGAAUUCAUCCGAACAACCCAAAAGAUUCGUUUUAAAGAGAUAAAUAACAUAUUUUGCAAAAAAAAAAAAAAAAAGUGAUGCCAUAGCAAAAGUGUGAAAAAUAAAGGGGUUACACGAACACCCUCCAUCAGAAAAUUAUUACACGAAUGAAAUCUAGGUAUGAAUCAGUGAUUCAUAAGAAAUGUGAGAUAACUUUCAACAGUUAGAAUAUCCAAUUAAAAUUUCAUUAAUAGUUGAUAAAAGACUUGUUAAAAAGUCCUGGAAAAACCUAUUUAUAAACUAUAAAAGUUUAACCUAAAAAGAAAACAAAACACACGAAAAACUCUAAAACAACUAAAAGAUGCGUUGCAGCCGUGAUGACCCUUCAGAUAUAUUUAGUAACACUAGAUUUUUUGUUUUUUUUUUGGGGUAGGUUCGGGUAACAUGAUUUUGCUUCUUAGCUAGAAGUGACGGGUUCAAAUCUAUAUUCAAAAAAAAAAAAAAAAAAAGGACUGGUAAAAAGGCUUUUCAUCUGACGAUUUUUUAUGGGAUUUAAUUGCAGUAUUGUCAUCGCCAAUGGUUCAAGGGAUGGACGUGAAAAUGGCCACAAUUAUCUCAAGAAAAUUACUUCAGACUGAAUGCGAAGUUCCCCUGCAGACGAUUGAACAUGCAGUAAUCACUCUUGUUGUUGACAACCCAAUAUGCGAAGAUGAUGAUGAUUGUGAUGCAGUAUUCCAAAAAAAAAAAAAAAAGUAUGCCAGCAGGUGUAGCCUCAAACCCUGAAGUGAUUGUUCGAGAUAAUUCAUGGUUGGAACUUGGAAUCGAAACGCGAGAUCUGCUUUCUCUACAUGAAAAAUCUAAAUAAAAUCCUCAAUUUCGACAUAGUUCAGAUAAAUGUUUGAUAAGUCAAUUGUUGUACUUUGCAUCUUGUGACCAAGUCUGUAAUGCAAAUAAUAGGAAAUAAACCAAAGUGCAUUGCAGUACAAGGGCUGCUCAUGUCUGUUUGUAGUUUAAUUUGAAUAUUUCGUGCAAGUUAUAUGUACGUUCUCGACAUUAUUUGCAUGGAAUGUCGCUCAUGCUUUAAUUUGACCUUUAAUCCCUUUCAUUUUUAUUACUUGCAGUAGUAUUAAUACAAGGACUUUUACUUCGACUAAAUAAUAGGAGAUCGAUUAGUAUGAAAUGAGAAGCUCUCAAGAUACAGAGGGAUACUUAUGUUUUGAUGCCAUGAAAUGUACCCCUACCUCUUUUUAAAUUCCAACCUUCCCUUAUUAUUAAAAAAAAAAUUUAAAAAAAUAGAAAAGUAAGCUGUUUUUUUUUUAAGAGGACAACUUCACAUCACAAAUACAGUUGAACUACUCUUUCUUUUUUUUUUUUUUUUUCCUUCUCCUCGUCAAGUGUUGGCCUCAGUAUCGCUGCUGUUGGAUUGGAUUUUUCUCUCAAGUUUCUCUCCUGUAUUGACCUUACCCCAUUUCAGACUCUGUGGGGGAAUUCUUAAUAACCAAGUGUACACUUGCACACCAUAAACUGUUGGUAGUUCAUCAGCAUUCUAAUUCCAAACUAAUUCCAAGUUUAGUUGAGAAAGGCCAACUAAACCUAAUUCUACUAAUCCAACUACAUUCGAUCAAACACUUUCACCUCUAUGGCUAUCUAUAAAUAAGAGUCAAGAAACAAUAUGCGAGUCCCUCAACUCGAAACCAGAAAAAUACCCAUCUUGUACUUGCCGUAACACUUAAAAAAGUGUUUGCUAAUUUCUGAAUUUCAAUACAGGAUCAUUUACCAAUGGCUACAUCUUCCAAAGUUUGCUUUGUUCUGUCCUUGAUCCUAGCUCUAUCAUUUUCAAGCAUCAAGGUUUCUAACGCAGCUCGCUACCUUCUGCAGACGACGCCAGGAAUACCUACAAUGCCAUCGUUGCCCAAGUUGCCUCCAUUGCCUACCAUGCCAAGCUUCCCUACAGCCACAUUGCCACCAAUGCCAGCUACCCCUUUGCCCACAUUACCCACAAAUCUUCCAUCACUGCCAAAGCCCACAUUUCCGCCAUUGCCAAGCACUCAGCUUCCAACUUUGCCUACCAUCCCUUCCAUUCCCUCUAUUCCUACUACAAUUCCUACUUUACCUUUCCCCUCACCACCACCAUCAAGCUAGACAUUGAAAACGAAGCACUUGGAUUAUUUAUCAUCAUCUCUUUACUGGGAAGUCUGGAAAUCCAUGAAGAUUAUCGAUCAUUUCUUUUUUUUUUUUUUUUUGGUGGCUCCAGCCAUAUUCGUAUGUUACUCGUACUAUGAUUGCGGCGUUGUAUCUUUGUUACUCAUACUAUGAUUGUAUUAUUGGAUAUCUGUUACUCAUACUAUGAUCGUAUUAUUUGAAACCUUUCUUUCACGGGGUCUGAGUAUCUGGUUAAGAUUUGACCGACAGCCAUCAGAAAUCUAAUCUCAACAACAUAAAAGCGGUUCUUUGGUUACAUUCUUUGAAUUAAUUGCUUUUUUUUCUGAAAGACGAAAAUAAAAUGCAAAUCUAAGGCUGUGAACGAAAACACUAAGGACUACUAUCACCGACAACUGUGUACUGGGGCAGUAGCAAUUCAGUCCCUUUUACAAUCCAAGCAUUCAGGUGCAACAUACUUGUCUAGAUUGAAAUCAGGCUUCAUGUGAAAGUUGAUGGAACUUCAUCUUGGAGACCCCAAAAAAGAGAGAGAGAGAGAGAGAGAGAUAGACAAGCAAAACAUGAGAGGAAUAUUACUUUUCAUGCACUUUUGUAGUCUGGAUGUAAAUCUUGUCAUCACAUCUUUGAUAAAUAUGCUGUUUAUAUCACAAUAGUGAAUUGAAAUAGAUUAAAAUUUUUUAUGUUUUUUGGUUUAAAUGAGAAUUUUGUUCACCAGUUAAUAUACACAAGCUGUGUGUUCAAGCAAUGACGAGUUUGGGUCCUCUUAAUUGUUGUAACUUCUAGAGCUGUUUGGUCGUAGUUGUGCAAGCAACUCAUUAACAUAAAAUAACUAUGUUGACCACUUCAACGAUUUUUAUAUAAUUCAUUAGGAUAUGGUACAUGUAUGUAUUGUGUGAUUUGAUAUUAUUAUCACAGUCGAUUUUUGUACUUUUUACAUAAUAUGAUAUGGUAUGCAUUUACACAAGUUAUUGCACUGAAUUUCUUACGAGAUGGAGUGCAAAAGAACAAAACGUACAGAAAAAAUAAAAUAUGGCUCACAUGUACAAUCACAUGAUGUAAACUUGCAUCAAAAAAUUAUGUAACAAAUACAGUAGUAUAGAACUGCACCUACCGCAAUGGUACUUGCAUCAUUUCCAUUUUAUCUGCAUCAGAAAGGAGCUACAAAAAAAUGCUAAACUAUUAUUAGCAAGUUUCGCAACUCAUCCAAAGAAAUCCAAACGGAUGUACAUCAUCCUUUGAAUUUUUGGUCUUAACUUUCCCAUUAUGGUAUGUGUGUGUUUGAAAAGUAAAAGCCGAAAACAAGAGGGGACUUUGAAGCAGCUGACGAGUUCCACGCAUGCAGUUGCUAAGAAAACCCCCCCAAUGUAGUGUUACCAUUGCGAAAUCAGUUUCCAGGUGUACAGCACUUUUGCUACCUGUCACCAUUUCAGCCCCUUCGCCAUGAAAUUUUUCCAAAUCAUAUCUCAAAAACUCAUCUAAAACCUGAGAAACCAUAAGUCCAGAUUGAGAAAAUGCCAAGAACCCACCGCACUGCAAUUUUCUACUGAUAAUCUAGACACCAACGUCAUAUUCUAAUCAAUGUAUCAAGCUCUUCAAGCACAUAUCAUGAAAUCCUUCUGGUUUCCUUCACUAUAAAUAGAGCUUGAAUGAACUAGUAUUUUCCUAACAUCUUCAGUAUCUCUUUUGUAAGCCAGAAAGCACAGGAAAAAUGAAGUCCAGAGCGUUUAUUUUGGUUGCACUUCUAUGUGCUCUAUUUCUUCUCGUUUCUUCCACUAUGGCUGUUGAUACACCCAAGGAUGGAACAAAGGGUAAGAAAAUACUAGUACCAAGUAGCUAUGCUUAUGUUUUUGCAAGAUUUCCAUCGGUCAUUAACUUGAUUUUCUUAUUUUUCAAUAGAAAUAUCAUACGAUCUCCGUAAAUGAAUAGUAUGGAUUAUAGGAUGAAUUACAAAUGUUUGCCUGGUUGACAAUUAUUGUUUGCAGAGGACAAGGCAAAGGAACCCGAACAAUAUGGAGGUCGGUGUCGUUAUGGCUGCUGUGGUCGUCGGGGCCCCUAUGGUUGUAGUAAGUGCUGCAGAACAGGUAAUAGUUGCACCAUUCAAAGAAACAGGAUUUAAAUGCGUGAACAGUAUUUGUAACUUAAAAAGUUGUGUUGUCCAUGUAGCUAAUGAAGCUGAAGCAACCCAAGUAAACGCUGACAUCAAUGGCAAUGAAGGCGGUGGACAUGGUGGUGGCGGCGGCUAUGGAGGUGGUGGCGGCGGACAUGGUGGUGGCGGCGGCUAUGGAGGUGGUGGUGGUGGCAGCGGAGGUGGUCAUGGUGGGGGAGGUGGUCAUGGUGGUGGAGGUGGAUAUGGUGGGCACUGCAGGUACGGCUGUUGUGGUGGCUAUGGCAAAUAUUGCAGGUGCUGCUACAACCCUGAAGAAGCUCAAGCUUUUGUACAAAAUGAGAACUGAGCCAAGCCAUAAAUCAAGGAAACUUCCAUGUACAAGUUUGCGUGAAUAACUACAUGGUUGAAUGUUGAUCUUAUGACAAAAAUAAAAUACUUAGUACAUGUGCUUCUGUGCUUAGCACAUAUGUAAGGAAUAAAAAGUUUCAGUCAUCAUUUGAUGAUGUGAAUUUCAACAAGUGUCCUUCAAUCCCAUGCCUGGAUUUUUUUUUUUUUUUUUUUUUUUAAAUUUGACAUCUGCUACUUGUCAUGUUUGUCUUUGCUCUUAACAUUUGCACUUGAAUGCUCCAGUCAAAAUUUAAGUAAAUUUGUGAAAUAAAUAAAAAUAGCAACACCAGACCAAUCAUUCAUGAUAGAAGUAGGAAGUAGGAAGCCAGAGAGAUAAUUGGAAAGUACACUCGAUUAAAGAAAAAACAACGAAAGCCACAUAAAAUCAGAAAAAAAAAAUUAAAUCGAGUGUAAUUGGCAGGGUACGUAUUCAUGCCACUGAUGGAGGCAAUGUAGUUGCAGGAAUUGCUGGCUUUGUGGGCUAUGACCAUAUAGAGUUGUAAGUAAUUUCUCACAGUAAAUGUUCUGCUUGUUCGUGGAAACAAGAGAACUAAAGCAUCAUCAGGUUUGACAAAUGCAAGUGCACAUCUUUGGACUUGGGAGUUGGGAGGACUCGGGAGCUAAUACCUACAUAGAAAAUGGGCGAUGGAUGAAGAAAGGUGCUACAGACUUUUUAUGUCCUCCAAUGUGGGUGGCAGAAUACACUUUCCUUGAAGUUGAUCAGCGAGAUUACUUUUGUGAUUGCUGAAAUUCAUGACAAAACGGUUCAACAUCUUCAAUCACAAAUUCGUCGAACUGCAAUUAUAAUCUCAUUGGACCAAACUCGAGUAAGCAAAUCAAAUCAAAUCGCUAAUGUCACUUCUUCCAAGUAGCGCUGACAUUCUAAGAUUGACAAGGAAAUGCAGGCUUUGACUCAUCAUUUACUUAAAGCAGGAUACAACAGCAAAAGAAAUCCAGAAGCAAAGAAUAUGAAACUAACCUGAAAACAAAGAUUUAGUAUUUCACAUUUAGAACAGUUACACGCAAAUCAAAAACAUUUUUGCUGCAUUGGGUCGGUGAACAUCCGUACAAGCAUGUGUUACAACAAGAUGUAUACAGUCUCAGGAGUCAUGCUACUAAAGUUUGAUGCCCGAUGCUCUCAGAAGAUAAAAUGGAACUCAGACACGUCGCUGAAGACUGGAGAGUCACUCAUCACUCAAAUGGUGGUCUUCUUAGACAAAGAAAUACCAUUAUCACAGCUGUUUAAGUAAAAUCCAACAGUCAAAGGCAACCAAAAAUAGUUAAAAUGAGGCAUAAAACAAAUAGAUUUCACAUCAGACUUCAACGACACUACUUGUAAGCUUGCAUUUCUGCAAAAGUGACUUAAGAAAGGGUGCCGGAUGAUAUGUUUGAGAAACCAAAGAUUGCAUUAGUUAAAUCCGCAUUUAAAUGCACAUUAUAUACUUAGCCAGUCGUAUUGACCAUCCCAAUUAGUCACGAGAAUCAUACAACUCAAGGCUGAUUAUCAAAUCAAAAGGAGUGGUUUGAAAACACAAAAUUUGGAAAAGAUGGCCAAUGGAAAUGUGGUUACAAGUACGAUUGAAUAUGAGAAACAUAACAAACUUGAUAGAUCUUCCUGCUGAAGUUAUUUGCUUUUCUUUUAAUUAGUUCAUAAAAUGUUAUUCGACUAUAAUAGUCAGCAGAAAGACAUCCAGAAAUUUUCUCACUCCAUAAUUGAAUUUAAGAAAAGAAAUUUAUACUAUAAGUUAAGUCUAUGCCAAUGAACAAGUUGCACAAAAUUAGUCCUUAAAUAACUGAAACACGGCAAGAUAUAUUUAUGAAAUACACCAUACUUGCAAGUAAGCUUAGUCAAUUUAAACAAGAAGAAGCAUCAGAUAAAUAAGAUCGUUUAAUAGUAAGAGGCAAAGGAAAGAAUAUUACCCAUGAUGCGAGCCUUAAGGGUGAUGAGGUUGCAGUCUCUUCAGAAAAAAGGGUCAUACUAAAGAACCAGAAGAGUUCUUAAGCCUUGUCUUAGCGCUUGAAAAAAACAAUAUCUCUGCCGCAGCUAACUUUGAUAGCUUCCUCCAAACUCUCCAUCUGAUCAAAAUCAACUUUGAAGGUUACCAUGGUAACACCAUCUUUUCCAGUGUCAUAAUCUUGCUUAAUGUCUUCAGCCCGAAAUGAUUGUAGCUGCAAGAUACACAAAUGGUGUAUUUGUGAGACAACUGUUUACGAUGUUGAGAUGCACUAAUCACAACCUCAUCAAACAAGUCAAUGCAUUGAUGACAUUUAGCAAACUGGUAAUAUAUGAAAAACUGACGUAUGCUCCACAUGUCAAAAUGACAAUCAAAACAUGAUUUGUCAUGACAAUAUUUGACAGUUAAUUAGCCAGCAACACAACCAGAAGAGAACUUAUAAAUCCUCUGAAUCUUACCUGAUGGUAGAGAACCCCCAAAAGGUCAUAUGGAAUCUCCAAGCCCAUUGGAACCUACAAAUCAAGAUCCUUGUCACAAUAUUUAAUUCAUGAAGCAGAUUUCAAUGUGCAAAGUACGAAGUGGAAAAGAAACUUAUAGAAUUAGACUACUAUUGAUUCAAUAGGCACAAGUUUUAGAGAAUGUAAAAGCCAGCAAGGAUGAGUUGUUACUUUGGACUUGACAAGACAAGUGGGGGCAUUUCUCAAACAAUCAGCAGCAACCCCUCCAUAAGCCCUGACUAAACCUCCGGUGCCAAGUUUAAUACCUCCGAAGUACCUAAAUUAUGAAAUGCAAAAAGAUGAACAUCUUGAAUAGCUUCUCUCCCUAGAUAGAAAAGCCAAAUAACAGACUAAUGGAUGUCAAAAACUUAAUGCAUGUAUCAAAAAAUGAAAAUUGUUACGUAAAAACAACACUCUCUACAUUUCAUUCACAAAAGAAACAUUUGAAUCAGAGCCAAAGGGAAAAAAGCAAUAGCAUGGCCCCAAAAAAUGUGCAACAUUUGUCUACCUGAUCACGACUACCAUAACUCUAUCAAUCCCAGAAGAUUCAAUUGCAGAAAGUAUUGGCUUGCCUGCUGUACCAGAUGGUUCACCGUCAUCAUUACUCCGAAACUGAUCCCCAACCUAGAAUUCACAAAUAACUGCAUUUGCGUCGAAAACAACCAACAAACAAAAGGGGCAAAGAGAAAUAAAAGCCUCAUAAUUGAUUCAAGUACCCCAAGAAUCACUAAUAACUAUCAUACCGGAAAAGAUCAAAUUUUGUACCUUAUAUGCCCAACAAUUAUGAGUAGCCUUGGGGUCACGAACCUUAUUUCCAAACAAAACAAAAAAUAAGUCUUUAAUGGCAAAAAUAAAAAAAUAAAAAAAACCAAAAGUAAAAUGCAAGAAAGAAGAGAGGAAGGAGUGAUUAUUAAUACCUCAGUGAGGAAGGCCUGAGCAGAGCGUUCAUUAGAGAUGGUGCCAGCAAUGGCGAUAAAUUUACUCUUCUUUAUCUCUGUCUGAAAUGUGACCCUUUCUUUAAUUGUGGUAAAGGCACCACCUUUUUUAUUAUUAUUGGGAUUAGAAUCAGACGCAGUGAUGCUAUUGCUGCUAAUGGUGGCCAUUGGCGUUAGAUAAAUACAGGGUUUUGUCUGAAUUACGGAGAACGAGGGAAGAAAACGGUGACGGUGAUUCUGAAGAUUGUGAUGGAGAAGAAGGGCUUUGUUCAGAUUCUUGAAAGGGAUUGAGAGAAUCCGCAUAGAAGCAGCCGCCUGCAUCAGCAAAAACCUUAAUUUCUUUCCAUCUAAAACGUUGUCGUGAUGGUGGAAUUCGAUUAAGGUUUCGUUCUUUGUUUUUUAUGCUCAAUUUUGAGGACAGAAAAAUAUGCAAGCAACAAAAUAGUCUUUAGGAUUAUAGAGCACGCUUUAAAAUAUGCAAGCAACAAAAUAUUCUUUAGAAACAUCGAGGCGUGGAACUCUUGAGUAUUAUAUGGGACGCUUUAGAUUGAGGGCGCAAAAGGAUGGGGAUAUUUGGGGGAAAAAAAAAAAAGUUACCCCACAUUUGUGAUUUGUUACUCGAAUAGACAAAAUUUGGAAAAUGCACUUCCAUCCAUUAAAAAGUAACUUUAAGAAGUUAGCCUAGAACGACAUAUGCAUAAUUUGGCUUAAAUACCUACAUUUUGAGAAUUUCCUUGAAAAUGUUAUUUGCGCCAUUUCUGUUAAUUACACUCCCACUAUUAUUUUAAUCAUAUAAUUUUUGUUUGUUAGAACAUAUAAUAAAACAAAUUAUGCUAGUGCAAGUAACAAAAAAUGAGUGCAAAUAAUAUUUCUCUUUUCCUUUUGCUCAAGUUAUGCAAGUAGUAUUUCCUCUGUCAACGAGCAAUUCUUAGGUUUUUUAAUGAAGGACAACAAAAGUAUGAAAAUACAUAUUCAAAUGAUGUCCAUGCCAAAAUAAGAAGACCACCAUGCAAAGAAAUAUGUCAUUGUGAAUUUUAAUAUUAAAUUAUCAAGGCUUACUGCAAAAUAAAAUGUAAAAGAUCAAUAUGAUGUUAAGAGAUGUGAUUCGCUAACUAAAGGUUUUUUCAUGAUUAAAUUGGAUUGGCACUCCUCAAAAAUGCCCCUUUUCAAUCCAAAAGUCUCAUACUAAAUAUGAAAAUAAAAAAAAAAAAACAAACUAAGAUGAUGGUCUUUUCAUUCGAACCUUCAUUUUGUACUAAACAUAGAACUAGAAAUAAGUUAUAAAAACAUGAUCUAUUCAAGUUUAUGUGAAAAAAGUAAAUUUUUCACAAAAAAAUUUUGCAUGUGCUGAUGAGCCAAAAUAAGCAAAAUACCACACUUUCCUAGUAAAUCAAGCACAAAUGCAAGGAAUUGUUUUUGCUUUCUAAUACUAUUGAAAACUAUAAUUUUUUAUUCGCUUCGCUGUCUCCAUCCCCAACGUCGCUUUGGCCGAGUGGUUAAGGCGUGUGCCUGCUAAGUACAUGGGGUUUCCCCGCGAGAGUUCGAAUCUCUCAGGCGACGACUCUUUUACCUUUUCGGCUUCCGUUUGCUCUUACAAUCUCACCGACUACUUUCUAGUAGUUCUUCACUUUUGACCGUUAAACACUUGUUCUUUCUCCGGCUUUCAAGUCAAGACAACUUUUCGUCCACAUUAAUCGGAGAACCUGAAAUGGGAACUGGAAGGGGACCUCACCGGAGAAAGUCAAUGACCACCUCUCCCUCUGUGGCUCUGUCCCCCUCCCCCAUAUAUACCUCUUCUGACUUUUGAAUUGUCUCAAGACCGACCCUAACGCGGUGACUCGGCCAUCCCUCCAACCAGUUUGGUGAACUGGGCAAUCCAGCCAACAACAACUCACCAAUCAAUAAGUCCAAUGCAUUAGGUCCACCCUCUUGACACGUAGCAUUUUCUUUUUUUUUUUUUUCAAGAAAAAUGUUUGGGUACAUUCAGCUCCAAUCAAUACUGGUGUAUACCUCCCGAACCAUAGAUCGCUUACAGAAAUUUUUACAGAUCGCCUACCAACACAGUUUUCACAUUGGCGGCGGGAUUCGCAUACAUAAUCUUUUGUAAAAAAGUGAUUCAUUCUUAUUAAUUGGACCAACUUGUGUAAAAAAGUGAUUCAUUCUUAUUAAUUGGACCAACUUGUGUUGACAUAGCCUUUGUUGUUCAUGAAAAAGGUUGCAUUUCCUUUCAAGUCUGGAGUAGUGACUUAUGGGAAUUGGAAAAUAAGGGUGCAUUUAAUAAAAUUGAAAUUUGAGAUUUGAAAUCUAAAAUCUAAAUUUAGCAAAUUACUAAAUUAUUAAGUACCAAAUUUAAUAGUACAUUUGAGUGUAUGUCACAUUAAGUGAUAAGUGAAUAGCUUAUCACUUAUUUUUUUUAUCCAAAUUUUGUCUUAAAAAAUUCAGCGUCAUUUAAUUAGUUCAAAUAUUUUAUUUUUAGUUAUCAAACGUGUCGAAAUAAGUUAAAAUUUGAAUACACUAAAUUUAAGUGAUGAAUUAGGUUAGCAAACACGGUGGAGUCAAGCUUAACAUUUGGCUGCAAUCAAAGGGUUAACGGCCCCGUCAGUCUAUGACCAUAUUUAAUUUCAAUGAUAAUGUGAACGACUAACAUAUUUUAUCAGCCUCAUUUUUUCUCAAACUUUUUGACAGUUGCCAUUAGCCUCAUCUACCUGAUGGAAUUGGUGUCCUUUAACGUGGUCAAGUGACGUUUUCUUCUUCCAUGGGCCAAUUACUUGGGAAUUUUUUUUCUUUAAUUAUAUGAUUAAAAUUAACACACAAUAAUGACAACAAUACUGAGCACACACAGAUUAAAACUGAUCAACAACAUUACAGCUAAUAACAUUAGAAAAUGUGGGAUGGUAACUAAUAAAUUCACAUUCAGUGAGAUUUAAACCCAAGAUUUGUUUAUUUACAUGAUUUAUAAAUCGUCUCUAUUAAAUUAACCUUUUUAAGUUAGCAUGGCAAAUAAUCAUCAAGCGAUCUGUGUAUCUACAUGAGCAGAAAUUUUACAAAACCAUUAUUUGAAUUACUCUAUAUGCAUAUGUUUUGAUGCCCUCAAAUUGUUCAGAAUACUUCAAUAAACAACCUAUUCAGUCGACACAUUUUUCAGUAUUCAGUAUUUCCAAUCCUUGUGAUAAGGUGGUUAACUGAAGGGUAGAUAUUAAAGUUCUCUUGAUUAAUAUUGAUUAAGUGCAUAAGCAUAUUAUUCUUUCAUCAAAUCCAAUAAAAAAAAUUCCUUAAUCACGCGUUAUAGUGACAUUAGGGUACCCCAAAAAAAAAAAAAAUGAAUCGAAUAUUGAAGCUGUUGAUUUGCAGCAUGGACUCGUUGAGGUUAGGUCGGAGGUUUGCUCAAGGGAGGUAAUAUCUUAGGUAGUGGCUGGAGGACCGGGCGCGUCAUCUAGAUGCAGGAGUUGAGGAGAAACUUUAAAUCAGUGAUGGAAAUUUGAUGCCAAAUAAUGGCCUUAAUUAGUUCUCUUCAUGGUGCUCAGUAUAUUUUUCGUCUAUAACGAACAUAUUCAGAUGCAUGAAUUUAAUUAUGAUGCGACUUUGGGCAGUCUUUCAUGGAUUGCCUGCUAUCAUAAGUAGCAAUUAGUUAUUGAACAGGAAUUGGACUUUUAACUUCUACUAGAGAAAUGCUUUUAAGACGUUAUUGUUUUCAGGUUCAGAUAUCUAUUGUAGAGAAGAUUACUUGACGAUCUAGUAAUUAACUGGAAGAUCUUAAGAAAAAAAAAAAAGAUCAGCUAGCUACUAUAAAUGGUGAAAUUUAAAAAGCGCGGAGAAAAAAGAAAAAUUUAAAUUCAAUAUCUCUAAAUCCUGAAAUCUCAACUUUAUUCAGCAUUGAAAAAUAAUUGUUCGAGAAAUUAUUACGUGUAAAACAUACAUUCAACAGUCAGAAACUCGAUCGUGUGUGUUGACUGGUCAAAAAUAUCUUUAGGGCAGGUCAGAAGAACAUGCUGUUGACUCUUGGCUCUUCUAUCUUGAUUGGGCCAAGGUGGGAAUCCGAUAUUAUUCCACUCUCUGUUCUUUUCUUUUGGCAGAGAAUCGUAUGCAUGAUAACAAAGCGGGUAUGCAGGCUUUGGGUCUGGGGAGGAAAGAAAAGAUGAAAAAUAAAAGAAGAAUGCGUCACGCUCUGACUUGGUUCCCAAAGGCAUCCAUUAUUCAGCUGGAACUCUGCUCUGGUCAAAUUUGCGCUGUGUAGACUACGCAGUAUUGUUCCAACCAUUCCAAGUCGUAAUAAAGCAACUUGUUGGACAACAAUUUCUAUUUUGUGGACGUAAUUCAUCAUGUAAUCAUUAGCAACCCUUCCAGAUUAUGGAGAGCUAAACAAAGUUGUGGUUUCAAUUACCUUCUUAUCUUUCUAACUAUUAUUUUUUAUUUCACAUACCUUACAUGCUAAUAUAACAGGUGCUACAAUAUUUUUUUUUAAAAAAAUAUUUCAAAUAAUCUCCGAUCCAAAAUUAUUAAUUUGGAUAGAAGAGGGAUUUAAAGGUAAGAAUGUGCGACACUUUAUUCUUUUUUAUUCUGGGGUUUAGGAGAGAAAUUGAGAAUUAUAUUUACUUUGCUUGGAAGUUAGUGUAUGAAAGAGAAAUGAAGCAUCCAAAUUAUUCUGACUUUCUCUACCUGUUAAGCAAGAGGUUUACUUUUUUUUUUUUUUUGGUCUACUUUUUUCAAGUUGAGAAACUUGUACAUGUCCAUAAUUACUCGAAAACUUGCAAGGAAACUAUCUUAAGGAAAAAGAGCCAAAAUAGGUAAGUUGCCAAAGCAAAUGGUGCAAAUAUUUGCUAAUUACCUUUCUAGCUCUCGUUGUAUCCACAAUUCACGAGUUCCAAUAAUAAUAAAAAAAAAUAAAACAACAAAAAUGAAUACAAAAUUGAAGUUUUCUAAGACAUUCAUUGAUACUCGAUAACACAUCUAAAUUUCAUCUAACAUAUCGCGCGUGUGCAUGUAUAUAUUGAUAAUUAUUGCCUUCCCUUCUCCUAUUUAUAUAUAUUUUUUAAUUAAUUUUAUUUUUUAAAAAAUUUAACACUUGAAUUAUAUUUUAAAAUGUGCCUAUUGGACACCCGUUAGAUAUAUCCUUAAAAAAUUGCAAAAAGCAAAAAGUUACAAAAGUGUUAAAGGCAUUAAAGAAAAAACUUUGUUGGCCACAGCCCGCAACAACACGAAUUCAUGAAUUCUCGUACUGACCCCCUUAUUCUUCUUUAACAGUAACCAAUAACCUUAGAACUCCGCCAGUUGGCCAAUUUGCAAAGCGCAGGAUGUGGUAGCGUUCUAUUAGGUCAUUAGACAAUUAGUCUCUGACCCCAUAACCGCGUAAACAAAUUCAACCUAAAUUCUACUACUACGCAAGAAACUUCCUUCAUUUCCCAUUUUCAUUUUCCUUUCGUUUCCUUUUUCCUAAAAAUAGUUCCAAUUUCCCCCACUAUAUAUAUGUAAACCUUUCUCCUCCCUUCCCCCUCAAACCAUCAAUCACUUCAAUUUUCUUUCCCCUUUUACCAGCACAUGUCUCAGAGACCCAACGUCCCACACUUCUCCUCCGUCGCCUGCGGCCUCCAUUCCCAUCUCCUGGUUUCCAGUGAGAUGUCCUCUAAUUCCAACUGGUCUUCUUCUGCUCGUACCUUGUAGCUAUUCCACCACCUAGUCUUUUUCCUUAAAUACCCCACAAAAUUAAAAAUUAAAAACCACACACACACUAAACCCAAACAAACAAGGAGAAGAAAGGAAUCAAGAAAAACGCUACUCAUUUUUUCUGAGUUCAACAAAAGAAGAAAAUAUGGGUUUGAAAGGCUUUCUUGAAGGAGGCAUAGCUUCAAUAGUGGCUGGAUGCUCCACCCACCCGCUGGACCUCAUCAAGGUCCGAAUGCAACUUCAGGGAGAAUCCCCCGUCCCCAAACCGGCUGCUCAAGCGCUCCGACCAGCUCUAGCCUUCCACCCUGCAGCUGGUCAGGUUUCUCAUCCUCACAUUCACGUCCCUUCUCCAUCUCUUCGUCCGCCGCCGCCCCGCGUGGGACCCAUUGCCGUGGGAGUCAAGAUUGUCCAGCAAGAAGGGGUCGCCGCGUUGUUUUCCGGCGUCUCCGCCACCGUCCUCCGCCAGACUCUUUACUCCACCACCCGCAUGGGACUUUAUGAUGUUCUGAAGCAAAAAUGGACCGACCCACAUACCAACAAGAUGCCUCUGGAUAGAAAAAUCGCUGCUGGGCUCAUCGCCGGCGCGGUUGGAGCGGCCGUCGGGAACCCCGCUGACGUGGCCAUGGUCCGCAUGCAAGCCGAUGGUCGGCUCCCGGUGGAUCUGCGGCGCAAUUACAAGAGCGUGGUUGACGCGAUUGGUCAAAUGGCUAAAACCGAGGGAGUUGGCAGCCUGUGGCGCGGUUCAUCCCUUACGGUGAACCGCGCUAUGGUGGUGACGGCAUCACAGCUGGCAUCAUAUGAUCAGAUCAAGGAAUCGAUAUUGGAAACGGGUCUGAUGAAGGAUGGGCUUGGGACCCACGUGACCGCCAGCUUCGCCGCGGGGUUCGUGGCGGCGGUGGCGUCGAAUCCGGUGGACGUGAUCAAGACUAGGGUGAUGAACAUGAAGGUCGAGCCGGGGAUGGCCCCACCUUACAGUGGAGCCGUGGAUUGUGCUAUGAAAACUAUCAAGGCUGAGGGCCCACUGGCCCUUUACAAGGGGUUUAUUCCCACAAUCUCAAGGCAGGGACCAUUCACAGUGGUGCUCUUUGUCACACUGGAACAAGUCCGGAAAUUGUUCAAGGAAUUUUGAUUUUUGAGGAUGAUGACGAAGAAAUUAGAAUAAAAAGAAAAUUAUGUUUCUUCUUUUAUGUUCCUGAGAUCUGGGAGUUUGAAUAGCAAGAAAUCUGUCAGAUACUGCAUGUCCUUUGAUUUAUAGUAAAUGGUUAAUUUUUUUUAAUUUGAAUUAUAAACUUGAAACCAACGCAAUUAAAGUAUUCUAUUUUUCAUUAUUUUCAAAGGUCGUGGGAGAAUACGUAAAUCAAUGCAAACUUAUUUGUCUCUUGGACGAACAAAUUAACUUUUACUUUUGGCCGAAUAUCGAACAAAGUCGAUGCAAUUUGACAAAAGGUGAAUUUGAGUGGCUGCAAUUAGUACUAAUUGUUUGUUCAUGUGAGCUAGGGGCUCUAGCUUCUACUUACCCUUUUUUUCCUUUUUUCUAAAUGAGCGGUAUUAGUCUCAUGUUCUUGUUUUUGUAGUCCCAUAAUUACAUAUAAUAUCAGCAAAAAGUUAUAUCCCAAGCUUGAUUUUGGUUUCUUUGUUAAGCAAAAUUCAGUUCCAAAUUAGCAAUAGUAUAUAGUUGUGUUUGGACAGACAUUUUUCGUCCAAAAAUUACUACAUUUUCCGUGAACACAUUUUCCUAUCAUCUUUUUACUUCACAUACAUCAAAUCAAAUCGCUACAGUAAUUUUUUUACAAAAAAUCCAGAAAAAUGCAAUCCAAACACAACCUAUUAUAUUGUUGAAUUCAGUUGGACUUUGUACUCAAGUGGAAUAUUCGAAGCUCAUAUGCGCUGCUAAAAAGUGCUGGUAUAUUCUUAUAAGAUAUGUAUAUAUUCUUUAGUUAUGGCUAAAAUUGAGACCUUCAGAAAUUAAAAGUCUUUUUUGUUUUUUGAAUCUCACCUCUUAUGUGCCAAAAAAAAAAAAAGUUCUUUAGCUAGAAGUGAUCGUUGUAAGAUAUGUAUUUUCUCAAGCUAAGAAGUUAUUUAAGGAUCAAUAAUAAUUAUUCUUUUAUGUUUUCAAACAAACUUUAUGAAAAACGAAUGUAUUUAAGUAUAGGUAAAUUCUUUCUCAAUAAGUGAAGAGGAAAAGAACAAAAAAAAAAAAAGGGUUGCAUGAUCUUCACAUGCAAUGAAGGUAUUAUCAAACAGAGACGUUAAAUGUAACUUUUACCUGAGUCUUUGGCGUUUACGUAGGACAACAUGAAAGGUUGUGGACAUGGAUUUUUAUUUAUUUUUUGCAAUUUCUUGUCAAGAUGAGAAUGUGAAUGGCCAAUAGGCCAAACGAUGAAUGUCGAAAUGCUGCCGACCUGUCAAGAUGAGAUAAUCAUAUGAACCAUGGAAUUAUUUCUUUUUGUUGUUUAUGAAAGUGGAGAUGUGGAACCUAGCACCUUCAACGGGCAGCAACUCUUGGAAUUGGCUGUAAUCGUGGCUACGACAAACCAUGUUGGAGGAUCAAUUGGUCCAGCACAAGAAGUAAUUCAAUUCUCACGUUGGGUGGUGUUAAAUUGAAGGUAUUAUUCUUUUCUUAUAUAUAAGAAUUUGGUAAAUAGUAGUUAUGUUAAGUUUUUCCUGGACUUGUCACUCACAAAAAGUAAUACGUACUAAUUUUGAGGGGAAGGAUGGGUCGUAGAAGACGGUGUAAGCGAGAGGAAUCGGAUUUCGAGACUUCCUACUUAAACUUUGAAAAAAAAAAAAAAAAAGUAACACCAAAUAUAUAUCUCAACCAUUCCAUUAAGUGAUAGUGUAUUAACAAUACAUCAUCUAACAAUUGUAUCAGUCAUGCAAAAAUGCAGGCACAUUGGUUUUGCAAAAACCCAAAUGCUAUUCAUUAGACAAAUACGAGGGAUUAAUGUGAUAUCUGGUAAAAUGAGAAAUUAUUUAUUUAGCUUUAAUAGUUGAUUCAAGAGAAAGAAAAAACAUAUAUAGAUGGGAGUGCCACACAACUGUAGGCACAUCGGUGGGAGGAUUCUUUUAUGUUAGUUCUAAUUUCUGGAAAAAAUUUUGUGGAAGAGAGAUGUCUUUAUUCAUGAGAACAGAAAUGGUAUGUGGCAGGAGACAGGAUGCUAGGAGUUUAAUCUUAGAACAGAAUGGAAAAGGAAAACUUGCAUACCAGUUACGUAACGACAGAACAACUAUAUACGGGAUGUAUACGCUUAUUUUGGCCGCAAAGGAAAAGCAAGGACCUGAAUCAUGCAUGCCAUUCAGAAAUUUCCAGGUGAAAUAGACCGGUGGCCAACUUUCCUUCGUUCCCUGUAUUGAAGAACUUCCGUCAGGCUGAAAAUGACUGGCAAGAUAGUAUCAAGUGGAGAAACUCGCUUGAUUUCCAACGUCAAGUGGUUAAAAAUUGGGUUAAUUACAUUGAGGUUGAGUGGCUGCUAUUGGACAUAGUUGUUAAUUGCAAACGAGUAGAAAGUCAUGUAGGCCUACUCCUGUUUAAAUCUUGAUUAGUUAAUCUAAUUAUUUUUGUCUAUGAUCCGAUAUCCUUGGGUCGGUCUUGUAGCAUGUUGUCAACUAUUUCUGAUUUUUGGGUUUGAUUUUCAAUUUUUGAAAAAACCAAUUUUUUUUUUUUUUUUUUUUUACUUACAAAGAAACCCAUAAAGCAUGUAUCUUCUAACUUGUCAUAUUGACUUCUUUUUUUUUUUUUUUUCUCUUUUAAAGCAUCUUGACUUCAAAAAAUCAGUUAAGAACAAGCCACCAAUUAAAAGAAAAAACUCUCUCUCUCUCAUGUGCUUGACUAAAGAUUCCUUGAUUAUGUGCAUUUAGUAUCUCCAAACUGAAACCAUCCAAAUUACGUUGCAGAUAUUAAAAUAAAAUUAACCCUUUUAUCAAAAAAAAAAAAAAAGAAAAUUAUCAUCUCAUUGCUUAUAAAAUGAGUUGGACGAUUUUGCCUCUUCAAAAUUCAAUAGCUAUGGACAAUGAAGUGCCACCAUGACCCAAAUUAUAUUGUGUCUCAAAAAUCAAGCUAAUCACAAAGAAAAUAGAGUGCUCAGCUCAUUAUAUUAGAUUUAAUAGUAGGGUUAAUGCUGAUUAGUGUUCGUAGUUUGGUGGCCAAAGCGUGUUUGCACGUUGAGGGUUUCUUUUUGUCGUAAAUCGCUAGAAGCUGUUGCCUGUGGAUCCUAUUUUUGCCAGGCUCCAGCCCUCGGGAAUCAAACCUUCAUUCCAAUGAAAUUCCGAGGGGUGCCAUAGGAAAUUUCUGAGAUAAUUUUUGGUUAUUUGGGAUAAUUUUUUUGAAUGAUGUGAUAUAUGUGAGAUAAAAAGGUAAUUGAAAAUGUGUUAAUGAUACAAGCAAAUAAAUCUUGACAAAUAAUUGGCUAUCCAAACAUGUUAGGAGAGGGCUGGCCAAAGGUGUUCAAUUAAUUACAUUUUGUAUUAAGGUUUAAGAUAACUUUGUAAUUGGGUACUAUAAGAGCGAAUGAGUAAACAUUCUGUGCAACAAUACAUACAAACUAUUUGUGAAAGUGAAAAUUUUCAAAUGUAUGUGUUAUACCAAAUUAACAUAUGAAUGCACAUGCUGAUAUGCAUUGUGUUGCCUUAUAUUUAAAUAAUUUUCCUAUUUAACUUUAGUUGUUUACAAAACCGAUAUUGAUCUCUCUUAAUUAGUACCCGUUAGACACUUGUCAAACAGACCAUUUAUAUAUUAAAAAAAUUUUUGAGCUUCACAUUUAAUAUAUAGUUUACUAUUUUUGGAAAAAAAUUUUUAUAGUUACUUUCUUUGUCUUAACGACACAUCGAAUCUAACCUAAUCUACUCCUACAGUCCUAUUCCUACUUGGGGGGAGCCUAUUCUAGGAGGUGGUUCAACUGAGUCGAGGGAACCUAAUGAAAACUGAACCACCAUCAGACCAAAUUACACCACGCAUCCGUAUGAAUUUAGAACAAUACUCAUAUAGAGGUGCAUUGAUGGGAGGUAAGGUUCUCCCACCUCACAAUUAAUGUGGUGACUAACUCUUUUAGAGGGGGUUGGUUUUUUAUAAUUGUUCUUUAAUAGGAAUUCUAUGCUGUUCAAAAGUAGUUUGGACAAGUAACAUGAAAUGAGCGUAGUGGCGGACGGAGCGCAGAGGAUUUAUUCUAGGGAAAUGGAACUUUUGUGCAUAAGACAGCCCCAUGAAUUCAUGGAGGAAAUGGCUCCCGGGAGGUGCCUUGAUUCCCAGAGCAAUCAUUCACCUAAGAAUACAUGUCAUGCACGAUAUUAGAUGCAUGUACCUGCCUGGAUCCUGAAAACAACAUCCAAAGAAUUCCUUUGUCUUGUCCCUUUUAUAAUUUCAACCAGUCAAAUGAUUGUCCCAUCAUCUUUUUCUGUCUGGAAAAAAAAUUGUAUGCUGUUAUUGGAUGUUUGGUUUGUACCCAGAAACUAGAAUGAAUACCAAAUUCCACUUAGAAAGGCUGUCAACUAGCUAGGAGCCACCAAGCCACUAGCAGUCUAAUGCCUAAAAUAGGCUACUAUUCAACUGCAACAUUUUAGUUUAACACCAAUGCUUCAACUCAAAAGGGAAUUUUAUAUACGAAAUGAGGAAAUAAAACCAAGGAGAUUUUGAGCAAAAUAAAAAAUUUCAAUUAAUGUAAUACAAUCUUGUGGUUACACUUGACAAAAUUGUAAACCAUGAAAGCACUUCAUGGAGAUCAUCAAAGGUCAAGAGGUGGCCUAAAAGCAGGGGCGGAGGGAAGGGGGGCGGUCCAAUUGUUAAAAAAAAAUUUAUAAGUAAAAAUUUGUUUAUUAUAUUGUUUUGCCCCCCCAAAUAUUGAUAAAAAAUUUCACUUUGCCCCCCCUCCAAUUGUUAUAAAAAAAUUUCUAAGUAAAAAAAAUUUUUCUUAUAUUGUUUUGCCCCCCCAAAAUAUUGAUAAAAAUUUUCACUUUGCCCCCUCCUAAGGACCCAAAUAAUAAUGUUUGAAAGUUAUUUGGACUUUGUCCAAAUAACAGAGACUCGCCCCCCUAAUUGCAAUUCCUAGCUCCGCCACUGCCUAAAAGCAACAGUGAAGUUGCUAUAACAGGCAUUGAUUCUUUUAAACAAAACAUCAUGGUUACUGAUUGUUAAGAGACACAAAACAAAAAAGUGCUAUAAUGCUUUUUUCACAAAAUUAUCUCAAAUAAUUUACAAUCCAAACACUGUAGUUUCAUUAGAGAAAAUAUUUGCUCCAGGUUGAUAAACACCAUUUACUGCAUUCCUUUCUUAGUUGGAAAACAUUAGCGUCUCCAUUUAAUGGAGUAAUUUCAUAAACCUCCCUUGAGAUUUUUGAUAAUUUCACUUAGCACCCUUAAACUUUUAAAAAUAUCAUUUACUUCUCUUAUUUUCAAAUUUUUGUAGCAUUCUCAAACCAAUUCAAAUUAUAUGUUUACAAUACUCAUUUUAGGAAAGAGAAAAUAAUUUGUUUCCAAUAAUGCCCUUUCAUUUUUUAAUUUUUUAAUUGUAAGAAUAAUAAUCAUAUGUUAAAAAUAAGGACAAAAAAUGAAAAUGUUCUUUUUUUAAAGGAACAACAUAUAAUAAUUGCAACCAUAAACAAUAAACUUUUUUAAAAUACAAACAAAUAAUAAAAUUUUGUUUAACAUGUUUUCAAAUUAUAAAGUAAUUUUUUCCCUUUAAUGUUUGUCUAUUUGGUACUCUAAAGUCACAUGGUAAGAAAUAUGAUCCGUUUGGAUGAGCUAUUUCUAGAGAUGUUUUUGAAAUAUUUUACUGUAACAAUGGACCUGUUUGGAAUCGAAUUUUUUGGCCAAGUUUUUUAGUUACUAGUUUUUUAACAACUUUACCUACAGGAAUCCAAAAAAACUUAUUAAAAUUUUUAACCUACAUAUUUCAAAAUAUCUAAUACACAAAAAACUUCAUUUUUUCUUCUUCAUUCUCCCCCGUCCCGAUCAACCACACCUUCAUCGCUGGCCACCACCUCCACCGCUACUUUCGGCGUCGGCCACCUACUCCGACGCCGGCCUUCCCCUUUUUUUUUUUCCUUCCUUUCUCCCUCUCCAUCUCCCUCUCCCCCUCUCCUUCCCUCCCCUCUCUCCUUCCCCUCCCUGGCUACCCUCCCCCUUUCCUAGCUGCUAUCUGGUCAUGCGACCGGAUUGGGCAAAAGGGGAGGGGGAAGGAAAGGAGAGUAGAAAAGGGGAGGAGAUGAGGAGAGGAAGAUGGAGAAGAGGGGAAAAGAAAAGGCAAAAAAAAAAAAAAAAAAAGUGCACGCCAUGGCUACUGGUUCUCUAGCUUCUGGAGGGAGAGGGGGAGGGUGAAGGGGAGUAGAGGGGGAGAGGGGAGCAGAAGGAGAAAAGGGGAAGAGAAAAAGAAAAAAAAAAUUGGGACCAUGGUUGCUGGUUCAUCUAGUACCGCGAGGGAAGAGGGAGAGGGAAGGAAGAAGAAGAAGAAGAAAGGAAAGAACGAGAAAAAGGAAAGAAAAAAAGAGAAAAAGAAUGAAAAGAAAAAAAAAAUGGUAGGACCAUGGCUGCUGGGAAGGUAGAGGUAACGGCGGAGGGAAGGGGGAGGGGGAAGGAAGAAGAAGAAGAGAGGAAAGAAAAGAAAAAGGAAGGAAAGAAAAAGAAAGAGAAAAAGAAAAAGAAAAGGAAAAAAAAGUUUUUCAUCUUAAAAAAUUUUUCCAAAAAUUUCUACAGUGCACUACAGUAAAGUUUAGAAGUUUUAGACAAAUUUUCAAGAACGUCAAGUUCCAAACGGGGCCAAUGUAGUUGAAAAAUAUUUAUUAUAGAUGUUUUUAAUAGUGUUUUUGAAAAUAUAUUUUGAAAUAUUUUUAAAAUUUAAAAUUUUAAUGGAAUAUUUAUAAAAUUUUAUAAUCACCCAUCACUAUCCCACCACCCCUUCUCUUCUCCCUUAUCCUCCUUCUACUUCUUCGUCCUCCCUCCUUCCCCCUCUUCCCCUCCCCUUUUUCAUGUCUUUCUUUCUUCCUCUUUUUUCUCCUCUCUUCUCCUUCCUCUUUCUCCUCUAUCCCUCCCCUCCUCCCUACCCUCUCUCACCACCCCUCUCUCUAGUCGUGAGUUGCAACUAGAAAAUGGACGCUGCUUGCGACCAAAUUCGGUUGCAAUUGGAAGGGGGAAGGGGGCAAUGAGAGAGUCAUGAGGAGGAAGGAGGAGGGAAGAGGAGGAAGAGGGCAGGGGAGGGAAGAGGAAGAAAGGGGAAGGGAAGAGGGAGGAUGAGAAAAAAGGGGAGAGACGAGAGAAGGAGAAGGAACAGCGGGUGGUAGUGUGUUUUUAUUGGUUGUUGUUGUUGUUGAUGGUGGUGGUAUAUAUAUAUUUUUUUGAUAUUUGAAGUUGUUUUUAAUACAUUGUAUGAAUGUGAUAUUUUUGAGGUUAUUUUUAUUUGUGUAUUAUUAUAACAUAGUAUAUGAAAAACUUUUUUUUUUUGAAAAAAUGAGGAAUCCAAAUGGAGUUAUUGUUAUUGUUUUUUUUUGACAAAAAUGUAGAUUUCUUCUACAAAAGUGUUGUAAUUUAGGAGACUAUUUAUAAUUUAAAAACUUCAGUGUUUGUCCAACCUUAUUUAUCCAUAUGUUUAUCACAUGCUCUUAGGUUAUCGAAUGAGAAAAAUCUUUCUUUUUAUGUAAAAUGGUUUGAUUGAAUCUAAUAAAUUUUAUGAACUAUUUAGAAUCUUUAAUUUUUAUUUAUUUGAAUCAAUGGCUUGAAAAUUUAGAAAAGGGAAAAAUUUUUAAAUUACAUUGAGAAUUUAUUUGAGUUGUUUAGAAGACAAAAAAAAAGUUAUUUUUCACAUCUUUACAAUAUUGCAAAUAAUUUUCACAUACUUUGUUAAUUAUUUAUGAUUUUUCAAUUUAAAAUUUUGCCUCCAAAUUGUAGAUAAGAUUUGUUAAAGAUUUCUCAACUCUAAACUUGUAAUUUUUUUUUUAACUAAAAAACACAUCCAUCAAGUUUUUAAAUAUAAAAGGAUUUUAAAUUGAUUUGUCAUUACAGCUAAGGGAUCACAAUAAAAGAGCAACUUUAGAAUAAAAUAACUUUCUCUUUCCUAAACAUAGUAUUUUAAUGAUAUAAUUAGAAUUGGGUUGGGAAUGUGAUAAAAAUUUGAAAAUAAGGGGGAAAAGUGAUAUUUUUAAAACUUUAAGAGUACUCAGUGAAACUAUAAAAAACUUCAAGGGAAAUUUCUGAAAUUAUCCCCCAUCUGAUCCUCCUGUUUGUGGCUCAUAUUUACUUGAAGAAAUUAGAGGUGUCAAAAUGGUUGAUUUGGACGGGUUUGGAUGAGUUGAAAUAGAUAAUGGGUAUAAAUAAGUUAAUUCAUUUAUACCCAUUUAAUUAGAUAGGUAUAAAUGGGUAAUUCAAAAAAUGAAUUGGGUAAUUCAAUUACCAUUUAUAUCCCAUUUAUUUUAACUUUUUAUAAACUCAUUUAAAUUUAUUUUUGCAAACUAAAUUAUCAAUUGAUACCACUCUUUGCAUCCAUCAUUAUCAAUAAGCCUAAUUACUAAAAGAAUAUAAAAAUUUGAACUAAUUACCAUGAAAGUUAAUAUAAAAACUUAAUCUAAAAACUUUGAACCGCUUACAAUUUUUUUGUAUGUAAAUUUAAAAUUUCAUUUUGGAAAGGUAGGAGAGGAGACUAAAACUUAUCAUAAAUUGGUAAUGCUAAAAAAUGAACAAAUUAAUAAACUAUGAAAAGAUAAAAUGAUAAGAUAAAACCAACAAAUCUUAUACAUAUAUAAAAUGGGAAUCGCUUGUGAACAGUGCCUAUGGUCCGGUUAUGCUGUGAUUUUUGUGAGCCUGAGGGGUGUUAUGGACCUUAUGGUCUUUUGGAGUCGAGUGGGAGUGGUUUUGCUGGAAAUUCACCGUCCCCACGUGUUGUUCUCGGACGGCAACAAGUUUAGCGGUGAGUUGAGCUGGAUGCAUCAAGCGCUGCUUCAAAGUAUUGCAAUCUUCAUUACUUUUUCUUAUUGUUUUCUUAGCCGGGAAUCGCUUGUGAACAGUGCCUAUGGUCCGGUUAUGCUGUGAUUUUUGUGAGCCUGAGGGGUGUUAUGGACCUUAUGGUCUUUUGGAGUCGAGUGGGAGUGGUUUUGCUGGAAAUUCACCGUCCCCACGUGUUGUUCUCGGACGGCAACAAGUUUAGCUGCUUCAAAGUAUUGCAAUCUUCAUUACUUUUUCUUAUUGUUUUCUUAGCCGGGAAUCGCUUGUGAACAGUGCCUAUGGUCCGGUUAUGCUGUGAUUUUUGUGAGCCUGAGGGGUGUUAUGGACCUUAUGGUCUUUUGGAGUCGAGUGGGAGUGGUUUUGCUGGAAAUUCACCGUCCCCACGUGUUGUUCUCGGACGGCAACAAGUUUAGCGGUGAGUUGAGCUGGAUGCAUCAAGCGCUGCUUCAAAGUAUUGCAAUCUUCAUUACUUUUUCUUAUUGUUUUCUUAGCCUUGUCUCCGUUACUUUCUCUUAUUCUUUUCUUGACUUUCUCUACCCAGCGUUUUUUCCGUUCCUCAUUCUCCAAUCUUUUUUCUCUAUUCUUUUCUUAGCUUCUCUGCCCAGUGUUUUGCCCUUUCCUCGUUUUCCUAUUGAGUUCUCUACUAGACUGCAAAUAAUUGAGCAAGUGAAUUGCGCAUCAGAGCACGGGUGCUUUGCAGAUGUUUAAUGUUAGUUAUGCUCUAUUUUAUUGGUUUGCAUAGCCAUUCAUGCAGAGCAACAAAUCAAAGUAAGGCUCAUGUAUCCGCGCUCUUGAUGUCUGACCCAGAAGUUUGGCCAUGAAUAUAUAUGUUUGCAUGUAUGGAUGAAUGACGACAAUUAUUCCUGAUAGUUAGUCUUGCUGUAAUUGCUCCUUCUGUUGCUGCCAUUUCUUUGCUUUAAUGCAGCUGCUGCUUGGGUUUGGUAUAGCAAUGGUGGUCAAAAAAUGCAUCAAAUAUUUGCUAAGGCUGAAAAAUAAAACAUUCCAAUACAUACAAGGUUUCAGCAAUAUUAAUGCAUGAAAGUCCCCAACAAUAAGUUCAAUAAUCAAAAGCAAGCUCAAAUUUCUUCUAAAUGGAUGGAAGGCUUGAAAAAGAUAAUUCUAAAUGAAUUAAUUAGAUUUGAUAAUAAAUGGAUAUUAUUACCAUUUAUAUCCAUAUGUCAAAAUUUAAAGAUACCCAUAUACAACUAUUCAUAGGUGGGUGUGGGUAAAUUUAGCUAAAUGCGCUGCAACGAAGCAGCCAUUCCUCAAUUCUUCUAUCGUUAUCGGUGUAUGAGAAAUCGAAGGGGCAUCAUUUGGAGUUUUCCUUCUAUGUCUGUGUAUUUCUUUACAAUUCUAGUAGAAGCAUCCUAGGAUAGCAUCGACCGCACUUCCAUAAUCGAUCCGGGAGGUUCCGCGUCUUUUUGUUGUAGUGCAUUCCCGAGCAAUUGUUGCAUCCGUGAGGCAAAAAUAUCAUCUAAAACCUGCAAAUCCGAAUCUUUGUUGUCAUGGUAGUAUUUAUCAUAUUACUGGAUCUUAUUAGACUCUCAUCUUUACUUCCAUAAAUCAAGGUCAAAUCAGUCGGAAACCAUUCAAUUACUGGAAUAAAAAUUGUGAAAUUCCUCCUCAAAACAACAAAGAAAAUCAUCACAACCACUCUAAUGUGAAACACUGACGAUUUGGCCAGCAAAAGUAUAACUCGAGCCAAGUUACCAAGUCAGCCUGCAUUUUUCACUACCUUGCAAACAUCUAUAACUAUUUCAAGGAUGAAAGACUUGCAUCACAUAGAAGAUUCAAAGGAUGAUCAGAUUAUCCCUCUUUCCUUCUUAACACUCAACUUCGUAUAGGGUGAAUUUCAGUUAAAAACGUCAGGCUUUUAAUCUUUUAAACAUUUGCAAAUAAUGGCUACUGCAUAAAGUGACUAUCUGAAUCCUGGAAGAAUUAGCUCAACUUACAGAUACUGCAACCCGUGAAGCUUUGUACCAUGACCGAUUUUCCUUCCUCUCUGCCAGAAAUCUAAGCACAUCCUGUCACAAAACAUCAAACAACAAGGAAAAAAAAGAAGAAGAAAAUAAAAGAUGCGUAAUGAAAAAAUAAUUAUGAAGCAUUUUGCUGAACAUUCUACCAAGAAACUUACCUGUGCCAUCCUAUCCCAAAUACCUCUUGAUACGAUUAUGAACACCUGAGGGUCCAAUAAAUUGUAAAGUUGAUCAAUCAUUUUUUCAAGCAAAUCCUUCAAGGGCUGCAUCCUACUUCGAACAUCAGAUUCUACAACAUUUUCCUUUGCAUCCUGAAUUAUUUUCUUCAACUUUGUAGACGGUUGCAAUCUUGUCUGAAUCCAGAAAAGCAGUAUAAAAAACGAAAUCAAUACUUGAUAGUGCAUAUCCAAAUGUCAUUAAGAACACCACAAAGUAUAGUUGUAAUGGUGAUCAUAAUGACUUUUUCUGCAACUUGUAACCUUGCAUUAAUAAAUGACCAAGAGAUGAAAAAAAAAAGCAUGCUUUCCAUCCAAAUGCAUCUUGCUGGAUAAUCAGCACAACACAAUGCAGGAAGAAUUUUUUUUUUUUUUUUUUUUAAAGGACCAAAUUCAUAACCUAAAUGUUAGUACACCUACAUUUUCCACAAGCUUUUCUGUAACUCCUUGCAAAUAAGUUCUCAAUUUGGCUCUGAGCAUAACCGUUACUUCACUCAGAUGCUCGCCUGGGAUGGUACUCCCACCAUCAGGGAUGCAAGAACCCCAUACCUUUAUCUGUGCUUCUAUUGGGGGCCGCAAAACAUCAAGAAUCCUUUUCAAGGAAUUAAGAAAAAUUCCCAACUGAAAAAUUAGAGCAAAAAUAUUAAUUUAUGGUCAAAAGAAGGGAGAUACCAAGUUCACAAAAAUCCAAAGAUAGCAAACAAUCUGACCUCUCUGCAAACGGAAUAGGCAGAUACAGUGCCCUUAGCAAAUUUCUGAACAUACUUGAGGCCUAAUUUAAUUGGAAUUGAGUUCUCCUUCAGUGCAUAUAAAACAUCUGCAUAAUGUUUUUCCAUAGUCUCUAUAACUGUCUUUUCCACAUCUGUUAUGGCCUGUAUCCAAACAAGAAUUAGAUGUCAAGCAUUGUGUGUAUUACUCCAUAAAGUUAGAAAAUACACUAGCUACCAUGAUCCGUUGGGUCCUACUGUGUCAUCAAGAAGUACCAUUAUCAUACAAACUAAUCAUUAAAUGUCUAUCCAUUGAUGCAGUAAUACCAAAUGAAGACCUUCUAAUCGAAUCAUAGCAGAAGAUUGGGAUUCUAUACCCCACUUAGCUAAAACCUUUCCCAAAUGCAUACAAGGAAAAUUUCAAACUGGAAAGUAACAUAUAGAAUACUAGCCGGUUUCUGCCAACCCCAAUAAGAGUUAAAAUGAUGAAGGCAAUAGAAAUUAAAAAAUUCAGACUUUACUUACACUUUCCAACUGGAUGGUAUACUCUGGCCAAUGACUUAUAAUAACAUCAUAUUCCUUUAGUGUCUCCUUCAGUUGAUCAUAAAUAUCAUCCACGAAAGGGGUUGUGAGAUCCAGUGCUUGGAAGCUGGACCAUUUUACCUGGAGGCAUGUAAAUUCUACUAAUCAGCAAUAGGGAAAUUACAAACACACCAGCAAAUGCUGACAAAUUCAUCCAAAGCAUCAGUAUUUGGCCAAACAUAAAAUGAAGCAAGAAGAACAGAUAUGUCAAAUCAUAUUAAUUAUGUAUAUAUGUACUACAAACAAACAGUAAAACCUACACAGAUGAGUAACCUGAUGUUUUUUGAAAUAAGAGUUUCUUGUUCCCUAUUUUAAUUCCAUAGGAACAAUUUUACCUUUCUAUAUCAAUAUAAGAUGCCUUAAGAGCCAGUUAUUUUAUCAGCCUCCAGUGCAACCCACUCUUAUCAAGUAAUGCCUAAGAUGCAAGUGCCACAUUAUAAAAGGUUCAAUGGUCCAUAGAUAUAUUAUUGAAACAAAGAAAAAACUUAAGGUAAAGUAUCUCUUUCUAUUGCUUUGCUCAGUGUUUAAGCUGCGGAUGAGCAGACAAAUAAGGUGAAAUCUUGUUGAACCUAAAGCUUGUAUUUAGAAAAGUAAGGAUCAGGCUUCUCAUCUACAAAGGUAAGGGUAGUAAAACUGGGACAGAUCAGAUAUUAGUCUAUAGCAGAAAAGCUACGACCUACGUUGUAUUUUGAAGUCAAAUAAACUUUCUUCCCAUUGGAAUGAUCUCCUCAAGAAAUCAACUGAGGCAACUACCAAAUAAGUUUUCAUGUGCACAUAACCAGUUCAGCCUAAUAGCUCAGAAGAAUUCAGACCAGGUAAUUUUAUGUGCAUAUCCAACACAAGAUGGUGCUGACUUCCACUGAACAAUGCUUGAUGGAAAUUGAAGAAAUAUAACAUAGACCAUGAACUUGACCCAGUGAGUCCAUGUAGACAAAAGAGUACCUUAUCAGGUUUGCAUAGUUCCAGCAAGGUAAGACGCUUUUCCUGGAUCCAGAAGGUUAUAUAUGAGUGGAACAAUUGUUUUGCAUCAACUCCACCUUUAACAGCUCUGCAAAAGGUCAUGAUAUGAUUAAGGCAUGCUAGAAAAGACUAAAGUGUAAACUAAGCACAUAUCAGACUUACUUAAUAUUCCAGGAGGCAAGAUCCCUUUGAAAAUCAGCUGUUGCAACAACGAGUUCUGUCACAGGUGGCAAUGGACUAGGAGGAGGACAAGCAACAAGAAAUGUCUGCAAUCUACUGUUGAGUUCGGUGCUAUAUAUGGAUGAGGAUAGAUUUGGAAGGUCUAUGAAACUAUGCAAAGACAGAUAAGAGAAAAACCAGAGUUAGAGACUUCUAUGAACAAAAAUCCUAUCCUUGGAAGAGAUCAUGCUCGAAUAAAUAACAGAGAAGCCAUUGCAUGAAAUGAAUGCAAAUAAGACUUGCAUAAACCAGAUUAUAGGAACUACAAACAUCUCUAAUUAUCUAAUAUGGCACAAUCAAGCUAUCUACACUUCAGCAAAAAUGGGUCUUUUUUUUUUCAUUUUCUUCCUUUCCUUUUUACCUGGGGAGUACAUGCUGAUCGUGAAUUUCUAUGUCUGUGAAGAUUUCUCGUCUGAUGUUCAAACAAAGAGAUUUUAUUUUCUGAUAUGCUGCAGAAAUAGUUACUGGGUCCAUUAGUACGUUCCCAUUAUUGUUAGAAACAAUCUCAUCUGUUUCUGACAGAUGCCUCUUGGAUCUCUUCUUCACUGCAGUCUACCAAAAAGAAAUGGUUAAUGAAAUGGAGUGCAGCAGGGAAAGAAAGUAUGUAUGCAUUCAAUACCUGAAAAUAUCUGCAAAGCUUCAACUGUGCCUCAGAAGAGAGAAUAUCAUGCAAAAGUUUGUACAGCUUUAGGGCUGGUAUCAGAGCAGAAGCAGCAAAUCCAGUAGCUGGUGUAAACACAUCAGCGACCCCUGAUGGAGAUGACUCAUCAAGUGACUUGUAAUUCUCAAAAACCACCGCAAUGGUCUGCUCAAUUUGAUCAGAAACAUCUCCCAGCAUACGAUUCUGGUGGGGAACGCAUAAGAAAGAACAGUAUGUUAGUUGAAAAUUUGGUAUAAAAACUUCAAAGAAUCAUAACAGAAGAAAGCACUAAAUGCAUAUGAAGCUAAUGGAAGAUGCUAGAUGAAAAGGCGCAAGAUGUGUACAACACGACCUCAGCAUAACUGAAAAAGUCAAAAAAAGUCCAUGAAACAUGGUAUCAUUGAAUAUAACUGCUGAAGGACAAGUGCAGAUAAAUCAAAUAAGAUUCUCCAUGUUAAAGGUGGGAUACUUUUACUGUCUCAUUUUUAUGCAUAAGAUACUGUGCAAAAUUGAGCAGGACAAUAAAUGUUCACGUUUUUUAAAGUUAAAUCCCUCCUACCUCUUGGUGACUCAAUGCCUCUUUACUUUUGCCUUUCAUCACAACAGGAAAGAGCAGAUCAUGCACCAAAUCUAGACAAUCUGCAGUUGGUGUAGCAACAUCCAUAACAUAGGAAAGAUAUCUGCAAAGUAAUCAAACAUUAUAGACCUACACAGUAAUUUCACACCACACCUUGAAACAAUUUAUCUGUAAAUAGGCAUUUAAACGAAUUUGAAUACCUCAGCUUAGUGUAUGCAUCUGAAACUCCAUAGUAUGAAGCAAAUUGAGUCACUAGCCACUUCCAUGAACCAUGCAGCAAAAGCUUUCUCUGUUGAAACUGUUGAGCUUUCAUUGCGGUCUCCAAAACGAAGUCAUAUGCAACAGUCUCAGCAACAGAACCAUACUGAAAUAAAGAACAAAAUAAGGAUACACCUUACCAUGAAACUACCUCAUUUUAACAUUUAAAUGGAUAAAUGUUACAUAGAAAUGAAAAGUAGAACUAAAGUCAUUCAAUAAACCAAUGAAGUCUGAAUUCACAAUGCAUAGCAGAGUUCAUAUGAUAGUCAAAAUAAUAUAAAAUCCCUUUUUUUCCUUUGUUCACCAUUAUUGUAUUGCACAUCUACUGAACCACAAAGAAAAUUCCUUAAGCUUACAUGAUAGCUGAAAAUACCAUCAGAUGAUCUUUAGAAAGAAAGCGAGACAUUAAAUAUGUAGCUAAAACUACUGAUCCCUUUUCUGAUUCUACAUCAAAGAACAAUUAAUGUGGGGAAAAAAUGAAGAAAAUGGAGAAGAAAGAACCGAUAACAAUUCAAAUCAUAAAACAUUAAAAGAUUCAAAUAGGAUCACUUAAACAUCUAUUGAAAGCUAGUGAACAGCAAAAAAAACCAGUUAUGGCAAACUGGCUGCUCUCACAUUUGAACAUAGAACCUUAAGAUUGUAAUUUCUAACACUAUGACAAUGCACGCCUGCAACUUAGAGUUAAGUUGUGGACAUGAAAAAUUAAAAGACAUGUCACAACUAAACAACAGAGUUCAACCAUUUCAGUCAAAAUUAAAAUAAAAAAAAUCAUUUGCCGGACUAAGACUGCACCAGAAUGUUGGUGUAUCAACAGUGAGAUAACAAAAAUUUAGAAAAGAUCUAUUGCAAGGAUCUUACUGACCUUAAGAUGACUAUUCUCUUCUUGACUUGAAUAAUUGAUAUACAAUUGUAUUCUCCCCACAAGUUCAUGCUCUGGCUCUUGAUAUAUAGACCACCAGCGAAGCUUGUCAGCCUGCAUCCAACCAAUACUUCAUGUAUCUAGCAAAGAAAUCUGUAUCUAGAAUUUGAGAAACAAAUAGUAAUCUGAAUAUCCUACCGGAUUAUCAGCAAUUUCAGCCACCUGAGCCAUUGCCCUCCCACAAUACUUCCCCUUUGAAUCAUGGACUUCAAUAAUUAGAUCAUCUCCUAACCCAUCCGGCAAGCUAUACUCCAGAAGCAAAAGAAUCAGUUUAUUCUUCUAUUCGAUAGGAGACUGAGAAAAGAAGAACACAAAAACUUACAACACAUGAGUCUCUCCAGAUGCAGGCUGCAUUUUAACUGUGUCCUCUUCAGAUGAAUUUUUCAAUCUCAAUGAACAAGAAUAUGUUUCUGUAGAUGGAUAAUGAAUCAUUUCAGUAAUAUGUCUGAACAGAAUGUUUCAAUGUAUCUACUGCGGUCUGAGGAUGCAAUCACUGAAAAAAAGUUUACCUUAGCAAGCAAACUAAAAUAUGAUACACUUAUAAACACUGAAACUAAAAUAUCCAAAAGGGUAUUGUACCAUGUUUGCUAGAGUUCAACUUUUCUGGCUUAAUUUUCACUAUCUAAUGGAAAAACUAAAUGUAGUGAGAACAUAGCAACAUUAAGAUCUCUCAAAGAUUUUAGUGAUGGGUAAUGUGGUUGCUUUUCAGUUAUAAGUGGUUUUUCAAGUUUCGGAGCUCCACUUUUUAGCUAUCACUAAAAGUAUUUACAGCCGAGAAUUUCACAACCAUCAAAGUUGCUAUUUCAGUUUAGACCAAACAUCUUCAGAAGAACUUCCAAGAGAAUUUCCUACUAACUUAUUCCUUGAAUAGGAUCACAGUCUAAAACAGAACACACUGAGCUAUUAGCAUUUUAAGACCUUGAGGUGCUAGAAGCUUCCUAUGGGUGUCUUAGCUAUGCCUAGCCAAGCACCCAUGGUAAGUUGUAUCCUCUUGCACAAAGGUUACAAAACAACCUGAUUAAUAAUGUGGUUAGUGACAAAAGACAAAAUAAGUACAAGGACCAGAAAGAAGUUGCAGUGUGCUAAAAAUGAGUUUCAGGUACUGGAUUCAAUUUGGUAAAUGUGGUGUCAUGUUUCUUUUACGAUUCCUAGCAAAUAAUUAACAAUAAAAGGUUCAACAACCUUUAACAUUCUUAUAUGUGUCCAUUCAAGUAUCUUGAUGAACAGUACAAGUGACAUGUAGUAUGGAUGACACUAUAAUGAGGAACUGAUUUUGGUAAAUUAAGGGAAAGAAUAUGCAAAAUUAAGAAGGUAAAACAAAUGUACAACUUUUGAUUUUAACCUUUUUUUAAAACGCUGUGAGGGCAUACAUACCUUGCACCAUUUCAUAGGAUGUCGAAUGGUUGCGCAAAGCAGUAAUGCCAAUUUUUACCAAUUCAGGCAAUUCUUUUACAUACUGAGUUCCAGCAUUAACAUAAGCCAAGCUCUGGCGUGAAAGAGAUCCAUUUGAUGGCAUACGUGGGCUCACACGUACUUUUUUGUAAGUUUCCCACUCAGACGAGAGAGCUGAUUUUAUGCUGGACAACCGUACUCGAAAAGGCUCCAGCUUCUUUAGGGGUGGUUUCAAAGAUGAAAGGCUACAGCCUGUUGGUGGCUCCAGAACCAUUUUUACUUUACGAACUGUGAUUGGAAAAAUCUAGGUAGAUUUAAUAUUCAAACAUAUUUCCAAGAUAGAGAACCUACUGUGGACAAGGAUCAAGAAGAAUACCUUGCACUUUCAUCUUGCCAAUAAUUUUCUUAGGUUUUACACAAGCUCCCUCGCUGAUGAGUUCUGCUGACCUUUUCCUCAAGAGUUCUUCUUCCGAUUGUAACAGCACAUGCUUCAAUCUACAACAAAACAGUGGUCAUGUCAUACGUGGUUUUUUGCAUAAUAAACAAAAAUCAUUAGUCAACAGGUCACUGCAUUGGGCAUACUGACAACAAAAGGAAAGUAAUCACAUUAUUACACUAAUUUUGAUUGGAUUGUGUGUUAAUGCUUCUGCAAAACCACCAGGACACAAUUCAGUUCACUAAAACAGCCAUGAACUUCUCUUGCUUGCUGAUCUAAUUAAAAACUGGUUUCUGAUCAUUACCACACCACGGUAGUGGAGACUAAAUAUGUAGUUGCCCACAAAAUAUACACUCUUUUAGCAUCAAUUAAAUUACCCCUCAUACAUUUGUUUUUCGUGAACAACGAAUUAGAAAAAAAUUACACACGUCCACAUAAAGUCCUCAAUUUUGGAUGUAAAAUGUAUCAGAAUGCAUGGAACUAACACAACAGAGAUACAACUACAUGCAUAAAGGGAAAGGAGUUUUACAAUAUCUUACCCAAAAGCAUCUCUCAGAACUGCACACUCAUUCUCUAGGAAGAUGGGAGCUUCCAUGCAUUCGCUGGCCCAAGCGUGAAGGCAUAGCCGAAUACAUGCAUCAUAAGAAAUGAAAGCAUUCCAAGAGCCUAGACCACUGUAUUGUUUCAGAUAACAGACAGAAAAGGUUCAAUGGUGUUACAAUUUUUAUUGUCACCACAAGAGUUAUAAACAUAGAUGUAUCAGGGAAAAUAAAUGUAAAAACUUGCAGAUUUCAGCUACCUUGCAUGGAAAGUAGGGAUUUUUGCAGGUAAGGAAUGCAAAGACACACCAGCAGCCCUGUCAUCAAUUAGAUAUAUAACCAUCACACUUGAAAUUCUCCCAUGAAUUUACAUAGAGAUAAUUUAAAACACAUGCAGUUGCACAAACAGCUCACCAAAAACAAAACUUGCCAAAAUAAUAUACCUAAGAGAUGCAUCACAAGCUGUCUUGGCAGUAGAGUUUAAUGGGGUUCCAUUGCCAGUAUUUGGCAUAUCUGCGGUUGCAGAACCAUCCAAUUUUGUAGGGUGAGGGAAAAAAUCUGCUCUAGGUUGCCCCGAAACUUGGUUUGUUUCUGAGACAGAACCAGCCAGUGGUGGUGCACUUGGAACAUCAUCAGGUAACUUAUAAUUCUGGACUCCUGCACCUUGAAGAACCUGUAAGAGAAAAAUAGUAGCAUAUAAAAUUUGAUUCAAGAAAGGAAAAUAACAAUCGCAGCACAUAGCAGCACUACAAGCAGUUUUGUGCACUACUACCACUUGAUAGACAUCAAUUAUUGCAGGUGCCUCUUGAGCAUGGAGGAGGAAAAGGCAACGUAGGUAGGUGACUGCGCUAGGACUUAAUUUAGCAGCCAUCCAACGGCUUUAAUGUAGCAUACAGAGGUAAGUUCAGACGAAAAACCUGUCUUGGUGUCUUAGCAUUUGGUUGUAGAUUUCCAUUGAAGUAGUAAACCUCUGAAGUUCCAUUCCUGAGGUCUGGCACACUAGCAUCGAUACUUCUGAUACCUUGUGCUCCUAAACUUCGAAAAUUACUCUGAUGUUUGCCUGCAAAAUGUACAAUAUUCAGAAUGAAAGCACCAACAGUUACAUUAUCUUCUCCGUAAAAAGAAUUCACUGCUUUUGAAAACAACACACCGUUCACAAAUUUAUCAUCUUGGGGCGAUGUUUCAACCGAAUAACGUCCACCGUAAGCCUCACUAUCCGAGUCAGAGCUGGUAUCCAUGUCCGACUCUGAACCGAUUCCAGCGCCAUUUUUGACAGGCAUGCCUCUGGACACCGGGAUAAUCCCAGAUGGCAGGUGUCCACUUUGAAAUCUAGUUGCAGAAGGCAAUCCAAAGCCUCGACCUCCCCGGCUUUGGUUCCUCAAACCGACAACAUGAUCAGCCUGAGUCGGCAUUGAUGAAAUCAACUUUUCCGCUUCCUUGCAGUAUAAUAUCCUAAUCCAUCAAAAAAAAAAAUCAGAACAUCAGUUGCCUAAAACCAAGAAGAAAAACGAAGGGAAAAAAAAAAAGAACCUUACUUGAAUUCAAUGGUGUGAGAGAUUAAUAUAGCAGAAGGCCCACUAUUAAUACACAAUGCAGCAGGAAGAUAGCAAAUGAAACACCCUUUUCCUUAUUGGGAUUAAUUUGGAAAUCAAAUUAGAAGGAUUCCACUUUUAUUUUCUUUCAAUAUUUUCCUAAAUUGUCUUUUUUAAAGAAUCUGAGAAAGAUUGUAAUCAGCUUCCAUUUUUUUUCCCAUCCCAAUUCAAUGCAACCAGAAAGAUACGAUUUUGAUCCAAUAAUUCGUUAAAGAGAACAAAAAAAGAUCACUCUCCAUAUACAUUGAACCCACAAAUGAAACAAGGAAAAAGAAAAGGAAUUCUUGGCAACUUUUGCUAUGCAACAGUAGUGACACACGCUACCAAAUGUAAAAAUGCACUUACCAGUGUGUGAGAAGAAGCUGUAGAGGCUGCACUUUUUCUGCAGUCUUCUCAAUGGGUUUUCACAGUUACUUGGCUUAAACUAGCCUUGGUUUCCUUAAUCUGGAUUAUAGUCCCAAACAUGCUAGUUAACAAAUGUGGCUUAGCAUUUUGGGGAAAUUAAUAUAGUAUGGAGUUCUUGAAUUCGGGUUUGGAGGUUUUUUUUUUUUUUUUUUAAGGUUUAAUGAGCAAAGGAUGGAUUAGCACUAAAAAGGAGACGUUAAAAAUCAAAAGUUCGCAUGGCAGAAAUUAACGGAGACGUGGGGGGAAAUUAACGCGAGGGGAUGACGUGGCACCCGCAUGUUCUGUCUUUUGAUAACGGCCGGUCGUUAGUGGCGCGUCUUUGGGGCGUUUCUUUUUGGAUUACCAGUUGGUGCACACUCAUUUUGUUGCCUCCUUUCUGCCUUUGCUUCAUUGCUUGUAGGCACUCUCUCUCUCUCUCUCUCUCUCUCUAGACACGUUUGUAUGUGAGAGAGAAAAUUGUUUGUGUGCCAUCUUGGAAAUCUAACCUAAGUGGGAGCCUGCUGUGUCCUUUGUUAAUUGCACUGCUUAAUCACUAAGAAAGUGAUGUGUAAGGUGCAAAAAAGGGGCAAAAAAUAUGUUAAUCUUGAAAUGGAAAGAUUUGGUAUUGUACUAUAAUAUAUAUUCACUUCCAUCCUUGAUUUGGUUAAACAAGAUUUUGGUGUGAAAAAGCCUUUCUCAAAUAAUAUUGAUAUCAGAGUCACAUAUCAUUCAUCCGAUCGUGAUAAUGUAUAUACUGACAAUAAUAUAUAUAAAAUUUACUCGUACUUUGGGUUUGUUUGGGUUGCUUCAUAUUUUCCCAAUUUUAUUUGCUUACAUCAUCUUUACAAUUUCCAAUACACCUUUUUAUCUUCCCAAUAUCUUUUUAUCUCGCAUACAUCACAUCACAAAAAGUGCUACAGUAAAAAUAUCUCAAAUAAUCCCAAAUAACUUACAAUCCAAACAGACCCUUAAUUGCUUCAUUUUGAUUUUGUAUUUUACUUCCGUAUAUAAACAAUUUAUAGCUUGAGGGCUAAGUUAAUGAUCAAAGCAGAUUCUUUGAAUUUCUUCUCACUUGACAAUCUAAUCUUCUAAACAAUACCGAGUAAAAGUUUUGAUAUCUUGGAUGAAAUUGCCUUUUUAAAGUAAACAAUUGAAGAAGUGCAUGAACUUCUAUUAAAUGUAAGCCUUCCUUAAAAAUUUUCAUAAUUACUUAGUAGUGUUUUCGGUCAAAUGACGAUGUCAAAAUCUAAUCGGCUAUGCUUUUGGCCCAGUAACUGGUCUCCUAGGCGCUAGUUAACACUUUUUGACUGUGAUGGUUCCCAAAAGUGCACCAUACCAUAUGACCUUGACAACGUUGAAAAAGGGUUUAUUUUCUUGGUUUUGGGGGUCUAAAGUAGAAGCCCUAGAAUUCUAAAGCGUUAGCUGUUAAGUAGUAGACUAGUAGUUGUUUACAACUAGCAUCUCUUUCCACUGGCUGACAAAAUUGUCCACCGCCAUCUUCCAAAUGAACAUGUUGAAGGGUACUCGAAGCAAAGCAAAAGCAACAAAACAGAGGAGCAUGUGAAAAUAAUUCAAGAACCAUAUCAUUAUUAUUAGUAUAAUAAAUAACAGUAAUCUAUCACCAUCCAAGCAGGCAAAUGAUUAACACAAUUGGCAAAUGUGGGCCACUUGAACAAGAAGACAAGAGCCCCACGUGAAUGGACUGGUGGUUGGCGUCUCUUCCUCGGGACCGUUAGAUCCUGGGGUCGAAUCUCCGCAACAACAUCGGCUUCUCCGUGCUGUUAUCAUGCUAGGUCUAAGUUGGGGCGUUGGACCGGGGCCGAAGUGGGAUUAGUCGGACCGCCUUUAUGGACUUGACCCGGACACCCACUCCGUCGACAAAAAAAAAAAAAAAAAAAACAAGAAGACAGGAUAAUUGAUUCAAUUAGCUUGUCUACCGUGUGGUGCACCUAUGGGGGCGACCUUUGCAUAGUCGCAGAGAAAUUAGUCUGAUAUAAAUUAAGAUAUUCCUUGCGUGAGUCAAAAAAAAACAAAAAAAAAGAAGAAGACAUGAGAGUAAUUGAGGACUACAAAAAGAUUUGGUUAACAGUUUAUGAUAGAUAGUAAACUAUAUUGGUUAAAAGGAUACUUGGGCGCAUCAUCCUUCAAUUAGAGGACAAAAAAUCUGGGGGUAAUUAUGCUAAAAGAUGUUAAACAGUCUCCUUUCUCAUUGGAAUCAUUUCACUGGAACAGCUUUACACGGCUGCCGAACAGCACGCACCGUGCUGGUCUUCGGACACAAAACAGUUCUUCAGGAAUGAAUCCUUUUGUGAAUAUAAAACCGUGCAAGAAACCAAACCAGGCUUAAGGGGUGUCUUCAAUAUUCUGUUGGAAGAGCGCCAACAGCUUCUAUAUUGCUUUCUUUAGUUAAAGUUUCAAAAGGGCAGAUUCAUCUAGGCCACAUCUGCCUAAACAAAUGAAAGUCCAAAAACUGGCAAGUAGGAAAAUAUUAUCAGUAAAUAAAGAUUUUGAUCUUCUAUUUCAGAUUAUACAUCGACCUAAGAUCCUACUAUCCACAUAUUGACAACCAAAACUGAGUCAUUAAACUUUGACCAUCUCUUCUGACAAACCUUACUCAAUUUAUAUAUCUAAUUGCAACAAAAUCAUAGCCAUAUCCAUGAGUCCACGUCAAUCAUCAUCUGAACCAAGGACUUGUUGCUUAAUAUCUUCAAUUUUAGCAGCCAACUCCUCCCUACUUUUCUGCAGAAACCAAGGUAAACAAAAAUAAUUUAUGAUUGCUAACUAGGAAGGUAAUGAAGAAUGGGGCGCCAAUUUGACAGGGAAACUACCUUGAAAAGUAGAUAGCGGGUACCGAACCAUACUGUGUAGGAAAGUCCCACGACUUGCAUCAACUUUGGAACCUGAAAUGAUAGAGUCCCUUGUGUCAGUAAUAAAGCCCCAAACGAUUCUCAAAACAUGACUAAAUGAGUUUGAGAAAAUUAACGCUCGUACAUACCAAAGGAAUCGAAUCAAUUGCGCCAACCACUGCAGUUGCUAUAUAGACGGCAACCAGCGCACCACCGCCAAAUAAGAGGAUUGGGUAUUUAUCGUCCGAAUCAAACUGCAAAAUAAUCAACAAACAAUUCCAAUAAGAAAGGACUACAUCUGGAGAAUUCAUGCUUAAUUUCUUGUUACUUUUCAUUCACGAGACUUUGUUCCCUUUUUUAUUUUUGAAUUGACCUCUUUUAGCAUAUUUAAGCUUUUUUGUUUUUUUCAGGUGGGCGAAGAAGUCUUCUGAUAAAAGUGCUUGCCACGUUCAAAAGAAACAGUACAUAUUAAUCAGUUCACUCUUCUUCCUCGCAGAUGAACACAAGUAACUUUUUGACAGGCCACCCCACUUAAUUACCAGUGUCAACAAAUCACGAAACAAGAAAUCAGGAACAAAAAUUAGAUCACCAUCAGCACACAAACCUUCAGUGAGAAAAAAAAAGUAAACAGAGAAAGUUCUUCAAAACGAAUACAGCAAAAAGACGGAGCAAAAGGAAAAGGAACCAAAAUAAUGCAGAAACUUUAUUUGAUCAUGAUAACAAAAGUUUCUGACUCAGUCAAAACCACUGACACAACAAUUCUACCUCUCCCCUCUUUCAAAACUGCAUUACUACCCCCAUACACCCAGCUACCUUGGACUACAUUAAAGCUUGAAACUUAAACCAAAGGCACGGAAGGCCACAGAAAGGAAAAUUAGCAAAGAGAACUUCAAUUGGAGCAUCAUAAGAUAUACCAUGGGAUUCAUAAGAUAGAGACAGUGAGAAAGUAGAAGAAUGCAAAUCAAAGUUACAAGAUUGAGGUUGCUCAGGUAACCGCUCAGGAUCGACGUAAUUGCCGACAUAUCAUCAAGCAUCUAUAACUUUCCAAAUAUCAUAACAAAAAAAAGUCAUCAUAGCAACCUGCUUAGUUAUUGAUUGUUCCUUGAUGAAAAAGAAAAAUGCACAGACAAAAAAUUAGGAAGAGUUGGAAAACAGAAUAUUCACAAAAACAUUUACUAAGAACAGGAAAAUACGGGUGUUGGACAAAAUUGAUUUAAAAUGAUGAAAGGCUGCUCAGGUAACCGCUCAGGAUCGACACAAAUUGUCGAAGUCUCAUCAAGAAACUUUCAAUAAGUUUUGAUUUUCAUCAUAGCAACCAAGUAAUUCUUGCAAAAUAAAAGAUGUAAGAUAAUUACAAAAAGCAAGUUCAUACAGCUGAUGCCUAUAAAACUUGGCUGAGCACCAAGGAAGAUGGAUCAUCCAUAAAGGAAAGGAAAAAGUUUGCAGCUGGUGUCACAUGAAGAAGAAACCACCUGUUUCAGUCCUCUGUAUUCAGGUCUAGAAGAAUAAAAAAUGCUAAGGUAAAAAAAUUCAAACUAAUAAAGGUGGAAAUUUGUCAACAUUUGGACAGAAAUUUCCAAUUCAUGCAGACCACGAGUUAUUAGAUCAAAAGAAUGGACAAAGUGAAUCCUCAUUUAAACAAAAAGGGUCCUUUAUUCUCCAAACGGAAAUGGCUUAAAAUAGGAUGACACUCCAAGCAAUCAGCAUCCUAUCUUUCAAACUGACCAAGUAAAAAAUUUGUAAAUAGCCUUCUGACAUGGCUUCAGCCUCUAAACUACAGAUAAACAGUUUGGCAGAAUUUGUCCUGAAAAAGAAUUAAGACUAACAGAGAGGGCAACACUAAAAAUGUAAGCUGCUAGGAGCAAAACUAUCUAUGGAGUCAUAGUGGAGUUCUUCACUUUCAAUUGAGUUCAUUAAAGAUAGUUAUUUGUGCAACAAAGACCACACAAUAUUAUUGUUUACAAGAACAUCCUAAAAGGAAAAUGAGGAUGAUCAAAAGCAGCUCAAACACAAUAAGCAAAUACAAAGAACUAGACACAAACCUUUAUGUUGAGCUUCUCUAAAAACUCAAAUGCCAGCACUUGAUUUUCUUCAGGAGAAUCUUGUUUUGGUUCUUCGUUUGGAAAUUUUUCUCCAUACUCAAAUGCCUGCACUUGUUUUUCUUCAGAAGAAUCUUCUUUUGGUGCUUCGUUCGGAAAUUUUUCUCCAUACACAUUCUUUUCAACUGACCUGGACUCUUCCAACGUCACCACACCAUCUGGUCCAUCUUUGGUAUAUUUACUAGCCCCAGUUGAAAUUUCAUCAGAGAGUGAUGAUCUGAGAGACAAGUUGGUGCAAUAUCGCAAUCCUGAAGCGAACACAUAAAAAUCAGUCGCAACUGUUCCUGAAUUUCUUUCUUUUUCUUUCUUUAACCCUUACAAAAAAUUUCUAAAUUAGUUUCCUAAUGCUACUAUAGGAAGUGUUUACAAAAACACAUUCCAUUUGACUAUUCACGUUAUAAUAAAAGGGUAAACAGACAUCACAUAGGUGUUAUUUUCAACACCAUUUCUAAUCAACUUAUUGAUUCUUUAAAGCAACCAAUCACAGUUCAGCUAAACCAUAUCUGUACUGACCAAACCAGAAAAAACAACGGGGUUAUUUACAUAAAUAUCGAAGGUUUUUUUCACGAUAUUAAAUAAAUUUUAAUACUUUAAUUUGGAUUCAAAGCAUAGAAAAUCAAUUUCUUGACUUCUUCUUUAUUUUCUCGCCUCUUGUCAAGGUUCCUGCUCUUCCUACGUUCUUCCAUAUGAAAGUUACUGUACCCUUCUCUCCUCCAGCCUUGUAGUGGUCAUGCUCACAAGUCAGUGGGGAGAAGGUGGUCACUAAUAUUUAUAAGGUGAUGGCGGCAGUACUUUCAGGCCUACCAUGAAUUUUGCAGCUGCAAAUCGCCUCCCUAUUUUUUUUAAGGAUUCAAUUUCUCGAUUUUUCAAAUUCCCAUUAAAUCAUCAAUGUUGUGUAUUUUUUAUGAAAAAGUUUAAUAAUUUGAUUAUCAGUAACCCAUAAACAAUGAACUCAACCUGCCCAAAUCCCCUGAUAACAUGGUUUAUAAUCUCAUUUCUUAUUCUAAAUCCAACCCCAUGCCAUUGCACAACAACAAAACAAACAAAAUCUCCUCAUUGCUGAGAAACCCGUUGCACCAAGCUAAACCCAAUAAUCCCAUUGUUCCAUUCACAAAAAACGCCUGAUAAAUUCACAAUAAACAUCGAGAAAUGAUCCACGGAUUAACAAUAAAUAAGACUUGGGAUUGAAACAAUUACCUGAAGGGUUGAAAUGGGACGGAGAGAUUCUUGAAGCAGGGAAUUUGGGAUUAAGUUUCCGAAAUCGACCUAUUGGGGAAGCACCGGCAGUGAAGAGCCUGCAAUAUGGAUGAUUCGAGAUUGAUCGAGCUGUGCAAAGCUCCAUUUUUUUCCCUCUUUCAGCUAAUUUAACUCGAUUAAGCCCUAAAUAUGAUUAGGGAUUUUCAGACUGGGGGAAUUUAUGGAGGAAUGUUAGUGAAAAUGUGGAACGCUAGGGUUUAGCGGCGGGGAAGAACAUAGCAACACGUGUUACGUAAUUGGUGGACCGUUGGUUUACUAGAUAAAGAGGGGAAAAUAAAAUAAUAAAUGGUGUGGGUUUUUUUUUUUUUUUGAAAAGUAAGCUUGUCGUUAAAGGAAAACAAAAACGAAAAUGAGUUGGAUUUGAAAGAUAUUACUAAUAUGUUUUCUUCCAUAAUUCUGAGGUCAAAAAAAAUAGGAAAAAGGGGCCAUGGGAGGGAGUCCUUCAAAAAGGUUGAAAAUAGAAUAAUUCAUUGAUUGCCAUCUUCUAUUUUUGUGGUUUUGAAAAUUCAUUGAUUCUCAAAUUUCAAUCACUAACUCCCUCCACCCCCACCCCCCCUCUUGUGUAUAUAUAUAUAUAUAUAUAUAUGUGUGUGUGUGUGUAGAGGCUUCUAAUUGAAGAGAGUGAAUAGAUCAAUAGAUACUUGGAUUCUAAUUUAAUAUUUAACCUUCUUCGAAAAAGUUUUGUAAUUCUUCUCUCUUCUAAUAAUAUUUAUUGCCUAUUAAAAAGUUAAAUAACUUUGCUAAAUCCAUAUAUAGUUCCUUAGUUUAGUGGAUUGUUUGAUUCUUAGAUUGGAUAUUUAUUAAUUUCGUUAGAAACUAAACUGUUUGUUCGUGAGAAAAUAGAUUGCUGUAAUUUUUUGUGUUUAACUAAAAAUAAAUAUGUAUUCUAGGUGUAUAAUCAUUGUAAAAGUUUGAAUGGCCAUCUCAAAGAAAAUCUAUAAUUUCAUUUUUAUAUAUUUGUUGAAUAUUACUUCACGACAAUAUAAAAAAUUUUAAGCAUUGGUAUAUUAGUUAAGUAUUUAGAAUACAACAAUUUUUUGAAUUAAAUAUGAAUAAAUAUGUAAAAGUGUCAUUGAUAUUUCUUUCUUGGAAUAUAUCCCCUGGCUUAUAACUAAUCCAAAUUUUGAAAAAAAAAAAUCAUGUACUAAUGCACGGGCUAAAAGCCCAAAACCAAUAAUUAAUCACUUUGUGAACUCUUUUUCUAAAUUUCAAAGCCCAAAAGUUUUGCAGUAGACCUCCUUCCGUAACAAAUUCCAAACUUCCAAAUUUCAAUCCAAAUACGACAACUGUCAACCCUCAAAAACCUUGGGCCUGUUUGGAAGUGAGUUUUUUGACCAAGUUUUUUACCUACUAGUUUUUUAACAACUUUUGCUACAGGAAUCCCAAAAAACUUCUUAAAGUUUUUUCCCUACACACUUCAAAAAUCUAAUAAACAAAAAAUUUUCCAAAAAUUUUUCUCUUUUUUCCUCCCUCAUCCAACCCACCAUGCCAGCCACCACCUCCACCACCUGUACCGGCGCCGGUCAUCUAAAAAUUUUUUUUUUCUGUCCUUCACCCUCACCCCCUCUCCUUUGCAGAAAGAGGAGUAACGCUGUCGUUUAUGCCGGGGGUUGGCCCGACUGUCUUUCUUUAUUUAUUGUUUUUUUUUUUUUUACAAAUCACCCAAAGUGGAGUUAGGGUUGGGGGAUCCGUUAUUUCCAUGGCGGGCAUGGAAGGAAUUGCAGCGGCGGGAGGAACUGGAAUUAGAAGUAGAAGUGGAAUAGGGGGAGGAGGAGGAGGUGUCUCAGUCUCAGAGGGGGGGAGAGGAGAGGAGCCAAAAAAAAAAAAAAGAAAAACAUAACCAAGCAGGGGCAUGGAGGUCGAACGACUGCGCGCGCAUUAUGACUGGAGUGCGCUGUGGUCGCGCUAUGAAGAAGGUGCACCAGGAGCUGGGCUGGCUGAUGCGCUUGCGGAGGAGGUCGGCGGCGCACCAGGCUCUCUGGCGCACCUGCGUUUCUGAUCAAAGAGGCGCCGGAGGUGGUGGUCGGCGCUCCAAGAAACAAGGGGAGGGAGAGGGGGGAAGGGGCAGUGGAGGAGGGGGUGGUAGGGCAGAGGAGGUGGCGGGGCAGCGGGGGAAGAGGUUGCGUGCAGAAGGGAGGGGAAGGCGGGUAGCAGGGGAAGGGGUUGUGCAGAGGGGAGGGGGAAGAGGGGGAGGGGGUGGCGGAGCAGUGAGGGAAGGGGCAGCGGUGGGAGGGGUUGGCAUGCAGAGGGGAGGGGAAAGGCAGAGGAGAGGAGGGGGGGAAAGGGAGGAGAGGGGUGGCGGGAGGGGGAAGGAAGAAGAAGAAGAAGAAAGAGAGGAAAGAAAAGAAAAAGGAAAGAAAGAAAAAGAAAAAGAAAAAGAAAGAAAAAAAGAAAAGGAAAAAAAAUUUCACCUUACAAAAACUUCUACAAAAAUUUUACCUUACAAAAACUUCUAUAAAAAAUUUUUUCACCUUUCAAAAUUUUCUACAAAAUUUUUUCAAAAACUUCUACAGUGCACUACAGUAAAGUUUUAAACAAACUCUCAAAAAACUCAGAUUCCAAACAGGCCCCUUGUUUAUACCCUGCAUACCUGAAACUCUUGAGACAAUUUUUGUGUACGAGCUUAGCUUACUUUAAUUGCAUCAAAAAUGGCUGAUUCCCAAAUUUUAACUCAAAAGCAAAACCAGUACAUGGCAAAACUAGCCCAUGAAUCCGAGCGUUACAAUGACAUGAUGAAUUACAUGAAAAAUCUUGCAUGUACAGAGGUUUCUCCAUCUUCCGAUUUAACCCUGGAGGAGCGAAGGCUACUUUUCUUGGCUUGCACGAAGGUGAUUGGCUCCCUUCGUUCUGCAUGGCGGUCUGUGGCUUCCGUGGAAGAGAAGGAACUGGUUGAACAGUAUCGAGUCAGCAUUGAAGCCGAAAUUUCGAAGUUUUGUGAUGGGAUUUUGGAGUUGUUGGAUAAAUCCUUGAUUCCUUCAGCCUCCUCGAGUGAGUCGCAGGUUUUUUACCUCACAAAGAAGGGAGAUUACGAGAGGUACUCGGCUGAAAUUAAGGAUGGUGAUGAUUUUAACUUGGCUUCUGAAAAAGCCAUGGAAUCUUAUAAUGCUGCAGAGGUAGUUUUCACAAACUUAUGCAUGCAAAAAUUACUUAUGUCCGAAUUAAUUAAGAACUCGCAAAGUUGUCUAAUUUUUCAUACAUACACAUAUUUUUUGGUAAUAUUAAAAGGCAAGCUAAAUAGUACAGGUCCCUUUUUCUUGAUGUUUUUGUUUGGGGAAUGAGAUUAUUAGGGUUUGACUUGUGUCCCCUAGUAACUUUUUCUUAUUAUUAGGAGAAUUAGAAUUGGCAUCCCUUCCCUAUAUAGAUUUUUUUUUUGCUAGAGAAAAAAAAAAGAUUAUUAGGGUUGCAUGGCAGACUUGAUUGCUCGCUGGAGUCCAAAUUACUGGGCUUAAGUUUUAAACAAGUAAAUUAUCUCCCAAUCGAUCAAGGCAAUGUGGAGGCUGACAUGCACAAUGUUGCUCAUAUGGAUGUUUCUUAUGUUUAUGUUCUGCACUAUUUCAAUUAGAGUAGUAAAAGAGGGCAAAUUGUAUGAAAAGAUUUAAGCAUUUAAUGUAUCAUUUUUAGGGGCCUAAUUAUUGUUUAUAAUAAUAUUUUCAAGUUGAUAAAUUGCUUUAUUCACUUUUUUCGUUCUUUGGAACAGAGAACUGCGUUGGCUGGCAUUCGUCCAUCGCAUCCUGUAAGGUUGGGUCUGGCUAUCAACUUGUCGGUUUUCUACUAUGAUGUCCUGGAAUCAUCGCAAGCUGCUCUUAGCACGGCCAGUUUGGUAAGUUUAUUCCCCACUGUUCCAAUAAUAUGCAGCCAUUGGAAGUACCAUAAAAGAGUUACUUAAGACCUUUUUUUCGAUAAAAGUUUGCUUUAGUUUUUAGAGCUAAAUAUGCAAUCCGAUCCAAAAACAUAUAACAUUGCAAUCUUUUAAAUUUACUGUUUAUAAAUUGUUGCUCAAAAAAUUUUCUGAAAAAUAAAGGUCAGUUUAAUCUCAGUGUUUGUGAUGGAAGCGUCCAAGAAGUCUUAAUUAUAACCAUAUGCAGUCGAUGACAUUGCUGGAUAUUUGUAUUUGAUCUCUUCUUGAACAAACUAAUAUCAUAACUCUACCUGCAGAUAAUCACACACAGCAAAAUAUCAAAUAUGCACAAGUAACUGGUAGAAAAUAAGCUGUGUCUUCUUAAAUGCAAUAAUACACACUUGAGUUUUGAGAAUGUGACAUGCAUUUACUUGCUCUUUUUAGGCUUCUAUACAUAUUGAACGUACUUGCUUCUUCACAUGAGCUAGUUGAAUUUGUUCGCUCUUUUUUUGCAGGCCUUAAGGGAUGCUCUUGCAGACAUAAAUUCAUUGCCUGAAGAACUCUACCAGGAAAGCACACAUAUGAUGCAACAACUCCAAGAUAAUCUCGAUCUUUGGAAGGAGCCUUGAACUUCUUCUUAGAUAUUGAGGAUUGUGAGUUACAGUUUUUUAAUAGGAAGAGUUAACAACAAAGCUUUUUUUUCUUUCAUUUUCACACUUUUUUCUUUAUUUUUUCCUUUUGAGACAAGGCAGUUCAAUUGCAGUAACGAAUUUCUCAGCAAUGGUAUAUGCUGGCAUGAAGGAAAUUAAACCAAGUUAUUUUAGUAUUUAGUUUCCUAAUUCUUUUAAUUUCUUGUUUUGGUAUCUUCUUUGUUUAGUUUUCAUAUUAAUUUAAGAAAUUUUAAAUCAAUUUCAAGUAAGUUUCGAUUUACAAUUGUUUCUAUUUAGGAAGUUUUGCAAUGUAUAAAUAUUAGGAGUCUAGUACAUUAUUUUUUGAAGAGUUGAGUGGAGUUUCCAAGAAUUGAGUUGAGUCUUGUUAAGUUGAGUUGAGAGAAAAGUCUCUAAGUUGAGAGUUGUGAAUUGCCUUAAAUGAAAUUGUCUUAAGCGAAAGGUAACGACUUGAUAUUAUUAUUAAGUACUUAUUUGUGUGUUUGUUCUCCUCCUCUUCUCACAUAUUUUUAUAUGUGUUAGAAUUGUUUCCGCUAUGCAUGUUUUUUUGAGCCAACAAGUGAUAUCAAUAUUCUAGACUUUGGUCCUAAUGUUUGUUCAUGAAAUUAAAGUAUGGGUUCGUAUUAUUUACAAUGUUCUGACGUUUUUAUUGUCACGCCCCGAACCCGCAUAUGCCCGUCACAUGACAUCCGCCGUACUCCCAAGUCUCACUCAAGAAUACAAGGUUACAUUAAUAACAGCCCUAAAUAAUUCAACUAAAUAAAAUGCGGUACGAAUUACAUAUAAAAAGAAGUCUACGAAUAUUCAAGACGUUCGUACAUUUAUUCUCCAAUUGAAACACGGAAACAAAAGUAAAUAAGACUAAUAACUAGAAGUAGCUAGCCUGCCAACUUCUAUGCACCUAAACUAAUAAAAGUCGUUCUCAUGGUCUUCUAUGUAAACCAAUUCAUACUCUUCCGAAUCUGCAAAAAUGGUAAGAAGUAGGUUGAGCGACACAUCGCUCAGUAGGUAAUAUUUACCCCUCUGUUGGACCAUGCACUCUUAGUUUUAUACAUAUAUAUAUAUAUAUAUAUAUAUAUAUAUAUAUAUAUAUAUAUAUAUAUAUAUAUAUGUAAGUAUAAUUCAAAUCAUUUGCAAAUCAUUCACAUCCAUAGUUUUAAAAGUAACGUCAUUUAUAAAACAAUUAGCAGUAAAGAAUGACAAGGAAUUUAAAAGCACUUUAUUGAUGCCCAUACAUGAGAAAUCGCAAUGUCAUAAACCACUUUAUAACAAUUCAUAAGUCUCUUCAUAUCCAUUCAUGAAUCAUCCCAUAAAAUGUCGCAUAUCCGUUCAUAGAUCAUUUCAAAGCAGUACAUAAAUCGUUUCAUAUCCAUUCGUAAAGCUUCUUUCAGUUCAGCUUAUAACAAGUACAUGCAAUGACCGGCUACUGAGUACUCAGCCUAGAGAUUUUACCCAUUCUAGGUGGGCGACCAAUUGGUUUCAUGACUACCGAUUGGUCUUAUUUCAUUCUUGGAUCAAUCGGCUGGACUCUAUACCAGGCUACCAUGACCUCACCAAUCGGUUGGGUUUAUACCAGGCUACCAUGGCGAUUAAACAGGACUAUAAUGUGACGGCCCCACCUCCCCCUAAGGCGAACCAGAGGGUUCGGCGGACCGCCUGCCCAGCUCUAGCCGGGACUCAGUCGCACACUACAGUCCUGAACCCAAUUACAAUAUAAAUCUCAAAAUUACAUCAAAUUCUCCAAUGAUUACAUAUCACAAAUGCAGCGGAAACUGAUUCCAAUCGUGGAACGUAUACUUACAUCCAUAUCAAUUUCAAAUAUUUAUACAAGACCAACUCGUACAUAAAAUAGAUCCAAACUUAAACUGUACACGAUAUAAGCCAUCCAGUCACAUGAAUAAGCACAACAAGUCCUGCCUUCGCCUUGAGCCCUGUGGAGGGGAAUAAAAUAUUUUUGGGGUGAGUUAGAAGCUCAGCGAGUAACCAAAUAAAACCAGUAAUCAAAUAUCUUUCACAAUAAUUCAUUUCGAUGAUGUCAUGAUGUCAUGAUUCAAGUAUCAAAUGCACGUAUUUUUGCUCUCGUGAGCCAGUGAAAUCAUUGAAACUAAACAUCCAACGCUCAAACAGAUCACGAAACCAUAAACAUUAAAGGGAAGCAGCAUCGGUGCUCCAGAUCAUAUCACAAACUCACGAAAGUGGUGGAGACGUUGGUGUCCAGCACAAGACUCCUCAAGAACUCAUUAAAGCCAAACCAUGUCAAGAACUCGUACGCGCGCACACAUGAUAUGCAAACCAAAGAAACAAUGCAAGGAACAUUUCAAAAGUAACUUUGGAAACAGUUUAGGGUCACUCACCUCAAUGGCUCAGAAAUCAUCCAUCAUGUAUCAUUGCCUUGCUCAAACCCAAGUCUUAGAUCACAAACUCAAUGCAAACAAAUCCUUUAAAAGUUCGGACAGCACUUCCCCUACAUUUGCUAACUUUUCCAGCCAUCAUGGCUUCAUUAUUUCCUCAGCCAGUCCCAAAGGUACACACACAACAACAAGUUCAUCCAUAGCCAUUCAGCAAGCUCCAAGUAGUACUAAUACAAGUCAAGCUAGGGAAAAGUCCGGAAAUGAAGGUUAAACUCAAAACCAGAAAAACAGUUUUGACGUCAUUUUGCGGUAAUGGUACCAAAUGCGCUAUGAUUGUCGGAUGAAGGUGCAAGACCCACCGUUUCGAAGCUAAGAAACAGGGCUACAACAAUGUAGAAGGGCACUCAAUCCAAAUCCUAGCACAACUAGGUCAAAUAUGCCAAAUACUACACCAGAACCACCAAAAACAGGUUUACAAAUCACACAAUGCUGUAAUGAACACAACUCAGUCUAUACAGGUCCAAAUGCCGAAAUUCCAAAGGCAUAUGUUAGCUAAGACAUCCAGCUACAUUUCAUCAGAAGAAACCAACUUCAAAAUCCAAACCAAAAUCAGUCAAAAUGGACAAUUACUAUCGCAGUUUUCGCAUUCUGUCCAAAGCAGAACAGCUACAGUAAUUCCGUCAUAACUCACUCUACACUAAACCAAAUGACCUGAAAUUUUAUAGGCACCUCAAACACAUCAAUACCUACAACUUUCAUGUUUUGAGCAAAGUCAAAUUCGGCCUCUAACCCUAUGAUCCAAAACCGGACAGAAUUGGGGAUUAUCAAACCCUAACUUUUCUCAAUUCAUUCCAAACCCAAAAUUGAUUGCAAAUUCUUAUCAAACACACCUACUAGAGUCAUUAUAGUCCAUUACCAUUCAUCAUACAAGGCCACAACAUCCCAUUCAUAUUAAACCAGGAAAUUCAUCAUAAAAUGGAAAACUUCACCAAAUCACUCCAAACCAAGAUAAAAACCAGAAAUUUCCGCACUUUAAUCACUAAUAAGCAUAACUUAAGCUUCAUUAAGUGCAAGAGUAUGUUAAAUCAUCACUUACCGAGUAUACAAGGGAAGAGGAGUUGUAGACCACCUUAGCUCUUCCAAACAAAUCCACAAAACAACUCACAACCACCACUUGAAGAUGUUUUAUGGAGCAAAAUCAAGGUUGGAUGGUUGGUUUGAUGAUUUGGAACAAGAUUGAAGUGUUUCUUCUUUGUACUUGGAGCAAGAGAGAGAGAAAGAGAGAGAGGAGAGAGCCGGCCACAAGGUGCAAGAAAAAUGGUGAUUUUUGAGCAAUUUUUGGAUAUUUAAUCUUUUGGUCAAAAAAGUCAAGAAAGUGAAUAGUAAUUCUUAAGUCUUCUCCAAUGAAAUGGUGACACUUGUCACCACCAUUAAUGCAUUCCUAUCCUUUCUUUUCUCUCUCACAUCAAUCAUAUCUCACUCUCUACUUAUCUCUUAACACCCGAUAAAUUUUACACAGUAUCCGGAAUUUAACCUAAUUGGCCGAAUUUUUCCGAACUUUUCGCACUAGUGGGUCCCACGUCCAAUAUACGUUCUUAAUUUCUCAAAAUCUAACCAAUACUAGAAAAAUCAUCUAAAAACUAUAUUUACUCAUAAAAAUUAUCUGGGGAAUUUUCUAAUAAAGAAAAUGUAGAAAAAAAACGGGUUUUCAAUCUUAACCGGAACUUAGGGUUUAAAUCUUAAUCCCUACUUAGGGUUUUCGAAAUACUCCCAAAACCAAACGUUACCGCCAAAUUAAUGAAUAUAUCAAUGUAGUACGAACUGGGGCCUCACAUAUAACCCCUAUCGUCUAUUCCAUGACUGCUCUGAGCUUUACUUGUCAAAAUACAUUUCAUCUAUCGUAUACAUAAAUCUUUGCUUUCAUAAAAGAUUCAGUUCAUUUUGUAUAUAAGAAACAUCUCAACACAUUUCAAAUAAGUCACAUGGUCCAUUUUUGUAUAGUAGAAUAUAACUUUCAUAAAUAUCCAAGCAAAACAUUUAAUCAAACACCUUUCGAGUCAACACCACAAAAUAGGAUUGAAAACAAACAUUUCAUUUUGCACCUUUAAAAUCUCAGAAGGGUAAGUACCACCUACCUUUGUUUAGCUGCUCGAGUGAAACUACCUUAGAUUCUUGUACCAUACCUAUCAAAUGCAUGAGUUCCCUAAUUAGUUGUUAUUUCCUAUAGAUGCAUAAAUAUACAACCUCUAAGUAAGUACAAGAUUCAUACCUAGACCAUUGUAUGGACCCUAAUAGCAUUUCCCUCAAAUCGGAUGAUUUCUAUUUUUGGAAAGUUUCUAUUUUUAGAAAGUUCUUAAUUUGGAAAGCGUAAGGUUUCCUAAUUUAGAACAUUCCUUAAUUGAGAAGGUUCUUCUUUUUGUAAAGUUUCCUAAUUUAAAAGAAGAUAAUUAUUUAUUACUCUUAUUAUUAUUAUUAUUAAUGUUAUCGUCAACCUUAUUAUUUACUAUUAUUAUUGUUAUCCUUAUUGUAUUAUUAUUAGUAUUACUAUUAUUAUUAUUAUUAUUAUUAUUAUUAUUAUUAUUGUGACUUUAAACAUUUCGGUUAAGAAUUUAGCACUUAUCUUACCUUGUCUACUUUGACUUAAUACAACUAGAUUAAGAUGUUUUUAGGUUUCCAUUAAAAUAUCUUAUACAUAAUUAACUAAGUAUAACUUUACAUGACUAACCCUUCCAUCCUAACAAUUGUCUUAAAUUGGGUCUUGCAUUUUAAUAUUCACGAUAUAUUAUAAAAAUGGGCUAGUUAUAUUUAAAAUUUAUUUAUUAAACAUUUACUAAAUUUUUAUACUAUAGUUUGAUCCAAGUUUACAUUGCAUCCCUUUUUACUUAUUUAUUUUUUUUGUGUUUACUAUUAUUAUUUAUUUUUAUUUUUAUUAUAUUUAUUUUUUUAUUUUUCUCGAGUGGGACCCAUGGUUGGCCAAAGGCCAACCACGUCUGACCAUGGUUGCCAGAGGGUCUGGCGACCCAAACUUCAAUUCGGCCAACCAUGAAUUUGCUCCUUUUUUUAUUUUUUAUUUUUUAGUCUUGGGUUGGCUGCUUCUGCAACGUCAACCAAGACAGAGCGCUGCUCUUCCCUUUCUCUUUUUUUUUUUUUUUUUUGCCUUAAAUAUAUUCAAUCACCCUAUAAUCUUAGAUUAAAAUCAACUCCCUAUUUCUAUUAACCCAGAUACGAAUCUUAUCAAAACAUAUAUACCUAUAUAGCAACAAUAGAUGUCCAUAUAAUUACUAGAACAACUAAUACCACUAUCAAACCUUAAAAGAGAAGUUUUCUUGUGUAAACUCGAGACUUACAGGUUUAGAUGCCUAGUCGUCGGAUCGAUUGACAGUGUCGCCUGCUCCUCCUUUUCUCCUCUCUGACGGCUCUUAUUCUAGGGAGGCAAAUGAAAGAAAGUAAGGCUAGGGUUAUUUUUCUGUCUAGGGUUUCAAUAAAAUCCUCAACCUAGCACUGCUUACUAGUAGGUGACUUGGGUAAGAGUUAUAGUUUAUUAGGAACCCUUAUCCCAUCCUACGGUCAUUUUAUUGUAUUUUAUUUUUUUCUUUUACCUAGCAAAUUUUAUCUUUUUAAUUAAUUGGAAAAAUAAAAUAAUAAAACCGGUGCCAAAAAUCGUGGGUUUUACAUUUAUCUUUAAUAAUAAAAUGAUUUUGAUGUUUGGGGUUGAAUGAUGAAGAUGUUUUUCAAACUAUUGGACUUUGUGAUAUUAUCCAAAAAGGGAUUCAUGGAACCUGUAGAAAGCACUUUGAAAGGAAUAGACAGUUGGAUUACAAAACAUUUCAUAUCUCAGCACCCAAGUCCAGUUGCAUAUGAUGAAAAAAUUCAUGCAUGCAAAGACGGCAAAGAAGACUUGAAAAUUUUUGAUAAAUUAUUAUUGUGGUCAUGAUAGGAAGAAAUUUGUAAUGAGGAAGAAGAAAAUGAAUUUUUGGAUGAGUCAAAUAAAGAAAAAAACAUAAAAAAUUGUGGGUGCACAUGAAGAUGAGAAAUUUGUUCAAAAAAAAUUUGCAAGUAAAUGAGGAAGAAACAAAUUUACUCGAGAAAUUGAAAUUGUGAGAAGAUCGUGGCAAGGUAAAAAAAUAUUGACUUGAAUUGAUAAUUUGUUUGAAAAGACAAAUCAAACAUCGGAGUUGGUUGAGAUUAAUUGUAGAGUGGAUAAAUCAAUUGAAAAUUGUGACACUACUUUAAGUGAUAGGAUUGUUCAUGUCAACAAGUUUGGGAAUUUUAAAAAUAUUAGUGGUGGCAAUUAUGAUUUUGUGAUUUUGGGAGAUUUUAUUAGUGAUAUGGAUCAAUUGAAUUAUAGAGAACUGGAUGAAGAAAGGGUGGAUAUGUUUGAAUUUUUCGACAGAAGUGAUCAAUCCAAGAAUUGUUUGAGAAGUAUAAGUUUCAUCUACUGCCACAUGUUUAGAUGAAGUUGAAGACCAAUCAUAAGUUCAGGUUGAAUAUUGUGUUUACUGUGAUAGAUUCAAACUUGAUAUGAUGUUGGAAGUGACCAUAAUAACGAUCUUGAUUUAAAGGAGAUAAUAAAGGAAAUUAAACCAAUCUAUCUUAAUAUUUAGUUUCCAAAUUCUUUUAAUUUCUUGUUUUGGUCUUGUUUAUUUAGUUUCUAUAUUAGUUUAGGAAAUUUCAAAUCAAUUUCAAGAAAGUUUCGAUUUAUAGUUGUGUCUAUUUAGAAAGUUUUGUAAUCUACAAAUACUAUUAGUCUAAUACAUUAUUUUUGGAAAGAGUUGAGUGGAGUUUUAAAGAGUUGAACCGAGUUUUAGAGAGUUGAGCUGAGUCGAUUCUUGUUGAGUUGAGGAAAAGUCUCUAAGUUGAGUGCUGUGAGUUACCGUGAGUGAAAGGUUACAAUUUGAUAUUAUUAUUGUUCAGUUUUGUAUUAAUAAAAUUGUUGAGUAUUUAUUUGUAUGUUUAUUUUCCUUCUCUUUGCAUACAUUUUUAUAUAUGUUAGAAUUGCUUAUGUUGUGCAUGAUUUUCGUGCCAAGAUUGCAUAAAUUGGUAUUUGAACGGAUGACAAGUUACAGCAAACAAUAUUUGCAUGAAAAAAGUUUCCGCCAACGAUUUCUGUAGCACUACUAAGUAAACAAGUACAACAGACAGAUGGAAAUUGAGUAAAACCAGCAGUAGAUAAACACAAGCUUGAAAUUCCAACAAAGAGAACAAAUUCCACAGACUAGAUUUUGGCAAUCUACAGAAAAUAUUUAAGCAAGUAUUGUGGUCUAUAAUAGAGAAGGUUACCAUUCUGACUAUCAAGGAGUAGUCGAUGGAAGCUCCAUAGUUUUACAAAAAUGGCUGUGCAAUGAUAUUUCAGGUCGAUGCAUCUCUUGAUCUUGAUGACAAAAGAUCUUAAUUGCCAAUGUCACUUUAACCCUAGUAUUCAUGGCAGUGACUUGUCAAAAUAUGACAAUUUGAUCCACGUAUGGAUGCAGGCUUUUGGCGGUUGGGGAAUUUCAAAGUGCUUUUUAACACCCCCCCCCCCCCCCCUACUAUCCAAGGAGUUAACGACGAACAUAUCACAGGAAUUCAAGUCAAUGGCACAGCAAUAGGUUAGAGAGGUCCUCGUCAAAGUGAUUACAGGAUGGAGCUGAUACGAUCACGAAUCUGUGCAGUUCGAUUCAAUUAUUGUUCAUGAUAGACAUAUAGUUACAUUGUUUUAUUGCAUUCGUAAAAAAAAAUAAUGUAUAUAAGUAAAAUGUUAUUGUAUAUACAAAAUUUGAACACGUAAAAUAAUCGGACUGAACCGCACGCAGCACAGACUGUAUCAGUAGCCAGUCUGUGAUUAUUAAAUUAGAUGGCCUCAACAGAGGGAAAAGCACGACCGUAUCAGCAGUAGCCAGUCUGUGAUUACCAAAUUAGAUGGCCUCAACAGAGGGAGGGAGGGGAAUGGGAUAUGAUCUCUCCUAGCAAGGUCUUCUCUCUACAGCUUUGCAUGAGUCCUUACAAAGUACAUAUAAUUUGCCUUACUUCAGCCACGCAGCAAGGAGGUUGAGAAGUCACGGAAUGCUUAACUAAGAGUACAUUGUACCUUAGGGAUGGGAAAUUGUUGCAGAGGACAAGCAGGAAUCUUGAAUUCCACAGGGAAUGGGAUGUGAUGAUAGGUAGAACGAUGACAAAAGGCAGUGGUGCCGAUGUAUAUUAUCAGCUGACAUUAGCAUUCUAAUACCAACCUUGAUUCAUGGACCCAGAAUUAAAAAAGCAAAUAAAUUCUUGGGUGAUCAUUGCCUGGAUACCACGCACUUCUGUAUAGACAAAACAGGCGUCCUUUGCUUUGGCAGAAAACAAAGUGUUUUAUUAUGAUAUUUUGGCUUCUACCUUAUGUAAAAAUAUCAGAUGCAGAGAUUCCAAUUUGUAGGAUUAAGUUUCUGUUAAUCUUGCUGCUGGACAUUGUAUAUACGAUUGUAGAGUUGAUCAGAGUUACUUGUUGAACUUUUGAUAGCCCAAAAAAGAAGAGAAAAGAAAUGCUUAAGCUUUCGGGUUGUGCAGAAUAGUUAAAUUUAUGCAAACCUGAGAGUUCUGAAAACUUAAAACACAUAUAUUAGAGAGAAGCAGAAAGGUUUUCCAAGAUUGAGACCCUAAUACCCUUUUUGAGUUAAUCUUCUUCAUAUUUUCUAAUUGUUCACGGGAAUACUAUGGAGUUGUUUACUUUAUCAUCAGUUUGAUGAAGAAAAUAGUGAAAAUCACCAAUCCAUGUUUCCAAAUGACAGUAGGCGCUUGUAGGAUUUUUCAGGCAACAAUGGGGAUGCGGGGAAUAAUUGGCUCUAACACUAAUCUUCUGCCAAGUUAUCAUGGCGAAGGUCGACCUUAAACUUAAAUCUGGAUCCUAAAUUUAGUUGGCCCAAGUACCAAGAAAUUAACAAAAUAUGAAUAGUCAAAUGCUAAAAACCAGAAAAAAAAAAAAAAAAAAAAGGCAUUGCCAAAACUCCUCAAAAAGGCAAAUGUAACUGAAACAUUACAAAGCCCUGUCAUGGUCCAAGUCCAACAUUUCCUCUAACGAGCAACAAACAAGCAAUCAUGUUUUGACCAUGAGCUCAUGACUAUGGAUGCCAUUGAGGUUUGCCCAUCAAGGACCAUCAACCAAGUCCUAAAGCCGACAACACUUAUGCAAUUCCUCCAUGCACGCUUUGAAGUACAAUCUUUAAAAGUAAAUUUUACAUAUAAUGAUAGUGCAUAUAUUAUCACGAUUGAAUGUAUGACAUAUGAGCAAAAUUUAGAUUUUAGUUUUAAAUUUAAAUGAGUUGUCAUACAUCCAAUGGUGAUGGUAUAUACGUUGUUAGUGUAUAAAAAGAUUAAUCCUAUUCUUAAUCGCUUUUUAUUUUUGGGUAAUUCAUAUUUUACAUCAUUUUUGUUAUCGCAACAUUUGCCUCCAAAUUAAUAAUAUAUUUUCCCAUACAAACUAGUUUGCAAUGUGAGACUAGGAAAACAAAACGAAAAAUCAAAAUAAUACAAUUAAUGUUCUAAUUACUAAAUUUGCUCAAGUACCACAGCUAAUUUCUUCUAAAUGACAUGGAAAAAUUACUUCUCUUCCUAACCAAUUUCUUUUCUUUUUUAAAGAACAACAGCCCAACUAGCAAGAAAUGGAAAUAUAUAUACAGAUCGAGUGUUUGAAUGAAGCAAAGUUGCUAGAAAUCUGUACUUCUGAGUACUUGACCGUGCACAAACACCAAUGGUCAUAACAAAAUAUUUUUGGACUCAAAGAGUAUCUAUGCCGAAUCGUGAGGGAGACAAAUGGAGCCAGAAAAGCUCAGGAAGAGACAUAUUUCAGUAUUAUAUAAGUACUAUAUAUGUGCUACACGCAAAAAUCUCAGCGCUUAAUGUGGAGUCGCAGAGACCGUGGCUGAUGUUCUGGAUGCUUUUGAUGCCGAGGCACGGCGUUGAAUGGAGAUACAUAAAUGUUUUAUAGACACUAAAAUAAAUUUGAUUUGUUGGGUGGGAACUGGGAACGGAUAGGGAGAGAAAAGGGGCUUCCUUCAAGAGCUCGAAUCUCGACCCAGAAAUGCGUAUAAAAGAAUAUGGUCUUAUUUUCUUCUUGUUUGGUCUCUGAUUAAAAAUUUCAAGAGUUGGUUUGGACCACUGCAAUUCAGGUUAAUGCAUGCACGUCCAUGCAGAGCUUUUUUCUUUUGUGCAUGCACCCAAGACAAGAAACCAUUUAUUUGCUACAACACAAAGCUGAGAGAAGGGAUAAGGGAUUGACUAUCCUUAGCUUCCUCUCUAAACUUGCAAAAUGUUGAAUUAGAAGUUGACGCUAAAACUGCUCUACACUUGCUUAAAUCUGCAGAUACCUCAACUCAUGAGUAUGCUUCAAUUAUCUUUGAUUGCAGGUUCCUGAUCUCUGCUCUGCCGAAAGUCACACUUAGACAUGUUUACCGAGAAGCAAACUAGUGUGCUGACAGAUUGGCGAAACUGAGUGCUCAACAAGACGGGAAUUUUGUAUGCUAUGAAAGUAUCCCUUAUGCUUUGAGAGGUCUAGUAGAUGCAGAUCUUAAGGGAAUUUGUUUCCCGCGUUUUGUACCUAUACCUUAAGUUUGUUUAAUAUAUAGUCCCUUUAAUUACCAAAAAAAACAAAGCUGAGAGAAGGCUGCUGUUGAUUUUUUUUUUUUUCCUUUUUCUUUGGGUUGAUCUGCACGUGAUAAACUGGUAAUGCCAUGUUUGUAGCAAAAGUGACCAAACAUGUUAAUACUCUAUUUUCUGGUCUUACCAGAAUUUUUGGGGCUAACCCUUAAUUGGAAGAUUGAACUCCUAUGCACCAUCGUCCCCGCCCCCCCCCCCCACCCCCUUUUUUUUUGUGAUUGGUUGGUUUUAUCUUUCAAUCUUAGGAUUUGGAGGUGCUUAAAGGUACCUUAUGGCUUACCUUUACUAGUUAUGUCAUCCAAUUUAGGAGGUAAGAAAUUGAUGUCAAUUUCCUCUAACUCAAUCUGUAUGCUUUUCUCAAUUUGCCAGCUCUAAUUUUAGAUCUGAUGAGCCAAAAGGGAACGAAUGAUAUGGAAUCUAUGAAUAACAGAAUAAGAUGCUUUAGUUUUGCGAUUCAAUAUGAGAAUAAUUGAUAUUUAUAAAAAACCUAUUUUAGUGAGUAUUCGUUCUGAUAGUGGUCAACUUAACAUUUAAUUUUUAUACAUUGACAUACUCUAUGAAAAUGGGACCAUUGUAUAUGCACGUGACAUAUUUACAUAUAUUUUAGAUCAAUUUUCAAAAUAGCAUGAUAAGUAUCUCUAAAGAUGAAACAUUAGAAUUAAUGCCAGUUUUUGGCUUAUUUACCGAAAAGAAUAUUACAUUGAGCAACUAAUUUUGUUUUUUUUUAUCUUAGCAACUGAAGUUACGUCACAUGGUUUCCAUCUAUCAAAAGAAGCGUAUGUUCUUGCUUUUCUACUUCUAUGUUUAUUUAGUAAACGUAGUAUCAACAUGCAACAAUCUCAUUAAUCACAUAGAUUCAAUUCAAGUAGAUUAAACAUCGGAUGUCUAGAUGAUAAACUAUGCUUUAUGUCUAGAAAUCAAGUAGCUUAGUCUUUGGAUGUCUAGAUAAUAAACUAUUUUCUAUGGAAAAUUUGUCUCUUCUAUAAUGUAAAUACCAUAAUUCUGGUUCUUCUGCUCUUUUUUUUUUUUUUUUUUUUGAUACAAAUACAAUUCUUUUUUUUUUUUAACAAAAACUGGCAAGAAGAUAUUGUUUUAUUUUUUUUGUGAUACAUUUCUUGAUAUGAUCUAUGUUGUAAUUAAGAAAAAUUAUUGCUAACUAAGUCUAUCUAGAGUACCAUCAAUAGAGAAAAUUAAAUUUAUUAGUCCCCUAAUAAUUUUUGCUACAAUGUCUAAUUGUAAUCAACAAUUAAGUAGUUUGGACAAUAAAACGACAACAAAAUAUUUAUUCAUCUUUCUCGUUGCUUUUAGAUAUUUCUAACACUAUAAAUAAGAAAAUUGAUCAUUAAUAAGUGUAUCUACAACGUAAAUUUACAAAAUUAAAUAUUUUGACUGUUCCUUGUUGUUGUAGCUAAUAUGCCCAAAUAAAAUGGGUAAAUAAGUCUUAUUGGACUAUAAACCGACAAAAAAGAAUAUAAAAUUAACCAAAUUAAGCAUUUGGUUUUCUUAUUACUUCCUGAUACGCCCAAAUAAAAUUUGUAACUAAGUUUGUCUAGUCCAUAACUUGAUAAAAUGAAAUUAAUCUGUUUCCUAGUUCAUAUGGAAUUUUCCUACAAUUAUUAUUAGGAAAAGUGAUCGGUAAUUAUGAUUGUUCAGCCAAUGAAUCGACACAUGAAAUUUAUUACUCGCCUGACUACUUUUCAAUAUUGUCGCACCUAUUAUUGAGAGAAAAUCAUUAUUGAACCCUAUUUGGACCAUAAUCAACAAAAAGUUUAUUAUUUUCCCUCACUAUAUUUUGAAAAUGCUUGCACUAUUGUUAAGGAUAAAACGAUUGAUAACUAAUUAGUCAAAAUAAUUAGUCUAAGUUUUCUGAACAAUUAAUGCUUCAACGAUAAUGGUAUUAUAUUUAUAUUUUGACAUGUAAUAAGAAGAUUUUUUUUAAUAAACUCAUAAUUAAACUAAUAUAGGUUUUUUAGGUAUAGAGAAUCAACAAUUAAAUAUUUUCUUAAUAGAUUUUUUACAUUCUUUAAAGUUACUUGUUAUUCAUGUAAAAAAUUUCAUCUAUAAUGUUAAAAUCCAAUCAAAGCGUGACUAAAAAUUUUUUAAAAAAACAAAUAUUAACAAAAAUAUAUAAUAAAAAAUGUAGAAGUAUUUUUAUAAUGUACAAUCCAAUAAUCAAUAUAAAUCCUGAUAAUAGAAAAUACAAAAUACAAAUGUAAACUUAUUAGGACACUUGCAAAUUUAUUGCAAAACAAUAACUCUUAAUUGUCAUAAAAGUUACUUGACUUUAGUGUUUAGUAAAUAAGAGAUUGUGCAGUAAUUUUCUCAAACAAACUUUUUGGUAAGGCUGCAAUUUAAGCAAACAUAUGAAGACAGAAUCCAUCGAUUAAAUCAUUAUUGCAUCAUCUCUGUCCUCAGUCCUCGCUGUGCUGUGGGCAAUACCUUUCCAUAUAAUCACCUUUGACUGUCCCACAAAUUGACCAAAAUCUUCCCAAAUUACAAAAGGGUUUAAUGUUGGCGUUAUGAUCUUUAUUUUUCCACACAUUUUGUGCCAAUCCAUUCAGAGUGCGCUCAUCACUUUGCUUCUUCCUUUGCGAUUUCUCAGAAGAAUAUCACUAAUUUCCUUCCCAAAAAUUACAAUAAAAUCUCUAAUACAUCGGUUUCAUACCAGGAUAUGGUCUGAAUUAAUUUUUUCUGUUGUUUGUCUUUUUUUUAAAAAUUUUUUAAAUUUUUUUUGCUAAUAGACCACAGGGCCGCCAGCCACAGCCUCCUCCCUCUUUCUCCCUUUUACCCUAGGCACUGAUGGAGCCUUCCUACAUAAAGCCCCUCUCUCGGGCACAGUUUCUCCAACACAAGAACCCCCUCGUCCUCUCCCUCCCUAGACAGUCUGUCAAUCUUUUUCUACAAAGGGUUUUUAAUAAAAAUCUAGAUGGUACUAUAUACAAUCAACAACCAGCAAUGCUUUCUUGCCUAAAAAUCCCAUUUUUUUGAGAUAAAAAUCCAUUCUUUAUGAGGUCUUGACUCAUUUAUCAACCAAAGUACGUUCUUUGUUGCUUUGAGAAUGGCUGAUAACAGCUUUGACUCCUCAGAGGGCAAUGGCUUGUCCAUUGAUGAUCCUGAAAUUGCCUCUGUACUUACAGAGGAAAUGGACCAUCCAUGGAAUGAUGAAGCUUUAAGCUUUGGCUAUCGCAGAUCAGUACCUAUUGAUUUGCCUUCCCUGACUGAAGAGAACUUUGUUUUGAUGGUUGAGGAAGAGAAAUCCCAUUUGCCAAAAGAUGAUUAUCUCGUGAGAUUGAGGACAGGGGAGUUGGAUAUGAGCGUGAGAAGACUGGCCCUUGAUUGGAUUUUGAAGGUCUAUGAAUUAAUUUCUUCAAAUGGUGUUUUUGGGUUUUUGCUUUUUAAAUAGUUGGAAAAAGAAUUUUUUCCCCUCAUUUUCAGAAAAAAGGAUAAAGAGUUGCUCUGAUUUUCCUAUGAUUGUAAUAUCUUUUAACAUUUCAUAUUGUUUUCAUCAGCAUUCUUAUUUUAAAUCGUUUUUCUUAAUUAUUCUGCUCUUUUUUGGGAAAUGUUGGUCUUCGGCAUCGAGUUGUAAUCAAUUCCUUAAAUGUUUUCCCUUCAUUUGACCUUCUUAAAUUAGCUUUUUUCUUGUCUGAAUAGUUUUAAUGACUUCGACUGUGUUGCCAUAAUUGAAGGUAUCAGUAGGCAUUGAUGGUGUCUUUGGUCAUUCAAAGCCUCAUUUCUGGAGUGGUUAACCGGAAUCUUAUUUCCUUCUUUGGCUUGUCUUCAUCCAUUCCCUUUUAAUGAUGAUUCCUUAACGAUCAUGCGUUUAUAGAAGCUUAAUCAAUUUCAUUCUUUUCUUCGUCUUUAUUUUUUUCUUCUUUUUCUGCUGUGCUGAUUUCUGAUACAUUGUUUUUGUCAUUAACAGGCUCAUUCCCAUUAUGGUUUUGGAGAACUUACAAUUUAUCUGGCUAUGAAUUAUUUGGAUCGCUUCCUUUCCCUGUUUGAUUUGCCUGUAAGUCCACUACAGGGGCCAAGUGAUAUUCAUAUGCAGCAGCACUUUUUUUUCUAGUGUUGUUAUGACAUUUCUGUAACUGAUCUCAUUUUUGCCAUUGGAUAUGCAGGAAGGCACUACUUGGGCAGCGCAGCUGUUAGCUGUAGCUUGCUUCUCAAUAGGAGCAAAAAUGGCCGAAAUCAGACUCCCUCCAAUUGAGUAUUUACAGGUGGAAGGGGGGAAGACUGGUUGUGUUAAUUCAUUUGUUAAUCAUUGGUUGUUUCUCAUUUAGAUGUUAACCAAACCUUGUAAAAUUUUUGUUAAAACUAAAAAUAUAGGUUGGAGACCCCAAAUAUGUUUUUGAAGCCAAUACUAUAGAAAGAAUGGAGCUUAUUGUGUUGACCACUCUGAACUGGAGGAUGCAUUCUUAUACUCCUUAUGCAUACAUAGACUAUUUUCUUAGGAAGAUAAAUGUUGGUGGUGGUGAUGGUAAUGAUCAAGAGCUUGCCUUUGAUGCUUUGAUUGGAAAAGCAGUCAAUCUCAUCUUGAGCACCAUAAAAGGUCUAUCUUUUGUUCUGCUGUGGAAUUGAUUCUCUUGUACCUUCAUUGGUCCUAAAAUCUUUAGAGGGUUUGAUUCAGUUCUGGUGGGGGAAUUGAAUGCAGGCAUUGACUUCUUGGAAUUCAAGCCUUCUGAGAUUGCUGCAGCAGUGGCAAUAUUUGUUGCAGAAGAAAACAUACAAGCAAUAGAUACUGAGAAGGCAAUGUCUGGUUUGAUCCUAAUAGAGAAGGUAUUAUUUGUGGUGCCCACCAGAAAAAAAAAAUACAAGAAUCUGCUAUAAUUUAUAAAUUUAUAAUAUUGCACCUGUCAACUCAGUUCAAAUUUUGCAUCAUUGAUAUUUACUAUUAAUUAUUUGUUUGCUGGUGAAAAUUUGCAGGAAAGAGUGCUCAAGUGCCAUAAACUGCUGAAAGAUUUGACAUUGAUGAUGAUGAUGAGUGGGUCUACAGAUACUAAUAUGGCUAAUGCCUCUGUUUCAUUAGUGCCCCACAGCCCAAAUGGGGUACUUGAAGCUGCUUCCUUGAACUUUAGAAGUGAUGAAGGAACAGUUGGGUCAUGUCCAAGUUCUUCAAAUAAUACUCCAGAUGAUGCUAAUAGGAUAAAAUUGGACACAGAAACUUCUCCUUUUGGCAACAACUCUCAAAAGUGAAAGAAAAAAAAAGUCAUGAAAUGUGAAUUUUGGCUUCACAUCCAAGUCCCUUCAGUCCAAUCAGUUUGGUUGAAUGGAAGCUUUGGUGUGUGGGGUCUUAUAAAAAAACCCAAAAAAAAAAAAAAAGAAAAAGGUUUCCAUGCCAGAGAGAGAGAGAGAGAGAGAGAGAGAGAGAGAGAGAGAGAGAGAGAGAAUAUGAGGGAAGAGUUGGGAAGAGACAGCUCCCAACUUUCAUCCUUUUAGCAUGAAAAGAAUAGUCACCAGCUGUGAAUUAAUCAGGAGCUGUCAACUACUACAGAAUAGCAAAUGUGGAUGACAAAAAGUUUUGGAAGGGCAAUACAGUAAUUGGCAAGGGAUAAUACAUUUUGUUUGUAGCUUCAAAUAUAUAUAAAAAAAAAAAAAAGAGGAGAGAGAGAGAGAGAUAGAGAGUAGGAGGAGAGCAGUAUAGUAUACAGAUGGCAAUAUAUUUGUUAUAUUGAUAUUUAUUUAUCCAGUAAACUAUUGAAAUAAAAUGUACAAUUUGCCCUUCCUAGUAAACCAAGAUCUUAUGUUACUACUAUUCUUAAUUGUACAUUUAUUAAUCAGCUUACAAAAACGAUUGGGAGCGAAAUUGCAAUUGUGCCCCUAAAUUAACCCAAAAAAAAGAAAAAAAUCAUGUUAAGAUGAAUUUUUAUGAGCAUUUAAUAAAGACCUCAGGCCAAUUUACAUGAUUCAAAGAUUUCCAUUUCCAUCUGGGGUGGAAAUUGCCGUUUCUUCAAAGAUAAUGACAAAUGCGGUGUCGUUUAUCAUGUUCCUGAGUAAUAAUUACUCGUCUGUCUUCUUUUGAAAAGAAUUCGAAACGGUCAUUCAGGGCCUCGAUGCUAGUUAGGUUCAUUGUCAUACAUGAUUUUACGUGUGUAUGACCAAUCAACAUAUUUGCUUUUGCUUCUUAGCUACAUAAGCUAUCUUGAUUUACACCAAAAAAAGAAUAGUAAUGCAAAGAAAUUUCUUGUGGUUCUAAAACACUUGAAAAUAUAUAAUAGGAAAUUCUGCAACACGUAUAAUUUUGCUUACUAUACCUGCUCCUCCUGUAGCAUUAUAAACUGUAUUGUUACUCUUGCUCCCGUCGGGAUAAAUCUGACCCCUUGUCGGAACAAGAGGGUGAAAAAGAAAAAAUCCAUGAGAUAAGAUACCUCAGAUAUAGCAUACCACAUGGUAGAAGGAUCCCUUGAAAAUAUUUUAGGCUCCUGAUAAUAGGCUGUCAACGGCAUGACUUCAGACCCAAGCCCAACUCAAAUCCGAUCCGUUUUAUAAAAGCCACAAAUCAAAUGAAAAACUGCAGCACCCCGAGGACAAGCAAUUCAAUGGCUUUCCAACAAAUCCAAAUUGAUCAACGAAAUAUUUAAUAUUUAAAAUCCACGAAAGCUAUAUGAUAAACAAACCAAUAUUUAAUUUACCAAAUUAAAGUUUGAACGGUAAUCAGAUAUUAGUUUUGAAAAAUUAAUUUCCAAAUUUUUGAAAUUUUAUACUGAAUGCUUUAAUUACCGGCUGAUGAGUGUUUCAUUCCUAACAUGCAAGAAGGGAGAAAAUAACGCAAAAUUUUUUCCAUAUGUGGCCAAGUGCCAUACUAAAAGUGAGCCAUGUGUCUCCGGAGAGUAGGACUGUCAAUGUACCAGCUUCAGACCCGAACCUAACUCGAACCCGAUUCUUUUUUGAUUUCUGGAUUUAGGAUAAAUAGUAGGCCUGUUCACUUGAAUCCAUUUUUUAUAUAAGAUAAAACGAGUCGGAUAUGAAUUUAUAUGUUUUAACCCAUUUUGGACUUGGAUCUAAUUAGCAUAAAUAUUUUAAUAAAAAUGUAUAUAUCAUUAAAAUUUAUUGAUAAUAUACUUAAUUUUAAUUUAAAAAGAUAAUUUAAUUGUAGUGUUGAUAAAGUUUAUUUACAAAUAAAACUUCUAAACUAUUUAAAAAUUUUAUCGUAUUUAAUUAAUUCUAAAAAAUCGAUGUACCCGAAUUCGAUUGAUUGAAACUUGACCAAAUUUGGAUUCUGGCCAAAUCUGGAUUCAGAUCCAGACAGUUUCAUGGCAAGUCGAGUUUGGGUCUGCAAUUACCAAUCCUAACCUGGAACCGGUCAAUUUCUGGAAUUGGAUCUAGGUCCACAAUUACCAAAUUUAGCCCGGAUUCGAACAGUUUCCAAAUCCGACUGUUUUUGGAUCCUGUUCCUGGAUUAGACCCGUUACAGUAAACAGCUUUCCCGUCUAGGGAUGACAAUUAGGGUAGGUACUCUCGCGGAGGGCUAAUGGAUAGAGAUGUCAAUAGACCCGGAUCCAUUAAUAUUUUUCGGGUAUGGAUAGGUAUAUAGAUCCGCGAUCCGAACCCAUUUUAUCUAAUAAAUUUACGAGUCGAAUACAGAAUAUAUCAUUUCGACCCGUAUUUGACCCGAACCCGUUUUAAUUAAUUAAUACUUAAAAAAUAUAUAUCAAUCUAUCAUAAUUAUUCAUAUCAAUACUACAUUUCUACUUUUUUCAUUCUCAAAUUUUUCCAACCCUAAUACCCACCGCCGCACAUCCCUUUUUCCCCUUUUAGAAUUUUCUCUUUUGCUCUGCCUCCCGCCUCCGCCAGUGGCCAGUCCGCCGUGAAACCGGCAACGAUCUCUCCAUCUCCAGCUCUAAAGAAGCCCAGCUCCAGAGAAGCCCGUUGCCUGCCUCCAGUUCCAGCUCUUCCAGUUCCAGUCUCACUCUCUUCUCUUUUGCUCUGCCUCCGCCAGUCCACCGUGAAACCAAAGAGCUCUCUCCAUCUCUGACGCCUGACGGUUGCAGCUCCAGAGAAGCCUAACUCUUCCAAGCUUCUAGCAGCCCAGCUUUCUUUCUCACAGUCACAAGUAUUUUUUAAACAUUUUUGAAUACUGUAAGAGUUUGUAAAAAACAUGGUGAGAUGAAGGCCGGAAUUCUGGUAUUUUGUCUUUGUCAAAGACCGUGAAUUUAAGGACCGUGAAUGUGAGUAGCAGUUUGUUAUUUGUGUCUACUAAAUUGAGCUAAAUAUUGAAACUUCAGUGAUGGGUUUUGAUUCUCCUUCUGAAUUGUGAAAUUCCUGGGAACAAAUGGACGAAUUGAGGGAAAAUGUCACGGUUGAUCGGUUCUGAUGUUAAGGCACAAUAAAUGUUGAGUGAUUUUUCUCUCUUCUGUUCAUAUUGUAUGUUAUUAAAUUCAGCAGAACAUAUUCCCCAUUUAAUUACUCCAUUUGAAUGUCCUCCCCUUUUUCUCACCUCUAGUGUAUUUUAUGAACUUUGUCUUUGUCUAAGCACUAGAUCUUGACUUUGAUAUUGUCGUCUAGCUAGGUUGCCUAAAGGUUAAAGGAGCAUAAUGCAUUAUACAUAAGACAUACAGCCUUCAUUGAACAAUAUUGCGUGGUAACUAAUUUAGAUUAGCUUCCCUCUUUCCUGUCCUCUCAAUAUGGAAAUGUGUUAUUAUAAGAUGUAAUUUGCUCCUUGAAGAUGGACUUGAAAUUUAGCAUAAUGGUAUCAGGAGAUGUUAAGGAGCCUAACCGAGUCAGUUAUGGUAUGAUCCUCUUGGAAAAAAAAAUAACAAUUUUCUAUAGCAACACUUGCUCAACUAAUAAGUUGUGGUUGAUUGACUAGCGGUAUCAAGAGUGACUGCUGAGAGAUCUCAUGGACAGGCUUCAUCUGAUGAACUCCAAGGAAUUGUUAUGACAAGUUUGUUUGGUUGAGUUACUCUAGUAAGACUAAUCUACUUUCUUUCUCUUUGUUUUCUUAGAGUUAUUUGGAGAAGAUUUGGGUGAUUCUUCUAAAGUUCUCAAGUUAGGGUGAUGUAUUUGAAUAAGGCCAAUUUGAUUUCUUUUCUUAUCUGAUUUUUUGUUGUUUUACUUAGUAAUUAGUUUACAAAUAUAUUGUAUCCUUGUUUUGUUGCAGAAGAUUGUGAAACUUGAGAGCCAUGAAGACUAUUGUAAUCGACAAGGCAGUGAGACUUCAUUUGUUGGUUGAUAUAUUUGAUAUUUAAUGUUUGAUUGGAUUUUUUAGAAAUUGUAGUUUGUUGGAUGUCAUAUUGGCUUUGUUGUUAACAUAUGACUUUGUAGUUUGUAGAUUGAUUUGUGGUUGGCUUUAGAAUGGUUAUUAUGAGUGGUUUGUGAUUUAAGUUUGUGAUUGGUUUUGAAUAACUUUGUAAUUUACUUCAAAACAUCUUUCAUUUGUAAUUUUCGGCAAGAAAAGUUUGAUUCUGCUUCUUUGGCAAAUUAACUAGCUUCCCUGAUUUCGCAAAGGCUUGCGCAGUCCGCAAAAUGUGAUACAAAUCAGAUUGCAUUUUCAGGUGCUAAAGUUGCAGUAAUAACAAGUUUUUGACGGCCUUUUUUCGAGUAGACCCGACCCGGAUCCGGGACCCGUUAGGUGUGGGUCUGGUAGAGAGAUUAGGAAACCCGUCAAGUAUUUGGAUCAGGUCCGAAAUUAAUACAGUAUGGCAGGUCCGAGUCAGGAUUUAUUAAUUUUGACCCGGACUCGGCCCAUUGAUAGGCCUACUAAUGGGAUAGGAGUUGGGACGGGCCGAAUUCUCCCGUUAAGAAACGGAGCUAGGACACCCUUUAAAAUAUGUAUAUAGUUAUAUUUAUAUAUAUUUAUAUGUAUAUAUAAUAUUUAAUUCAAUUAAUUAUACUAAAUUUACUAAUACAUUUAUACUUAAUUUCUAAUUAAACUUAACACAAUAAUACUUUUUUCUCAAAAAAAUACAAUAAUAAUUUAGUGAUUGUAUUUAUUUCAAAAGUGAAAAUUUGAUUGCUUUAGUUGUAUUUGUUUUAUCAUGUUGGAUUGUAUUCAAAUAGUUUUUAUUUGAUUAUUUUUAUGAUUUCAAUUAUGAAAUUAUAAUGAAUAAUAAUUUGUUAAUGUAUUGAUAUUUUAAUACUUAAUUAUUUGCUAAAAUUUGACUACAAUAAAAUUAUAUGACAAAUUUUUAUUAAUCUCGCAAAUGCUCCUGCAAAGAAAAUGGGACGGGGUGGGGGAGACGGGCCCGUUGCCAUUCCUAUAAAUCCCGUCUUUUCUUUUCCUCUCUCUCUUUGUUUUUUUUUCCUUUCUGGGGUCAAAGUCUUCUCUUCUGCAAGUUUUCCUCUACCCAUCUGGCUUCUUUCCAAAGAAGAGAUUCUUAGAUGUUGCAAAUCUUGUGAUGGUUUUCCAACAUAUCUAUGUUUUAAUUCACAACCUUUGGUUUCCAUGCCGAUAGUUCGUCAUCUAUUCUCAUCUUAACGUUGCUUUACUGCCCUUCCAUCCCAACAAUUCAUCAUCUACUCUCAUCUUAUAGUAUUUGUUUUCCUACUCUCCAUCCAAAAUCUUAUCUCUUCUUAUCUCAUGGGAGGAAGUUUUUCUUUGGCUUCCAUCCAAAUAACAAUAAAAUCUUAUGAUCUUUGAAAAUGCUCCAGCGUUCCGCAAAUCCUCCAGCUCCCGAGGUGGUAGGAAAUGAACUGUGGAUUUUUGUGCACCAUUCCCAGACUUCACAGUACCAUUUUUUGAGGUUAGAUAUUUUAAUGAAAUCAAUUAUCCACUAUCUUUUUUAAGGGAAUCUGCAUCACUAUUAUGUAAAUAUCAUUCUAUAAAGUGACAUUUGCGUAGUUUGGAUGAAUUUGGCCCUCUUACCCGCCCUCCAUGCUUUCCUUUGGAUUCAGUAUUACGAUGUAUUAGUUUAUCUCCUUUUAUGUUAAGCUAUGUUCAAAGUUAUGUUAAAGCCAUCUUCAAUAUGGAAACCUUUUCUUUUCUUUUUUAAAUUCAUUGAAUGGUAAAUUCUUGAAUGUAAUGUAAUUUUUUUCAGUUUGUGCUUGCCAAAUUGAGCUUCGCUAAAGCGUAAUUCUUGAAUAAACUUAAGGAUGUCUUAAUUUGAAGGUUUACUGAGGAUUGGUGUGUAUUGGGAUUAAGAAGAUGCUCACUAUUAAAAAGAAACUUCUAAUAAUUUUGAUGUGCAAUUGGAGAACAAAUGUUUCUAUAGCAAUCCAUUGAAGGAAGUGUAAGGUGAAGAAAGAGGAAAAAAGAGAGGAUUAAACGGCACCUUGCAUUUAUACUGGUAAAGACUAAGCUUCAUUUUCGUUUUAUUGGUGUAUUUUAAGGCCAUCAGUUAUUUUUUAGUUUUCUUUUAUUUUUUAGCUCAAAAUAAUGUUAUUGACCUUCUUGGAACUUGAUAUUCUGCAUUUAAUCUCCUAGGCAGAUUCUUAGUUUUUUCUGGGUCAAUGUUUUUAGUGUUGGGAAGCCUCAUCAAUAGUAUUGAUUAACUGAGAACUUAAAAAAACAUCUACAUAGUUGGCCAUAUUAACUCUCCUUUUUUUACUUUCUUUUUUUUCCUCUAAUAAUUCUUUAAAUGAUAUAUAAUUUCCUUGGAAUAAUCAUCAGACUAAGAUGGUUAAUGGCAUUUUGCGGCACCUCCCAAUUUGUAUUACUCGGGUUGGGAACCAGGGUUAAGCCUCUAGUUGUUGGGUAUUCGUGAUUGUUGAUUUGGUUACGGCAAAGUAUUACUUGAAGAAUAGAGUGACCAAAGAAUUGAUUCCUCUCUCGCAUCAACAUUUAGUUGACAAGUUAGUGGGUUCCAAUGUCCCUUGAGAAGAGGAUCACUAUGGGGGUAGAUCGCUCAACUAUGAAGACGUUAGUUUGUACAGAAACACAGAUUGUAUCACAAUCCUGUAUCUGUACGGGUUUAAGAAGAACCAGAAUAGGGAGAUAGGUGGUGCAGCUUUCGUUGUUUCGAAGGUCAAAAUAUCAAAAAAUAGAAGUUUUAAUCUCGAGAAAGCAUAUGACAUUGUAAGGCAAGAGCUGGUAGCUGGAGUGUUGUGUUAUGGGAGCAUUUUUGCAUGGUGGGAGAGCAAGGUAUUCAUUUGUUUUAGUUUUACAUUUUUAAAUUGUUAGCUUAAUUCAUUAGUUAAUUUUUCGAUAAGAUAUUAUGAAAAUUCCUACUGGGACGCGUAAAGAGAAAUUGAGGCGUUCGAACUUUCAUAGAUGGAUUAUCACAUUGUCCUUUUGGUAGCAUCUGGGAAGCAAGAUGGUGUCAGAUUUUUGUGGCAAAGAGUUCCUAUGGGCCUAAUGGGGGUUUCAGGAGUUUUAUCGAAUUUCAAUUAGCUUGUUGGCCGAAUUUUGGGUUGUCGUUAGUUCGCACGAGUGUAAUGAAGUUGCAAAUGAAAGGGUACGUGACAUGGUGAUGCAUGCAAACUGAAUCUUUAUAACCGAAUCUUUAGAACUGGUUUGAUAUGGUGAUGCAUGCAGUAGGAAGAAACUUAAAGAUUUCUUCAUAUUGCAUACCCUUUGCCUUUGAUUUUCUUAUUCCUUCUCCAGCUUUAAGAUGCAAGAUUGAUCAGGCAUAGAAAUAAGGCUAACCUGGGAAAAAGCUAUAAAGAACAAAUGACUCAAGAAUUACGAAUUCGCAGUCAGAUACAAAUCACGUGGAAAAAGUAUUAAAGCUGAUAAUAGGUCAAAAGCUAACUUAGAGUUACAAAUUCAAAAUCGCACAGCUUUUCUUUUGCAACUUCAUUACACUUAGAUGGAUUAGGUGAAAUCCAGCCAAUAAGGCAACUGAAAUUGGAUAAAAUCCCUGAAACUCUCUCCCAUUAGACCUAUAGGAACCCUUUGGCACAAAAAAUCUGAUACUGUCUUACUCCCCGGAUGCUACCAAAAGGACAGUGUGAUAAUUCGUUUUAUGAAUGUUUGAAUGUCUCAAUUUCUCCUUAUGUUUCCCAGUGGGUACAUUCAUAAUAUCCUACAAAAAAAUAAUAAAUUGAAUUAACAAUUUAAAUAUGCACAAUUAAAAAGGACAUGAAUACCUCGCCCUCCCACUGUGCGCAAACACUCCCAUAACACAAUACUCUAGCUACUGGCUCCUGCCCUACAAUGUCAUAUGCUUCCUCAAGGUUAAGACUUCUAUAUCUUGAUGUUUUGACCCUCAAAACAGCGGAAGCCACACCAACUAUCUCUCUAUUUUGUCCCUCUUAAACCUGUACGAUACACGGAUUGUACCUACAAUCCAUGUUUUUGUACAAACUUAAAGGCAUUUUCAUAGCUGAGCGAUCUGCCCCUAUAGUGAUCCUUUUCCCAAGGGAGAUCAGAACCCACCACCUUGUCAACUAAAUAUUGAUGCGAGAGAAGGACCAAUUUUUUGGUCCCUCCAUUCUUCAAAUAAUACUUUGUUGCGAUCAAAUUGGCAGCCAUAAAUGCCCAACAACUAGAGGCAUAACCCUAAUUCUGCUUUGUAGUAUCCUCCUUCUCGCGGGGAUAUAUUCUUUAUAACUCGAGGGGUGGUUUUGUUCGAUAUUUCAUUGCAACCUAUGCUAUAUGCAAUUUGAAUUUUGGGGUUAUGAUCUGCUAUAAUUAAUUUUUGGCACAGCAUUCUAUCUUUGUGGCUUGCAUGGUUUUGUUUAUUUGUAUUAUGAAAUUGAGAUAGUUUUCUGUGCCAUGAGCAAACCUAAUAGUUAACCUUUUUUGCCUUAUAGAAGCAGAAUUCUUGGGCUCCUCAACUUUUGACUAGUUUAUGUUGGCAGACUAACUCUCUCCCUUACAAAUACCAUCAGUUCGAGUGUUCUUUUCAUUAAAUCCUGGCUACUCCUUCUACUGUUAGGAAUGUCACCUUAACACUAGCAAUGUAAUUGUUGGUUUUGGACUUUGUUUCAUUUUGCCUCAAAGUCCAAAUUGAUGCACUUGUUGUAGUUUAGUUUUUUCUCUUGGGGGCAUGCUUAUGCUAUUAUCUAUUUAGGAAAUUAUUUGACAAUUUAUAACUCUUUGCAUCCAUAUGGUAUCAUCCGUUCGGUAAAAGAGCAAAGAAAUUUGUAAAAUUCAAAUAGAAAGAGAGUCGGAUGCAAAUUCUCAACUUUCCUUUGUAUGUUUGUAGCGCUAGCAGUACUUCAGGCUCAAUUGCAAAAAUUUUAGCUAUGGUACCAGAUCUAUAGCUAGCUGUGACCAACAAUUGUUCUUGAAACAUAUUGAGUAAAAUUUGAUAGAGAAAUGUUCCUUUUAGUCUAUUAGACUUAGUUUAUCUCAUAUCCCAUUGUGUUGAUUUUUGACUUGAACUGUUGCUUUUUACGGUUAGUGCCUCUGGAUAGUUGUGUGUUUCUAAAAAAGUGCUUUGAAGUUCUCGAAGAUUCAUAAGCGACAGUUUGGUUCAAAGUAUAUUUGGAUGAAAUUGAAAAGUUGGAUAUUGCAUACUGGAAAAAAGUUUGACAAAUGUCAUUACACUUAUAAAUGGCUGUUAGUUUGCCAACGUCUUUUACUGCUUUUUUUUCUCAUUGUUGUUAAACUUGGCAAACUAUUUUUGUUUGAUCUUGACAAGCAUAUCAUGCAACAACUUACAGGGUAGUCCUUUAGUGAAUAAGUUGUUUCCUGCAGUUGGUUUAGCCAUUUUUGCAUUAUGAGGUCUUAGGCCACUUAUGCAGCAAAGCAGAAAUAUAUUUCCUGACGUAUGUACUCAUCUCUACUUCCUUUUUCACAAUAUUCUUUCUUCUAUUUGUGCCAGGCUAUUGUUAAUUAUAAAUUCCAUGAUCUUGCGGAAGAGUGAUAACAGUCGGCAAAAGAGUAGCACACAUUCUAUUUUGACCUCUUAUUUUCAACCAUUGCUGCUAUGGACAGGGGUAUUACUAGUUUGCAGGUUAAGAUAUUCACUUGGAAGAUAACUGUCAUUUGAUGAAAUAAACAAUCAUGUGACAUUAUGACCUGCAAUAUCCUGAAAAUACUGACUUUGUCUCCAGAGCAUUGGAUCCAGCUGUUCUUCCAACUGAAGCUAGUCAAAUUGUCAAGCAACGGCUGUUAAUUUUGUAAGAUCAUUGUCGAUAGUUUUGGCAUUUGGUAUUGUUUAUCAAGGUGAGCGAUGUUCGUUGCAGCUAUAGUUCAUCAAAAAAUUUUCUUAAUCAUUUUAUCAUUUGCCUAUUGUAUCGUGUGCUUUAUCCUCUUGGUCUAUUAUUUUUGUUCAAGGAGAUGGAAUGAGCUUUUCUAAUGUCUACUUAUAAUAAUUUUUAAUGGAAAAUACUGGAACCAAAGACAAACGGAAGCAUUUGUAGUUGUCUUAGUGAUGUAAACUAGUUUUUUCACUCAAAUGAGGAUCUCUUGCUUAUUUUCAUAUGUUGGUAAUAGUUUGUAAUGAGAAAGUUGAAAUUCAUUGUCCCACAUUGAAAGAGGGCACCUUGGACCUUGGGGCUUUCUGAUUGGGUAGAAUAUUAAUUAAUUGUCUAAAAUAUUUAUUUUAGAUAAUUAAUUAGAGGUGGUUAAUGACAGUUACAUUUAACAGACAUACUUGUUAAAUGGUUAACUGUCUAUAUACCUAUUCAAUAAGAAUUGUAUCCUUUGAUAGUGUCUUGGAUAGGUGAUUCAAUUCUUUAAAAUAGUAGGAUUUUGAUAGAAUUAAAUCACUUUUUCAUUGAUAGUUCUUAGACUUUGUUGUAUUCUAGAGGUAAUUUAUCUAAUACAGAGGCAAAUAAUACCUUAAGAAAAGUGUUUUCACACCUCAAAGUUUUUGCGUUUGUUCAAUUUAGAUUAGUUAUUUACAAUAUUUCCAACAAUCUUAAGGUGAUAUUCUCAACAAUGGAGUCAAGUCUGAAUCCUCUUUCAAAGUGAUGAAUCAGGAUUUCGUCAAGUUGGACAAAUUCGACGGCACUAACUACUCCCAUUGGAAGGAUAAGAUGAUAUUUUUCCUGACAGCUUUGAAGAUUGCUUAUGUUCUGGAUCCUUCACUUCCUGAAAUUCCAAUGCCUAAAGAUAAUAAUUCUAAUGAAGUCAAGGUGCAACGCAAGAAACGUGAAGAUGACGAGUUGCUGUGCAGAGGACACGUCAUGAAUACUCUUUCUGAUUGCUUGUAUGAUAUGUAUACUACAGUCAAGUCGCCAAAGGAAAUCUGGAAUGUGCUGGAGUACAAGUAUAAUACGAUGAAAUAAGGUGCGGACAAAUUUCUGAUUAUGCAAUAUUUUGAUUUUCAUAUCACUGAGAAUUCUUCUCUUAUGGAUCGGAUUCAUGAUCUCCAAGUGAUUGUGUCUAAAUUACAUGAUCUGAAAGUGGAGGUAUCUAAAUCUUUGCAAGUUGGAGCAAUAAUAGCGAAACUUCCAACCAGUUGGAAUGACUAUAAGAAAAA